rnacentral:lncRNA from 1 species
GAUAUCUCUUCUACCUGCCAUUUUACUAAAAUAUGUUCCACCACAUAUUUAUCAGUUAACCACUGUUAUUACAUGAGUGACACAUAUUCACAAAUCGGCUGAUCACUUAUUUUCCAUUAUGACGUUGAUAUAUAAUUUGCAGACUCCACAAAUGAAGAAAAGAGCACAAAUGACGUUGGCAAACCUGAAACUUUCCCAUUGGGCAAUAAACAUUACUCCAGUCAAAAACAUUAUGGAAGAGGCAAACCUGAAACUUUCCCAUUGGGCAAUAAACAUUACUCCAGUCAAAGACAUUAUGGAAGAGGCAAACCUGAAACUUUCCCAUUGGGCAAUAAACAUUACUCCAGUCAAAGACAUUAUGGAAGAGGCAAACCUGAAACUUUCCCAUUGGGCAAUAAACAUUACUCCAGUCAAAAACAUUAUGGAAGAGGCAAACCUGAAACUUUCCCAUUGGGCAAUCAGCAUUACUCCAGUCAAAAAAAGUAUGGAAGAGGUGCUUCUCCAUCCGACAAUCAACCACCAAUUCCAUAGAAAUUCAAACACGGCUACUUUCUUGCCACGAGAAAGCGCUCAAUCGAUCCCCUUCUCCUCUAACAAACUACCAGAAAUUUUCAACCAUUUUUCAGUGAAGCCAACAUCUGAGGAAGCCAAAACAAUUAAGCAAACAAUCGAAGAGUGUGAAGCUCCAGACCUUAAGGGAGAGGAAAUAUAUUGCGCCACAUCUUUAGAAUCAAUGGUUGAUUUUAGCACUUCGAAGCUUGGAACAAGAAACGUUGAAGCAAUCUCGACGGAGGUAUUGGAAAAAGGAGCCACCAUGUCCAUCCAAAACUAUACAACAAUGCCGGGACUGAAGAAGUUGGCAGGUGACAAAGUCGUUGUGUGUCAUAAGCAGAACUAUCCCUAUGCUGUGUUUUUCUGCCAUGCAAUAAAACAUACAGCAGCUUAUGCUCUCUCCCUGAAAGGCGAUGAUGGGGAGAAGGUUAAAGCAGUAACCAUCUGCCAUCUAGACACAUCAGAAUGGGACCCAGAGCAUAUGUCCUUCAAAAUCGUCAACGUUAAGCCCGGAACCAUUCCCAUCUGCCAUUUCAUUUCCACUGAUGCUAUUGCCUGGGUUCCGAACCACAAAUCUGCAUGAUCAUCACUUAGCACUAGUACUGUGCGUAUAAUAUGCCUGUAUAAUUAUCUCCCUACUUAUUUCUGCCUGUUCAUCAUGUGGUGUAAGAUAUAUGUUGAGAUGAAGUUUUUGGGAUUAGUGGUCGAAAUUAACCCGAUCAUGUUUUCUCUUGUAACUAUAUAGACUUCAACUUGUACUCAUAAUAAAGCAUGCUAUAUUUAUGAAGAGAUAUUAAUCUUCAGGCAAAUAGAUAUUAUGAAAACAUAUAUAGCAAUUUAUCCAGAAGAAAUAUUAUGAAAUGAAAAGAAUAAAAAGUAAAAAAACAGAAGGAAAGGAAUUCGCACCUGCUAUGUAUGAAAGGACCAAGAUUGUUUUCCCUUUGGUUAAUGACUAGAAAAGCUCACUUGCAGAUUGCUUUCUCUGACCGUAGAUGCAACAGAAAUUUUCUCUUAAUAAUAGCACAAUGAUCGGGUAAUUGUAAGAACAAGUUGAUUUAAAAUUCCUUGACCCAAAAAAAAAAAAAAAAUCAUUUCAAAUUCAGGUCAACCCAUAGAUUUCUUGCCUUUUUCUUCUUCAUCACGUUGGGCUUGUCUUCUUCUUGAGGAUUGUAUAGGCCCAGGAAAUGCUUUGAGGUAGUUUUUGGCCUUGGAAGUUGGGACCCAACCCAACUUCACAAAAAGAAAACAGAUUUGCCAAAAAUCAAAUUUCAAGUCUCUCCUCAGAUCACUAAUACAGAUCAAAUUUUGGAUUUGAUGAACUAAAGUGGUUUUACUUUCUCUGUCAGUGUUUGAUGACUUAAUUUGUUAUUUACUUCUUUUUUUUUUUUUACUUGAUCUUUGUAGGGGUUUUUUUCUUCCGGUAACUUAAACGGGCUGGGCUGCCGUAAAGGGUAGAUUGAUGAAAUUGUCUCCUUUGUCUGAGUUCGAAAAUCAAGCCCCAAAAGCGCUUCGAAAGGGCAGUAGAGCCUUAGGAAGCGUUCUAGUCAUCUUCACCAACUAAAACAACAGCAACUUACAGAUGAUUUCUUAAGGCUUACAGAUAAAUUUUCUAGCUUGGCAUGAGAGGCUUGUGACAUGGAAGCAAAAUCAGCAUGAGUUUAGCACCAAAGAGGAAAAUAUGGCUUCCUAGGGAGAAAUGGGAGUGUUUAAGGUGAGGAAGAAGAGGUUUGCAGGCUGAUUUGGCUGAGGAGAGAGAAAGAAAGAACAAUGUUCUUCCAGUAGCUUGACAAAGCUUCUGACAGAUGUGAAAGUCGUCUGCCAUAAGAGGAAAAUGAAGAAGAAUGGUGAAUAGUGCAUGAAAUUGCUGGGUUUUUGCAGGUAAGAGAGAAAGCUUGCUCUCUGAAUUUGAGUUGGUUUUUGGUUGGGUAGAAGAGGCCCCCUUUUAUAGCUGCGGGAAACCAUCUUUUUUCAAGAAACCCUAAUGGUUUCUAUCCAUUUUGGCCAAGCUUUUCCCUUCAUUUCUCUUCUCCUCCCUUGACUUUUCCUAUCUUGGUGAAAUUUCCUCUGCCUAUUUGCACAAAAUUAGAGAUUUUGAGGAGCUCAAGACCCCUUUCCCGCAGCUGCCUCAGUGGAGAAUCCCCAUUUUCAGUCAUCUUUCUUCCUUCUUUUCUCCCAUCUUCCAAGGUUAGGUCUGAUGAGGGAAAGAAAUGGGUAUGCACACUGGUUUGAAGGGUAUUUUUGCUUGAAACUUGUUCUCUCCCAUGUGCUGGAGCUUCCCAGCAACUUACACACAUGGAUAUUUUGGCUUUCAUCGUGGCUUUUGUUUUCAGCUAGGUGCUGGAGAUUUCGCAGAUAUUUUCAUGAGUUGCUUGGGCCUUCUAGGACAAUAGGUUGGUUUAUCAAGUGAAUGGGCUAACUUCAUCAAUUGUUGGGCUAUUUUGGUUGAGUUAAUGGACUAUUUUGGUUGAAGUAAUGGGCUAUUUUGGUUGAAUUAAUGGGCUAUUUUUCUCUCUUUGUGCUCACCCACAUAUUUGGGCCUAAGAAAUGGGCUUGAGUUCCGGGGCUCCCAAGCAACCCCGGGACUUCCAUUUCUCGGCCCAUCAAUGGGCCUCAUAUCAACUUAUUACCAUCCAUAUCACAACCCACUCAAGCAAGCCCUGGGCAUCUUGCGUGGCUUGGGCCCACUUAAGCUUGUAGCGUGACGUGUUGCUUAUUUGCUUGGCAUGGCAUGUGUGCAAGCGCAUAUGACGAACUUUAGCGUGCCCAAAUUGGGUUUAUUCUCGGUAAGGUAUCGCAUUGGGCCGAGAAUUUAAUUGGGCAGAACUGUGGAUUUUUGGGCCUCAACAAUCUUAUAUAUAUUGGUUUUCUUUUUUUCCUUAAUAUUCACCACCUUUCUGUUGCAUAAGUAUUUCAGUCUUAACGGGUUUCCAUCUACCACUCAUCUUUGCUCUUUUAAGUGUAAGCUUUUUUUUUUUUUUUUUAAGCACAAGAUUAGAGGGGAGGGGGAUUUCUCAAUGUAAGCUUUGCAGUUUCAUAAUUAAUAUUUCCAAUAUCUCACUGUUAGUAAAAUAUGGAACAGGAAAAGUAUGAAUAAAAUACACACAUGUUUUAUUUAGCAAAAUUUUGACAAGAUACAACUGAAAAGUUUGGCCACUAUAUAAUAUUUUGAUAUAAUUUCUACACUUCUUCUCAAAAGAUUAGAUCACUUCACAUCUUGUGUAUGUGAAAACUAAUGUAAAAAGUUGAAACUUUAUCGUAAAACCUCGACAAAAAUGAGCUCUACUAGAAAAUGUUCAAUUUGGAUUCGUUGAUUUAAAUGGCAAUUUGACACUUGAUAGAAAUUUUUACAUACAUGUGUUAGUGUUUGAUCACUUCACAUGUUACUUACUAUAUUUAUUCCACUCAAGUUAGGUAAAUAUUAUUAUCAAACAUUUCAAUUAAUUUGUGAUUUUUUUAUUAUUUAAUCAAUUAUGAAUUAAUGGAUUCUUCUUGUUGUUUUGAAGACCAAUAAAAAAAAAAGGGUAAGGAUGGCUUAUAACUCUGAUAAAACAACAGUGACGUGGACAGCAGAUGUUACACCGUACUGAAGAUUUUUGAAGAUUCUUUAUUUGGGUUUCUUUCAAGAUGAAAACCAUAUUAUCCACAACCACAAUGAAGAAGACAGAAAAUGGAGUAAUUCAGAUGUUACCAGCCAUCCACGACAAACUGAAGUCUGCAAAGCAUUCGUAAUCUAAAGGGAGACUUUGGAAAAGCCCAAAGGAGAGAGAAAAUUUUUAAAAGAAGCAAAAAUGGACAAAAUUGCCCUUAUUUAUUUUUUGAUUUCCUAAGAAAUCCUUUACAUUUGCAUGUCUUUGGUUUGAAAGUUGAGAGGUUAUUCUGUCUUUUUUCAAAAAGCUUUGGCUUUUUCCAAAAGUGAAAGUUUUUUUAUGGGUAAAACCUAAAUUUACUUAAUCCCUAAAAAGGAUGGGGAGGCUGCGCAAUACUUAGCCACGUGUAGGCCAGGAGGCUUUCCAAUUUUAAUAUAUAUAUAAAUUGAAAAAAUAAAAUAAAAAUCAAUCUAUUAUCCUAUAUAAAAUAAAGAUUAUUGCUUCCAUGGGCAGUGCUAUGCACAGGACAGUGCCUGCCCAGCACAAAUUUUUUUUAAAUAAAAAAAAAAAAUCUACAUAUGUUAUAAGCUCAUCCAAAAAAAUAAAAUAAAAUAAAAGUAAAUUCUACAUAUAUGUUGCCCAUCUAGGUGGUUCCAUAUCUUCUCUCUCCUUCUCUUUUGGCUAUUAGACUUCUUGUUUCUCUCUCUCUCUUUGCUACCUCACAUCAGCAAGUUUCUCCCUCUCUUUUUUUGGGGUCAAAUUCUUCCUCUAUUGACAAAAUCUUCUAUUAUCUUGGGUGGGCAACUUGGCAACAACAUCUUCUCUUCUCCUUUUGUCAACAACAAGUAUUAUUCUCAUUCUCUCAUUUGCUAUAUAUCUUUAAUUAUAGUUUUAAUUUAAAAUUGAGUAUUCUAGGGUUUAAUUAGGGAUGAAUUAUAAUUUUAGAAUUUUGUUGAAAUUAAUUAAGGCUUCGAUUAGGGGUGAAUUAUUCUACUGCUUUGGUUUGGAAUUUUGUUAAAAUUGAGUAUUAUAGGGUUUAAUUAUGGAUGAAUUAUAAUUUUUGAUUUUGGUAUUAUUGAGAUGUUAUUAUGAGAAUUUGUUUCAUUUUUUUAUUGGUAUAUUUGAUUAAAAUUCUUUCUACAUAUUAUUCAUAGGCUAUCUUUUAUUAUGUCGGAUCACAAUCGGAAUCCCAAGAGAACAAAGAAUUUGAAUAGUGUUGUUUUGUAUUGCAUUGCAUUUACUUUUGGUUUUAGUUUUGCUUUUAGUGUAAAUUACUCAAAUGGUCCUCAAAUUUGUACCCGAUUUACAUUUUGGUCCAUAAACUAAAUUAUUCAUUCAAAUGGUGCACCAACUCUUUAUUAAUCAGUGCUUUGGUCCUACCGUUAUGUUUUCUAUUAAAUUUAGUCAUGUGAGCAGCACAUGCUACAUUUGUAGGGGUAAAUAAGACUUUUGACCACUUUAUCACCUAUGUAUCACCACUUUAUAACCUAUUUGGAGAACAUAGGUCAGUUAUGGACGGUUUUACAAUUAUAUUUGACGGCAACAUUAACAUAAUGUAACAGUGGGAUCAAUGGAGCGAUUAAUAUAGAGUUGAUGGACCGUUUGAACGAAUAAUUUAAUUGAGGGACCAAAACGUAAAUUGAGUAUAAGUUUGAGGACCAUUUGAGUAAUGUACCCUUCGCUUUUAUAUUUGUUGAACUUUUAUUUAUGGAUAGAUAUGCAUUUGAGGGUAAGACCCAUUAUGUUCCCCCUGACUUGGUGUAUCUUUUUAUGUUUAUUAAUGAAAUUCACUCGAACUGUUGAGUUUAGUAUGUAAGUUUUGCCUAACCGGCUUUUGAAUCCUAGAACCGCCACUGUUGCUCCAUCCUCCAUGCACUUGCAUGUGCUCUUACAAAGUGUGAAGUAGAUUUUGUGUGCUCCAAGUCAUUGACUAGAGCUGAAACAUGGUUAGCUAGAUUUAUAAGGACCCAUCUCUCUAUUUCCUAGACAUAUACCCAUCUCUCUAUAAAUCUAUAUGUAAAACUCAAUUUCAAACUUAAAUGACCAGUAAGAUAUAAGAGGUCAUAGUAUUCCUAUGUUUUUACAUCGUUGCCACCAGACUUCUUAUUUUAUUUAUAAUUUAUUUCAAGCAUUUCAUUAACUGCCAUAAUUGUAAUUAAUACUCCAUAUUAAUAGCAUAUCAAUCACCCCAUUUCUUUUGAUUGCCAUUCCCUCUAACAUAUCGCCCCUUAAAAUUGAAAACCAAAAAAAAAAAAAAUGUAAAUUACAUAUCCAAUAAUGUACCUAUGAAAAAUAUAAAUAUAAAUAUAUACGUAUAAAAAUAUAGGUUUAUUAUUUACCAAAUAAAAAAUAUAAAAAAACUAGGUCAGUUGCUUUGUAAUUGAAAUUUCUAUACAUUUUCCACAAAUUAAAAAUAGGUACACAAUAAUUUAUAGAAAAUAUAGGUGCAUUAUUUAUCCAUAGGUAAAAAUACCUAUAAAUGCACAUAGGUAAAUUAUUUACCCAUAUAUUAUUUUUUUGCUAAGGAUUUACCUUAGUUUUUAGUAGAUUAAUUUACCUACCUAGAGGCAUAGGUAGCUUAAAAAAAUUGUAGCACCUUAGUUGGUUGCAUACUAAUUUACCUACCUAGAGGCAUAGGUUGCUAAGAAAAAAUGUAGGUAAAUUCAUGUACCUAAACACAUAGGGGUCAAAUAGAGAAUAACAUGUUAUUUCCCUUCGAACAAAUUAAUUUCAAACCAUAACAAUAAUUGAAUUCGGAAAUUGGUAUAAAUAAAAGGAAAUAAAUAAGCUAUCAAUUUGAAAAUUAAAAUAAGAAAUGAUCAAGUAGUCAUAUUUGAAAAAAAAGAAAAGAAUAUAUUCUUGGUUUUUAUAGGAACAACGUGUAUAUUCAAACCAAAUGGCAGUAACUACACCAAGCUUUAAUUACUUUUUUUUAAGGCCAAAAGUCACUUUUGGUCUCUGUAGUUUGACACUUCUAUUACUUUUGACGCUGUAGUUUCAAUUCCGUCAAUUUUGCCAUUGUAGUUUCAUAUUUGUAGCAAUUCAAGGACAUGUUAAUAUUAAUGUCAAUUUGUUUAAUGAUGCAAGGGGUAAUUUCGUCAUCCCAAAAUCCUUGAGCAUAAAAGCUUGUCUGAAAUUCUCCCCAUUUCAUAUUAGGGCUCGAAAUUCAACCACUAAUCCCAAUUUUUGAAGAACCCUAUACCCAAAUGACCAAUUUCAAGCCCUAAUAACAAAUUAGGGAAGUUUUAGAUGAGCUUUUAUGCUCAAGGAUUUUGAGUUGAAGAAAUUGCCCCUUGCACUGUCAAAGAAAUUGAUAGGAAUACUGACUUGUCCUUGAAUUGCUACAAAUACAAAAAUACAGGGUCAAAAUUAACAGAAUUUAAACUAUAUGGUCAAAAGUGGUUAAAGUGCCAAACUACAAGGACCAAAAGUGACUUUUAGCCUUUUUGUUUAAAUAAGGAAAAAACUUACCUAUUAAAUCCUUGGAAUCUAUACAAAAUUGAAACACAGUUAAUCAGCAUUGAAUUGCAGCUAAUUUCUUAAACAAGGGUAUUAUAGGAAUUUAAAAAGUAUAACAUUUAAUCCAUUGAGCUUGAUUAGGAAUCUUGAUGAGUUGGAUCCUAGUUAUAUAGUUUCUCUUAUAAAAAUCGGGUUUUAUUUAUAGACAAAUAAAACAAUGGGUUGUAGGUAAGAAAAUAUUAAUUUGAAGGGAAAGUGUCACAUCCUGGGAUCGGCUCCGCCGUAGCACGAUAUUGUCCGCUUUGGGCCCCCCUCUCUGCCCGCACGGUUUUGUUUCUGGGAGCUCACGAGCAACUUCCCAGUGGGUCACCCAUCCUGGGAUUGCUCUGGCCCCCAACUCGCUUAACUUCGGAAUUCCUAUGACUCCGAAGCCAGUGAGCUCCCAAAAGGCCUCGUGCUAGAUGGAUGCGGGUGUGUACAUAUAAGACACAUCACCCCCUCUCCGUUGGUUGAUGUGGGAUCUUACAGAAAGAGUCAAAUUUACUAAAUUAAUAAAGCAUAAAUUGGAAAGGGAAAAGAUCUAGAGGAUGCAUUGUAGGAUUGCUCAUGCCAAUAAUUGCACCCUCUCGAUAUUGAAAAACCUAUUGUGUAUUAUUAUCUUCAAUCAUGAAUGAUGCACCUAAAACCCAAGUGUCCCAAGCCAACCAUUGCGCUCAUACCACUUGUUGCAGUACACAUUCACCCGUUUUUAAAGAAAGAAAUUCUACCAAUCGAUAUUGUCUCAAAUUUAAUCACAUAGGUCUAUUAUGGUUAACCAUAUGUACUUUUAUCGGCCAUAUAGAGGUACCUUUUUCCAACGUGCAACAAUUGUAUUUGAUUCACAAUUAUGUCUGAUAUACAUCACAUCAUGCCACUUGCCUCAAAUGAAUUUAAUUGAGUGAGGCAAUGGGAAGUAAUUAAGCUCUAUAUUGGUGGGUGGAGUGUUACUUCUGGAACCCUCAUCAUUCGUCCAUACAAGGGAACAAUUCCCUUCCUUCUAUAAAAUGGUGAAGCCAGUUGCUAUUGUUUGUUAGAGUUUUAGGAUCUGAGUGUUAGAUUUUGUGAGAAGAGAGAAGAGAAUUUAGUGAAAACUUCCAAUACUGCUCUGCUAUACGUGUAGCAGAGAGAACAUUCUGUUUUGUUAUAUAUUUUCAGUACAACAACACACACUUGGUGUGAGAAGAAAAAUGACUGUUAUGCACAGUACCAGCUGGAUGCUUUCCAUCAAAGUAAUCUCAGCCAUUCACUAUCUAACCAAUCAAGCUAUGACACCUGGACUAAGUAUAAAGAAAUACAACUAAGCAGAAAACAAGACUCUUAAUCCUGAAAUCAACUUAAGCACUUAUAAUUCAACACUCCCCUUUAAGUCUUGAGGUGAUUUCACUCCAAGCAUGCCUCUGAGAUAAUUGAAUCUGUCUUUGGCCAGAGGUUUGGUAAAAAUGUCAGCCAAUUGUUCAUUUGUAGGACAAUAUUCCAGAUUGAUUACCCCUUCUUGCAAUGCAUCCUUGAUGAAGUGAUACCUCCUGUCAAUAUGCUUUGUCUUCUGGUGGAAUACAGGGUUUUUAGUGAUUGCAAUUGCUGAGAUAUUAUCACAAUGCAAUGGAGUAGCUUCAGUUUGAAGCUCUCUAAAGUCUUCUAGCACAAAACGGAGCCAAAUAGCUUGAGUAGUAGCCUCAGCUGCACUGAUGUACUCAGCUUCUGCAGUAGACAGUGCAACACAGUUCUGUUUCACUGAGGCCCAAGAAAAUACUCCACUUCCAAAACUAAACGCAUACCCUGAUGUGCUCUUGCAAUCACCAACUGAUCCUCCCCAAUCACUGUCACAGUAACCAACUAGAAUUGAUCUUUUGCCUUUCACAUAUUCAAGACCAUAGUCCAGAGUUCCUUUGAUGUAUCUCAAAACCCUUUUAGCUGUUCCAUAGUGUCUAUUUGUAGGACAGUGCAUGAAUCUAGCUAGCAAGCUUGAGGCAUACAUGAUGUCUGGUCUUGUAGCAGUUAAGUACAGCAAGCUACCAACAAUGCUUCUGUAUUGUUCUUCAUUUGCAGCUCAACUCCCAUCAUCCUUAGCUAGUUUCUCAGUGGCAACAAGGGGUGUUGUCACAGGUUUGCACUCAGUCAAACCAAACUUGCUCAACAAGGUGCUAGCAUAUUUCUUUUGAUGUAGAAAUAUACUAGACUCAGUCUGAAUAACUCCCAUGCCAAGAAAGUGAUGAAGUAAGCCCAAAUCAGUCAUCUCAUACUUAGCCAUCAUGUCUUCUUUGAAUUCAGCCAACAAUGCUUGACUGCUCCCUGUAUACACAAUAUCGUCUACAUAGAUAGACACAAUUAGAAUCUCCUUAUCUCCCCUUACUUUGGUAUAUAAGGUUGUUUCACUUAAGCUUUUCACAAAACCACAUUGAGUGAAGUAGCUGUCUAUCUCUCCAUACCAAGCCCUUGGGGCUUGCUUCAGACCAUAAAGGGCUUUAUGCAAACGAUAAACCUUGUCUUCUUUACCUUUAAUUACAAAACCUUCAGGCUGACUGACAUAAACUUCCUCUUGCAGCACACCAUUAAGGAAAGCAGACUUCACAUCAAGCUGGAACAAUUUCCAAUCCUUUUGAGCAGCUAGAGCAAUAAGUGUUCUAAUGGUGUCCAAUCUGGCUAUAGGUGCAUAAGUCUCAUUAUAAUCCAGUCCAGGCUUCUGAGCAUACCCCUUAGCCACUAAUCUUGCUUUAUUCUUUUGCACUGAGCCAUCCAAAUUCAGCUUUGUCUUGUACACCCACUUAACUCCAAUCACUGGUUUUUCAGUUAGUCUAUCUACCAAUUCCCAUGUUUCAUUCUUUUCAAUCAUCUGCAGUUCAUCUUCCAUAGCCUUAAGCCAAGAUUCAUCCUGAGCAACAUCAGCAUAUUUUUCUGGUUCCAUGAUACACAAGUUACACUGAGCUAGAACAUCAUCUAGCCUUCUCCAUUUUAGAGGGGUGUGAUCAUAAGCUUGAGUUCUCCUUUCUUCACUGCUUAUAUCACCUGGAGUUGAUGAAAUGCUCUCUUGCAUAUCCAAAGUUUGAGGUGUACCAGUAGAAUUCUCAUUAGAACUGUCAGAUUUCAAGUCCAAAUCAACUUGGUUUUCAAUUGAGUAUGUUGUCAUAACUGAACCAUUUUUGUUUGUCCAAUGCCAAGCAUUUUCUUCAUCAAAUGUCACAUCCCUUGAUAGUAAAAGCUUGUUAGAAACAGGAUCAAAAACUCUAUAUCCUUUUUCACAAGUUGCAUAUCCCACAAACACUCCCUUUGUACUCUUAGGAUCCCGCUUGUGUCUCAAUUCAGUUGGCACAUGAACAUAACACAGAGAACCAAACACUUUCAGAUGUGCAAUUCCAGGCUUCCUUCCACUAUAUGCUUCGAAUGGAGUAAUGUUGUUGAGAGCUUUGGUAGGACAUCUGUUCAGCAAAUAGAUAGCUGUAUGCACAGCUUCUGCCCAUAGGAAAUAAGGCAUUCCCUUCUCAUGUAACAUUGAUUUUGCCAUCUCAAUGACAGUUCUAUUCUUCCUCUCAACUACUCCAUUCUGCUGAGGAGUAUAGGCCAUUGUAAGCUGCCUUUGAAUGCCAUUAGCUUCACAAAACUCCAAAAAAUCAGUAGACAUAAACUCUCCACCCCUGUCACUUCUUAUGCACUGAACCUUGUGUCCAGUUUGUAAUUCAGUCAUGGACUUGAACUUCUUGAAACAAAAGAAGGCUUUUGACUUGUUUCUCAAGAAGUAUACCCAAAUCAUUCUUGUGAAAUCAUCUAUAAUCAGCAUGAAAUAUCUGUUCCUUGCAACAGACUCAUUUCUCAUGGGACCACAGAGAUCCACAUGUAUUAGCACUAGUACUUUGCUUGCUCUUUGAGCUUGAUCUUUUGGAAAAACAUUUCUGUGCUGUUUUCCAAAUUGGCACCCGUCACACACACCACUUUGUUCUUCCAAUUUUGGUAAACCAUGUACCAUUUCUUUAUCACUUAGCUGCUUCAAUCCUCCAAAAUGCAGAUGACCAAAUCUCUUGUGCCAAAUCCAUGUGGAUUGAAGAAAACUAGUCUUCAUUAGUAACUGUUUUUCAGCUAGAAAAGAGACAGGAUAGCAUCUGUUACUCUUCAUUUGCACCUUUAUGAUGAGAUAAUCCAUGGAUGGGCUAUCAAAUACCCUGCACAUCCCUUCUCCAAACACUAGACAGUACCCAUGUUCAUCCAUCUGCCCAACACUUAGCAGAUUUUCUUUCAAUCCUGGCAGAUACAUUACUUCUCUGAUGUAUUUCCUGCCCUUUGCUGUAUCAAUACUCAGUGAGCCAAUACCAGCUACACUCACUAAUGCACCAGUUGGCAUUUGUACUCUCCCAGCUACAUUAGUUCUCACAUCAACCAGCAAAUCUAAAUUUCCUGUCAUAUGAUUGCUGCAGCCACUGUCAAUGUACCAUUCAUUGGUUUUGAUCUCAGUGGUUGAGCAAUUGGCAUAAAACAGGUUUCCUGUAACCUCCAUUUGAUUUACACAAUUAGCCUUCUGCACAUUUUUGCUCACUGUACAGUCUCUAGCAAGAUGUCCAACUCUGUCACAGUUAUAGCAUUUUGGUUUUCCCUUAUACCUGCACUCACCAAAAUGAUGCUUUGAACACACCUUGCAUUGAGGCUUUGUGUUUUCCUGAUUUGAGAACUGUGUUGAAGUGUGGUUCUGUGCAGAAUAAUUAUUCUGCUGUGUCUUGUCUUUUGCCUCCCAUGACUUCCCUUUAGAGUUCCAGCUUCUCUGUGACUUAGAUGAACCAGACUGAGAAGCAUUUUUGUUCUGACCCUUUGAAUUCACAGUGAAUGAGGCAAAUGCCUUCUCAGCUGUAUCAACACUAUGCAUUUCAAGCCUUUGCUCCCGACUCUUCAAAAUGGCAGUUACUUCCUGCAAAUCCACAGUUUCUAGUGUCUUUGUGUUUUCAAUCACAAUGCAUAUAGGGUCAUACUUCUUACUUAGACUAAUUAACACCUUCUGAACCUACCUCUCAUUUGACAGAACUUCACCAAAUGUUUUCAUUUGGUUAAUCAAUUCAGUUAGUCUAGUAAGAUAUUCAGAUAAGGUUUCACUAUCACGCAUCCUACUGUAUUCAAACUCACGUCUAAGGUUUUGAAGCUUUACCGAUCUAACAUGCUCUCCACCAUGAUAUUCUGAGUACAGCAGAUUCCAAGCCAUCUUUGCAGAGUCAGCAUUGGCAAUUCUGGGAAAAAUCUGAUCAGAAACAGCAUUUUGAAUGAUACCCAAGGCCUUCGCAUCCUUCAUGAGAAUCGCAGCUGUUUUCUCAUCAACUUCUUCUUCUGAACCAUCCUCAGAUUCCUGCUUCGUCUUUGAAUCUGGGAUUAAAAACCCCUUCUCUACCAAACCCCAUAAACCAUAUGAUCUGAAUAUGGUUACCAUCUUAAUCCUCCAAAAUUCAUAGUUCUCACCUGAGAAAAUGGGGAUUCUAGCCUCUGAACUUCCAGAUCCAGCCAUUACGAAUUUCAGAUUCGCCUGGAAACAAGAUGUUUUCAGAUUUGACCCUUGAUCGAGCUCAAUCAGCUUCGUGAGCUUAGAAUGAGCUCACCUCGAUCGAUUUUCUUCACAGAACAACGCCCAGCUUCAGAUAAUCAAACUUGGCUCUGAGGCCAUGUUAGAGUUUUAGGAUCUGAGUGUUAGAUAUUGUGAGAAGAGAGAAGAGAAUUUAGUGAAAAUUUCCAAUACUGCUCUGCUAUACGUGUAGCAGAGAGAACAUUCUCUUUUGCUAUAUAUUUUCAGUACAACAACACACACUUGGUGUGAGAAGAAAAAUGACUGUUAUGCACAGUACCAGCUGGAUGCUUUCCAUCAAAGUAAUCUCAGCCAUUCACUAUCUAACCAAUCAAGCUAUGACACCUGGACUAAGUAUAAAGAAAUACAACUAAGCAGAAAACAAGACUCUUAAUCCUGAAAUCAACUUAAGCACUUAUAAUUCAACAUUGUUACCAUAAGAGCCAGCUCCGACUUUCUUUAAUUUCAGUCCUAACGGGGUUUCAUCUUCCACUCAUCUUUGCUCUUCUCAGUGUAAGCUCUGCAAUUUGAUUAACUUUCCCAUUAUCUCUCACUGUACUCUAUAUAAAGGAAUAAGUGUCGUCCACUAAUUAAUUACACUUUGUGAGAUUUGAUUUUAAUUAGAGUUCGAAUUGAUGUUGCAGCUAGCAGCGGUGGCACUGGCAAACCAUGCUGCUCAACCAGCACCUCAACUUUACUGGAACUCCGUCCUGCCAAACACACAAAUGCCAAGAGCUAUCAGUGAACUUCUGCAUCCUGGUUUGUGUUGAAUAAAUAUAGUAUGUUACUGGAGUACGUAUGGCAACAUAUUCACAAAUGUGUCACGUAUUUUCCAAUAUGACGUUGAUAUAUAAUUGCAGACUCCACAAACGAAGAAAAGAGCACAAAUGUCAUGAAUGCUGUUGGGAAUGGAAAGCCAAUUGACCACAAGGGCAACCUGAAAAUACUGUACUACCACAGCUUGCACGACGCCCAUUUUCUUACAAGAGUGAUGAUCGUCCCACUGACAAUCAACUCCAUUAUAAAAACGUAGCUAUUUUCUUCUUGGAGAAGGACAUGCGCCCUGGCACAACAAUGAGCUUCCAAUUCCCUAGAAAUUCAAACACGGCUACUUUCCUGCCACCAGAAAGAGCUCAAUCGAUCCCCUUCUCCUCUAACAAACUACCAGAAAUUUUCAACCAUUUUUCAGUGAAGCCAACAUCUGUGGAAGCCAAAACAAUUAAGCAAACAAUCGAAGAGUGUGAGGCUCCAGGCAUUAAGGGAGAGGAAAUAUAUUGCGCCACAUCUUUAGAAUCAAUGGUUGAUUUUAGCACUUCGAAUUUUCGAACAAGAAACGUUCAAGCAAUCUCGACAGAGGUAUUGGAAAAAGGUGCCACCAUGUCCAUGCACAAGCAUACAACAAUGCCGGGACUGAAGAAGUUGGCAGGUGACAAAGUCGUUGUGUGUCAUAAGCAGAACUAUCCCUAUGCUGUGUUUUACUGCCAUGUAAUAAAACCAACAGCAGCUUAUGUUCUCUCCCUGAAAGGCGAUGAUGGGGUGAAGAUUAAAGCAGUAGCCAUCUGCCAUCUAGACACAUCAGAAUGGAACCCAAAGCAUUUGGCCUUCCAAAUCCUCAAAGUUAAGCCCGGAACAAUUCCCAUCUGCCAUUUCCUUCCCACUGAUCAUAGUGUCUGGGUUCCGAACCACAAAUCUGCAUGAUCAUCACUUAGCACUGUACGUAUAAUAAGCUUGCACCCCUGUAUAAUUAUCUCCCUACUCUACUUAUUUCUGCCUCUUCAUGUGGUGUAAGAUAUAUGAUGAGAUGAAGUUUUUGGGAUUAGUGGUCGGGUUGCCUUAAAAACACAGAUUACAGAAACUGCUUGAACUUAACCCGAUCAUGUUUUCUCUUGUACUCGUAAAGCAUGCUGUUGUGGUUCUACUUAAUUUCGUUCUCCCCAAUGUUUGAGUGUUUAAUUGUUACGUUGGAUAAUGCUUGUAGUUAGAGAAGCCUUCAUUUAUAUCAAAGUCCUCAACUUGUAAAGAUAUCAAUGGUCCUAGUGCUGCCACGUGUAAGAAGAUUGAAGAAUAAAGCUGUUGAGAUAUUGUUAGACCUGUUAUGCAGUUUAGGAAAACUGUUAGUAUUGAUAAGAGAAGGUUAGAGAUGUUAGAGAGGUUAGAAAACACGUGAACAAGGCUUUAACUCAGCUGAUAUAAAGUCUGUAGUUGUGCUCAGUUGAACUUAAUGAGAAAUACAACAAGUCUCUUCUCUAUCUCUGAAAUUCUCUCUGCUCUCUCUGCUUUACUUCUUUUGUCUCUGCUCUACAUUUUUUUUCAAUCUUCCUAUCUUAACAAAACUAUCAAGAAUUAAUGCAUCCAGAAACAUAUAUACCAAGACGCAAAACAACAUAUUUUUCAUGCUCUGUCUGUAACACCAAAGCAAACUUCCUUUAUCACAAAAGGAUCAAAUUCCAGUACUAAUCUAAUCCAUCAUGUAAAGCAUACAAUCUACAAGUGCCUCCCUUAAUUUGUCCAUUGGAUAUAUAUGUCACUUUUUGGUAAUUUGGUAUAGCAGCACCACGUAGUCUUGAAAUAGUAGUGCGGCUAUACCAAAUAUACCAUUUGCCCCUGCAUUUAACAGAAAAGUAAACAAAAUUGACGGUAGAACUAUUUGUCCUAACGAAACUGCAGUUGAAAGACCAUGAGAACGAUUUUGAAAAUUGAGGGACUCAAAUGAAAAUUGGGUCUAAGUUCAAGAACCAAUAAAACGAUUAACCCAUAGAUUUUGGAUCCAGUACCACAUCCCAAAGAGAAAACCACAAGUUUGCAAGCAAGUUUGUCCAUAAUAACACUACGUACAGUAUGGGCAGUGCGCUAGACUCAUCUCACUUUCUCAACCUAUCCUAUAGUUGUCUAAAAGAGUUUCUAAUUUAAUGUACUGAGAUUUACGAAAGAAAUAUCAGAGAAACAAUUUUCAGGCAAUAAAAAAAUGUCUUGGCAAGAAAAUGUACAAUUUGUUACAUAACUUAUUAAAUAUGAACAGUUGAAAGAAAAAAGAAUCUGGAUGAGGGAUUUGCAAAUUCCUAUGGCCCAAUUACCUUUUUUUCUUUGUUGUUUUUUUUUUUUUUUUUUUGGUUCUUUUGAUCCAGUAGCAUAUUCCAAAGAAUGAAAACCACAGGCAUGCAAUGCAAGCUCUUUUCCCACGUUUUCCUCUGUUUUUCUCCUAUCAUGGAAGUGAUUAAAACACACCUCUAAGCUUGUUUUGCGUUUGGUAGCCGAGUGUAAAAGCUCAAUGCAAGAUAGUUUGAGGUAGAAUUUUCUCCUAUUUUAUUAGGACAAUGAUAAUUAAAAAAAAGUGUGAUUCAUUGAAUAUUUGCGGGGUUUUGUUCAGACCUGACAAAGUUCUAAGUCAACACAUCAAAUUCCUUUUUCCAACAUGCAACAAUUGUAUUUGAUUCCCAAUUUUUUCUGAUAUACAUCACAUCAUGCCACUUGCAUCAAAUGAAUUUAAUUGAGUGAGGCAAUGGGAAGUAAUUAAGCUCUGUAUUCGUGGGUGGAGUGUUACUUCUGGAACCCUAAUAAUUCGUCCCUACAGGACUCUAGAACUCUCAAACUUCUUACAAGGACUACUUAACUCUAUAGCUUAAUGCAUAUAGCAUAUAUAUGCAAACACAAUUAGAAAUUCUACAACAGAAGCAAGAUCAAUCUCACUAUGCCUUCUAAACAAACAAACAAAUAAAACAAGCAUAUUAAUUGCUUUAAUCACUCUACUAACAUCAACACAGCACACUUAGUUUACUAACAGAUGAUAUAGAAAGGAAAAAAAAGGACCAAUAGGGAGAAAAUGGUGAACUAAGGAGAGACUAAUACUUCUGGUCCUUAGAAGGCAUAACAGAAAUAAUAGAGCACACUGCUUGAAUGCAAGUCAGUAUUAGGAGCAAAACAGCUGCAAUGAAAGAAAUAGUUGCCCAAGGUGUAUUGAAAUAAUGUUGCCUCAAAUUUGCCUUCCAUUUGUUCCAAGGCUUUCUGCAGUAGCUAUUAAGGCGCUCAGAAAGAAUAGCAAAGUAGAAGCUUUCACGAUACACUGCAAUUCCUUUUCCGAGGUUGUUAAUCAGAGUGCACACCUCAUUGUAGUCACCAAGCAUAUUUUUGACAAUCCCAUCCUUCAGAAGGAACUCCACAUCCUUUUCGGUGUUCACAAACUCAUCCAUGAGUGAAACAUAAUCACUUAUGUAAUUCUUACGGCAAUGGCACUAUUCAAAGGCAAUGAGGUUACGGAGUGUGAGCUCUGUGUAAUCGUGUAUUUUUAGUUUUGGAAUUUCUAGAAUCCCAUCGUUGAAUUGUGUUAACGCAGCUUUCCUUUCCUAGCCUACACGGAAGUCAACUUCACAAUCUCCUCCUAGCAAUUAGUCUUUCCUGCUGUAAAUCAGAUUUCCUACUGUAAAUCGGAUUGUAUUCAUGUCUAUAUUAUUUCCUACUUUAAGUAGAUAUCUUGUACUAGUAUAAAUAGGGACUUUGUGUAAUCUGUUAAAUACAAGGAAAUAUAUACUCUGCAUGGUAUCAGCCUAACCUAGGGUUCUCUCUCUCUCCCUUAUUCGAUCCUCUUCUCCUUUAGGUCCACCUCAUGGCUUUGUCUGAAUCCACCAUCUCCCUCCCAAGCCCCAACUCUUCUAUUUUAUCAAGCUUAUUGACUCCAACUAUCUUCUUUGGCUCCGCCAACUCAAACCCUUUUUAGUCGGCCAUGACCUCUGGAAAUUUAUCGAUGGCAUUCAUAAACAACCUUCUGCCCACACCUCCACCUCUACCACCGCAACACCCACAACCACCACCACUCUUACCCAAAUCAAUCAUGCCCAUGCUCAGUGGUACCAACAAGACCAACUCAUUGUUAGCUACAUCACCAAUACACUCUCUGAGUCCAUUCUCUUUCUCACUGUUGGUUGCACCUCUGCCCGGGAUCUCUGGGAGUGUCUCCAACGCCACUUCUCUCAAUCCAGUAUGGCCAGUGAAUCUACUCUUCGUUUUAAACUCAUGGAUUUGCAAAAAGGCUCUGAACCCACUUAUGCUUACAUUCGUCAUGCUAAGUCCUUUGCCGAUUCACUGGCUGCCAUCAAUGAACCUGUCUCCCCAAAAGAACUUGUCACUACUGUGCUUUGGGGUUUAAGACCCUAUUGCAACAUCCUCGUCACAGCAAUUCUCAAUUUCCCUCUGCUUCCUAACUUUGCUAAUCUUCGUGCUCGUUUGUUAGCAUUUGACGCACAGACUCCUUGAAUCUCUCCUGAUCAAAACACAGCGCAAAUGGCCACCCAAUCCUCUCCUCACACCACCGGUCAUACUUCCUUCCCUUCUCACCGUGGUGGUGGCUCUUCCAACAACAGGCGUGGUGGCCUCGGUGGCUGGCGCAAUAGCGGCCGGGGUGGCUGGCGCAGCUUCUCAUCUUCCUGGAGCAACCCGUGGAAUGGCUUCCAGCAGCUCCAAUGACCUAAUCAACCAUGGCCUCCUUUUGCUCCAAGUUCUGGAUCUCAAAGCAACUGGCCUUCCUUUCAGCCUCCUUGGGCCUAAUCUGCCGCUUCUAUCAAACACUUUGCCCGGCCCAACUCAGCUCCUGGUGUCUUGGGACCCGCUUGGUGCACUACCUGCAAUACCAAUCACAUACUACUACAAUAUGUCCUCAUCGCUACAAUGGCCCAGAAUCCUUUCUUUGCUAGGGCUCAAUUCAUGUAGCCACCUGACUCUACUUGGUACCCUGACACAAGUACCACUCAUCAUAUGAUUGGUAGUCCUUCUAAUCUCCAAAAUCAAUCCUUCUAAUCUCCAAAAUCAACAGCCAUAUCAGGUUCAUAAUUCUGUAUUUCUUGGUAAUGGAGAUUCUCUCCCUAUCUCUCAUACUAGCUCUCUCUUUUGUCUUCCAUCUCUUCGUACUAAUCUUCUUUUUGUUGCCCAUUUUACUUGUGAUAAUUUAGUUUUCUUUGUCUUUACUCUUGACUUUUAUCAAAUCUAUGACUUAUGUACUGGUUCGUUACUCUUUCAGGGCCCUUCUAAAGAUGGUCUUUACCCACUUUCCAUCUCCUCUCACUCAUCCAUAGUCCCCCAUGCCCUUACCACCGUGCACUCUCCUGCUUGGCAUCAUUGCCUUGGCCAUCCAUUCCAUCGUGUGCUCUCUCAUUUAGCGCCAUCUCUAGGCUUUAAAGUUUCUCAUGCUUUCUGUAAGGAUUGUGCACUUAGCAAAUCCACCAAACUGUCAUUUCUUAGUAAUAAAACCUUUGCCCCAUCUCCCUUUUAUUUAAUUCACUCUGAUGUAUGGAUGUCCUCGGUCAUUUCUGUCACUGGUUAUCGCUAUUAUGUCUUGUUUACAGAUGACUUUUCUCGUUACUCCUGGAUCUAUCAUAUGCACCGUAAAAAUGAGGUCUUUUCUCACUUUCAAACCUUUCUUGCUAUGGUUAAAAAUCAAUUUCACACCACUGUACAAAUUCUUUAAAGUGACAAUGGCACUGAAUAUGUUAAUAAUGCUUUCUCUGAUCUUUGCAGUCAACUAGGCAUCCACCAACGUUUCACAUGUCCCCACACUCCCCAACAAAAUGGCCUAGCUGAACAUAAACACAGACACAUUGCCACCAUGAUCUGUCCCCGGUCAUUUAUUCAACCAUCUUGACCUUUUGCUUGAUCAUUUUCCACAAGCAACCGUCCACGUACCCCAAUAAUUUAAAAGGGCUGAUGAUCUUUAAUUUGGUGAAAGCUUCUAUCUACCUACCGUGCUAUAUAUGAGCUAUGCAAUCGUGACCGUGUUACAUGACGUCCCAAUGUCGUAGGGAUAAAAAAAUAAUAGUCAUGGUUUUCUUAUUAAUGUCAAUACAUUCAUAGCAAAGAGCUUGUAGCUCUAGUGGUUAAGAGCAAUUACCCAUGCACUUGAGAUAUUUUGUGUUUAAAUCCCCUCUUCCCCAAUAUUUCUUGUAUAAAAAUAAAAAUAACAAUAAUAAUGACAUUAAUGUUGUAUUCUAUAAAGUGUUGGACAUGUUUUAUACCCCUUUCUUGCAAAUUACAGUUUGCCACGUGUACAAAAAUAAUAGAUAAGUGUUGGACAUCAAGAGCACUUACAUAUAGGUUUAAUAGGUAAGUUUUGAAUAUUUCUGUAUUUAGCUUUAAAUAUUGAAAAUCAACCUAUUAGCAUAUUAAAGAUUUGUCCAUAUUCGACGUACAUUCUCUUAUUUUUCUCUCAUUGAAGUAAAUACAAAACUAAGCACAUAGUGGGAAAGUGCGUCACGAUUAGGGGUGGGUUUAGUCUAGGUUGGUUCAUUUUUGGGCUCAAUUUGAACACCGAACUGUAAGCUUCGGUUUGGCUAUUUUGGAAACCGAAACCAAACCAUAAUUGAUGAAAACCGACCACUUCGAUUACCUUCUGGUCUUCCAACCAGAAGAAAACUCAAAACUUUAACCAUACCAAGUGCAACAGAAUUACACCAGGCUGGAUUCAAGUUUAUGAUGGUUAAAGAUAAAAACUUAUUUGACAUACAAUUUGAGAAUGGAAUCCUCAAAAUUCCACACCUGCGAAUACGGGGUUUAACAGAAAUUUUCUUCCGCAAUCUUAUUGCCUAUGAGCAGUGUGAGCUUCAUGAUCAUUACAUCAACGACUAUGUCUUCAUCAUGGACCGCCUGGUCGACAGUGCCAGGGAUGUGGAAUUGCUUGUGAAGAGUGGAAUUCUUGAAUCUAUGCUACCGGACAGCGAGGCAGCAGGGGAAUUUAUUAAUUCUCUUGACUUGGGGCCUAUUUUAGGCAAGCUUGAAACAAGACUAUUUCAGUUCACCAUGGGCUGGCCUGUCUAUUAUUGUAGCCGCUAUACUAGUUGUGCUCACAUUUAUUCAAACAGUGUGCUCCGUAAUGGCGCUGUAGGUUCUUCAUUUCCUCAAUUUCAUGUUUAGUGGUUGCAGAUUUGUUGCUCAUGUACGUGUUUAUCUAAAGUUAAAUAAGAGUGAUUGACUGGAUUGACUGUUAGUCUGUUAGUUUGUUUUUCUGGGGUUUUUCCCCCCUGUUCGUCAAAAAAAAAAAUAAAAGAGUGAUGGCUUGUGCCUAUGAAAAUUACUUAGGAGUAUGCUCCACAGAGCCAAAAUAAAUAAACUAGGGAAGUGGAGGUUCUUCUGUUUGUAUAUAAAUGAGCAAUUCAAACUCUCAGUGCCAAGGGAGUUACCCUUGAUACAUUUGUUAAAAAUUAUAUAUUUGGUCUUACAUCAAACAAAUAAUUUGAAGGGCUUUUUUGACAACUGCUGACAGCGUUUGGCAGAAAAGUUUAGAAGCGCUUCUACGCUUCUAGAUCAUAAAAGUGCUUUACCAAAAAGCACUUAGAUUUCUUAUGAAAAUUUCAACAUUUUUAUAAUAAAAGCGCUUGCUAGAAGCACUUAUAAGCAGAAGUGCUUCAUAGAGAAGCAGUCCCAAACGAGCUUGAUUUUCAAAUGUGCUGCUUAAGAAGAAAUUUAAUACGUUUUGAAAACAAAAAAAAAUACGAAAUUUAAUACGUUUGUUUUACAAAUUGUAUUAAUUGUUAUCAAUAAUACUUGUGCACACCCACAACAUACUUCUUUCUUUCUUUAUUUUCCUUCAGUACAGUUCUGCCUUUCUUUAAUUAUUUUUAACGAAUGCAAAGAGUUUGUCACAAAAUCAAGGAUUGAAAAAAAAAGAGAGUAAAUUAUGUGCUAGAGAAACUUUCCUGCAGAAAUUGAAGAACAACUCUAGUUUCUCUCUUUCGCCUUGUACUCCCGCACUGAGGUUAGUAUUGUUAUAAUGUGCAGAUUAUACGGUCACUCUUGUAUAAUGGCGAGAAGGCUCUAAUUAUAUUUUUGAACCUCUUUGACAGGACCCGCCCCGAAUUUCCCGAAACCCAAGACGAAUUCUGUGGAAAUUCCCUACAUCACCCCGAUGUUGGGCCCACUUCUAAAACUAUAUCAUUUUUCCUAAAAAGGAAUAAGGGCACGAGACUUUCUACCGAAAUUUCGGCAGAGUCUCUCCUGUAAAUUGAACAUUUCCCAAAAUUUCAACCUGCAUAAAACACAUUUUAUAUUACCCAACUGGCAGCAUGCACAAAAUAAUAACAUGCAAUUCACAUAAACGGCCUCUGGCCCUCCGGUAAUUCAGAGCAAUGCAAACUAGCAACUCUAAACCUAAUAAAACAACAUAAGUAACAUUUAGCCAGCGGCUGCACCCAGGCACUACCCUAGGCUACCUACGUACCCUUACUAAGGGAUCAAGCCACACGUAGUUCUUUCAUACAAAAUUUCCAAAUCCAUCAACAUGCAAUCAAUUACAGAAUCCCAAACAAAAUCUUUCUCAAACAUCAUUAGUUCCCAACUCAGUAUAAUAAUCCUUAAUUCAUCUCUGUAAUAAUCACAAUAUCUCCCCAUACGCCGGAACUACCAACACCACGUAUGGAGCCUGCCUGUACGCCAGAUAACCAACGACACGUGGGACCUCAUCAUCAUAUCACAUAAUCUCCCCAUACGCCGAAACUACCAACACCACGUAUGGGGUCUGUCAACACGCCGGAUAACCUACGACGUGUGACCUCAACAUCAAAUCACAAUAUCUCCCCAUACACCGGAACUACCUACGCCACGUAUGGGGUCUGUCCACAUGCCGGAUAACCUACGACACGUGGGACCUCAUCAUCAUAUCACAUAAUAUAUUAACGAUCAAGAAAUAUCACUACGGUCAUUUAAUCCUCCUGGGAAGGUAAAACUAUCUCAGGAGACUCACGGUCAACCAAGGGUCAAACUACCUCAUACUUGGACAAACGAGCCCACGGAGCCCACAACCUCCGUUUUACUAUCCAAGAGUUCCUAUAGGUUCUACAAGGUUUAGGAUACACGGCUUGCAAGUUUGGUCAAGAUCAGACGGUCGGAUCGCUCACGAUAGGACGGUUACUGCAAACCUAGCCCUAGGGUUGGCAUUUUCGGAGUAUCCGAAACUCCGUUUUACGAUCUGUCGAAUCAUAGACGAUCCUAAGGAUUUGCAGACUAACUAUAAUAAAUUCAAGACCAUCCAACGGUCUAAACCUAUCGAACCCGGAUAACGCGCAAUAGGCAAUAUCCAAAUUGAAAUCCGAGCACACCUACGCACUCGUGAGGACUAGGAGAUUACAUCGGGACAUAGUGCCCUUUUUCUACAGUGCCCAUGAGCCGCCGCACGCACCAGCAACGCGUGGGUGCCCAAAGCGAUUAUGCAUCGCCAAAAAAUCUCAAAACCACGGCUCAAGACUCCUACCCUAGGUAUAACACCCUAUUUGGAACCACUUUUGUUCUUGGACCUACCCCAAAAACUGAUCAGAAGUGGCCGGAAUGGCUGAAAUGUAAUUCAAAAAUCAAGCUACCAACGCUCAAAAUCGAUGCAAUCCUACCCAACCAUCAACUAGAUUAUGAAGAAUGGAUAAAUUUCCAUACCUUGAUCGCCAACAAUGGCGGCCGGAGGAGAGAGAUCUGAUCCGGCGAAGUUCGAGUGAAAACGGCCAAAAAUCAUCUUUUUCAGGCGGCUGGAGGGCGACCGAUGUCAGGGAAGGGCAGGGUCGUGACGCUAAGGCUGAGCCUGUCCUUUUGGCACCGGUCCCUUCCGCAGCCGUGUCCGGUGGCUGGAGUUUCGAAGAGAGAGAGAGAGAGAGAGAGAGAGAGAGAGAGAGAAAUCUGAUUUUUAUCAAACCUUUUUGCCAAAAUUACGGUUAUGCCACUGAGGGUAUUUUGAUAGUAUCUCUCUCGUUACAACUUCGAUUCGAGCCCACCACGUGUGUACGGACUCAUCUAACUGUGUUGUACGCAACGGUAUAGUCGAAAUUCCCAAAUUAUUUCCUUGUCAAAAAGUCAACUUUAAACAUUAUAAAAUAUUUUAGGGAAAAAAUGGUAUUUUCUCUCAAUAAAUUAGUAACUAAUUUAUUUAGGACUGGGUCAUUAUACUCUUUUUCGCUUCAAUGGAUGGGAAAAAAUUUUAUGUAAUAUCCCACAUCGACCAACGAAGAGGGGGCGAUGUGUCUUAUAUGUACAUGCCCGCCUCCAUCUAGCAUAAGGCCUUUUGGAAGCUCACUGGCUUCAGAGUCAUGGGAACUCCGAAGUUAAGCGAGUUGGGGGCUAGAGCAAUCCCAGGAUGAGUAACCCACUGGGAAGUUGCUCGUGAGCUUCGAGAAACAAAACCGUGAGGGCAGAGAGAGGGGCCCAAAGCGGACAAUAAGGCCUCGUGCUAGAUGGAGGCGGGCAUGUACAUAUAAGGCACAUCACUCUCUCUCCGUUGGUCGAUGUGGAAUGUUAGAAUGGAAUUGUUACCUUUGGUGUGGAGGUGUUCUAUCAUUUGAGCAAGAAAUUCCCACAUAUUCUUCAACUAUUUUUCAAGCAUGCAUAUUCCUCCCUAUCAAUCUUUGGUUUCUUCCUUUACUGUGCAUAGUAAGGAUCCAGUCAGGGACGGACCGUCGCUAUGACUAUCCUGGGCUAUAGCCCAGGCAAAUUAUUUUUUUUUCUAGUCUAAAAUAGCAAUCCCACCGCUUGCUGUAGUACUUGUUCAGUUCGUCACAAACAUGAGCAUAAUAGAAGUUAUCAACAUCUAUAUAGGAACCCCAAUGAAAAGGCUGUUAACUAAUAAUGAAGUUAACCCGUCAAUUUUUCCGCAUAUCAGAUAUCUCUCAGAAUAUGCGAUUCCAUAUUCAAUAAGCCACUCCACAUGCCCUGAGGUUUUCAUCAAACCACCCAUUAAGGAAACAUACUGACUCAUGUAAUUAUCAUUACUCAUCGGGUAAUGCAAUUGUUCAAAGGCAAGGACAUUUCUCAUUAUUUAUGUAGCGAACCCCAAUGGAAAUGGUGGGAUCUUCAGAACCCCAUCGGUGCUACUGAAUUGUAUGUCAAAUAUGUUUUCACCUUGUCACGCCUCAAACUUGACUCCAGCGUGCUGUAAUUCUGUCAAGCUGGGUAUGGAUGAUGGGAGUUUGAUGCAGGAGCAUAGGGGUGGAUCAAGAUAGAUAUUUACUAUUUAAUUAGUUAUUUCAUGAUAUAUUGUUAUUUUCUUAUUUAGGUAGUUUUAUGAUAUCUUUUAUUAUUUAUGUGUGAUUUUAUAAUUAAUUAGUAUACUUUUGGACCAAGUAGCCUUGGUGCUCAAGUCUUGUAAAGCCUAUAAAUAAGGCUAAUGUAAUAGUUGUAGAAUAGAUGUCGAUGAUUAAUAAAAUCGUUUAUUUGUGGCAUGGAUUUGCUACGAUAUAUGUGAGUUUGCACUAGCCCUAGAUUUCAGUGCUCGUGUAUGUGGUUGGUGACCUGUGUCCGGAUCCCGAUCCCCAUCAAUUGGUAUCAGAGCUAUGGCUCAAGAUCUGCUAUAUCGGGGAGGUUUUUGGAUGGAGGGUCGUUUUAACAACUACAACGACAUGGAGGAAAUUAGGAGGAUGCUACGGCAACUUAUGGAACACAUUGCUCGCAUUGAAGCUCGAACCCAGAUAGGUAAGAGUUCUGACGGGGAGGGAUGUGUGAACCCUUAUCUGAACCGAGUAGCUCGCAUCGACACUCUAAGCCGUGAGAGUCUCGACGGGGAGUACGAGGGAGAUAGCCCUUUUCAUUAUUGUGCUCCGCUGUGUGAGUCAAGUGAAGAGGGGCACGGUUAUUCUCAUUGUGUCUUUGAAGGUAUAAAUGAAUUUAGUAAUUUUGGUGCAUCUUGUUAUUCAUCAAAGUUAUUAAAUUUGGAUUUACCUCCAUUAUUUGAUCCUUGCAAUUGUGAAAAUUGCAAUAAAAAUUGUUUGGGUGUUCAAAGCAAUUUUGAUAAGCAAUUUAUUGACCAGAACAGUGAAGAGAUGAGAAUUGAGAAAACUUUCGAAGAUAUUAUUGAUUUUAUGGGCAUUAAUAUUUUCACUUGGAAGGUUGCCAAAAAUCUGGUUGAUUUUGUCAAUCGGUUGAAGAUUCUAGAGAGAAACAUUUGCAUUGCUAGAGGGAGUAAGAAGUCAAGAAUAACGAAAUAUUCCAAAUAUCUUUUUAUUUGGAAAGGAAGGUUUCAAUUGGAUGCUAAAAGAUCCAAAAUUAAUAUGCAGCAAUUGAAGAUUCUACUCGGAUUUUCCUUAAUCAAAGGCUUGAAUUCGAGGACGAAUUCUUUCCAACUAUGGGAGUCUGAUGCAGGAGCAUAGGGGUGGAUCAAGAUAGAUAUUUACUAUUUAAUUUGUUAUUUCAUGAUAUAUUGUUAUUUUCUUAUUUAGGUAGUUUUAUGAUAUCUUUUAUUAUUUAUGUGUGAUUUUAUAAUUAAUUAGUUUACUUUUGGACCAAGUAGCCUUGGUGCUCAAGUCUUGUAAAGCCUAUAAAUAAGGCUAAUGUAAUAGUUGUAGAAUAGAUGUCGAUGAUUAAUAAAAUCGUUUAUUUGUGGCAUGGAUUUGCUACAAUAUAUGUGAGUUUGCACUAACCCUUGAUUUCGGUGCUCGUGUAUGUGGUUGGUGACCUGUGUCCGGAUCCCGAUCCCCAUCAGAGUUCCCCUCCAGCUUUUGAUUCCAACGGUUGAUAGAGUUUAAAUAUUUUCCUGAAAAGAUCAAUAAUAUGUGCCACUGAUCUAAAAGUCUCCAAAUUGUCUUCCAAUUUGUCAACAGGCAAUAGAUGUUCGAAGAAACUGAAAGAAAUACAAAUUAUUGAAAGCCCCUCAGUAAUGCUGUUAUUGUCAGCAUUAGCAGGGAGUGUAAUUUUCUGUGGGUCGAAAAGAUCCUCGAGAAUGAAGAAUGGCAACUGAUUUUCAAGCAACCACGUAUCUGUCCAUGCAUCUUGCAACAUACCUGGUUUGUCAAAUAUGCGGUCAUUUUCGUCCCAAAAUUUGAAGUAGUCCUUCAAUAAGGGCUCAAUAACGAAGGCGGCGCCCACUAGAAUGAUUGUUACAAAUUCAUCACUGCUAAACUUGAUGGGUUCUCCAUAACAACGUCUCAAUCUUGCUUCGUGGUCCUUUAUUUUCUUAAUAUAAUCCUCCAAACUCACAUUGGUCCGACCUAUAAAAUCUUGCAGGUAUCUCUGUUUGUUCUCUUCCAAUACGACAUUCAAGCCUUCCUUUCCAUGGUGAAGUGGACCUAUAGAGACCGACUGCCUGAGGUGUGCAGAGCUUUUCAUUCACACAUACGUAGAUAAAAUGUCUGGGGGCUCAGAGAGUGAUGAAUGUGCAACAGCUAAUGGGAGGGUUUAUAUUCCUGAAGUAAGAAAUGAGGAAACACCAGCAGUUGGGAUGAAGUUUGACUCGCUUGACCUCGUUUACAAUUUCUAUAAUAGAUAUGCAUUCUUGGCUGGCUUUGGUAUUCGACUUCAUUCUAGCUUUUGGGGGAAAAAUAAGAAAGAGAUUUUGAGGAAAGAAUUUGUAUGUUGCAAACAAGGUGCAUACAAGAAGGAUGAAACUCGGGAGAGAAAAAGACAACGGGGAAUAAGUAGAUGCAAUUGCAAAGCAAAGAUUGUGGUUGUGAAGACAAAUGGGAGCAAGAAGUAUACCAUUUCUCUUUUUGCAGAGGGACACAAUCAUAAGAUGACACCCUCAGAAAGAAUGCAUUUAUUGAGAUCACACCGUCAUAUUUCAGAUUCUACAAAAGUACUCACAAAACAGUUGGGUUCAGUUAAUAUUCCCAUUCAUCAGAAGGUAAGUAUAUUCGAGGUGCAAUCCGGAGGAAUGGAUAAAAUCGGUUUUAUCAAAAAAGAUAUCUACAAUCUUGAAUGUAGUGUGAAUGGGAAGCUGAGGAACCACGAUGUUGAACUAGUGACCGAGUAUUUUAUGGCUGAACAGAAAAAAAAUGAGGCUUUUUAUUUCAAGAUUGAGGGAGAUGGGCAUGACAGGUUUAGUCGAUGUUUUUGGGCAGAUGCAACUUCUAGACGGGCGUAUGGGUUUUAUGGAGAUGUUGUUGUAUUCGAUACCACAUUCAACACGAAUCGAUACGACUUGACAUUUGCACCAAUGUUGGGAGUUAAUAACCAUGGUCAGACAAUUGUCUUAGCAUGCGCAUUUUUGAGCAAGGAAACGACUGAGUCGUUUGUUUGGAUGUUUGAGGAGUUUAAGAAAGCCAUGCCAGGUGGGGAACCUAAAACGAUCAUUACAGAUCAAGAUGCGGCAAUGGCCAUAGCGAUUUCAAUAGCCUUCCCGAGUACAUUUCAUCGACUUUGCAUAUGGCACAUCACAUCAAAGUUCUCUGUUAAGUUACCACGUGACGCUUAUAAGGAGUAUUGGCCUGAAUUUCAGAAAGCCAUAUGGGAUACUGACAAUAAGGAUGAGUUUGAUGCAAAAUGGAAUAUUGUGGUUAUAAAGGCUGGUUUGACUGACCAUCCAUGGCUAAGUUCAAUGUUUGAUUUAAGGGAAUCUUGGGUUCCAGCCUACGCACGACAAUUUUUUGCCGCUGGAAUGUCAAGCAGCCAAAGAGCGGAAGGUUCUCAUGGUUUUUUCAAGCAAUACAUAUCAAGGAGAAAUUCGUUGAUGGAUUUCAUAAUACGAUUUGAGAGGGCAUUUUCUCAUCAACGUGAAAAAGAGUUAGUUGCUGAUCACGUAGAUGCAUUUGAAGUGGCUCAAUGUCUUCUACCGAUGCCAAUGAACAAACAAAUGGCUACCUUGUACACAAGGACAAUGUUUCAAAAGUUUGAGCAAGAACUAAUACAAAGUACAGCAUGUUUCCUAGAGCUCAAAACAGAGGAUGCAUGUAAAGUUGUGUUCAACGUGAGCGAAAGGAAAAAUUGGGAAACAAGAGUGGCAGAAGUCGUAUAUGUCAAAGAUUCUGACCACGCAUCGUGUAGCUGCAAAAGAUUUGAAUUUGUUGGAAUUAUUUGCAAGCACAUCCUAGCAUUGUUCAGAAGGGACCAGAUUGAAUAUAUGCCCGAUAAAUAUAUUUUGAAGAGGUGGAAGAAAACUGCGAAAUGUGGAUUGGUGUCAGAUGCAAAUGGCAACGAAAUUAAAGACUGUGCAGAUCCUGGCCUUCUAAUAAAGCGGAGUACAAUGUCUCGACUUGCUUCAAAUGUGGUUGAGGAUGCAUUAAUGAGUGAAGAAGGAUGUGAGCUACUGUCAGAGACUCUAAAAAGUUUGCAGGUGAAGUUGAAGUUGCUGAAGGAUGGACCAAGUAAUAACGAAGUUGGAGGGUCCAGCUCUCAAACACAAUAUAUGAAAGACCCUAAGAGAGUGAGGUGCAAAGGAAGGUCGAAAGGAAUAACGGGAGCAAAGGAAAAGGCAAUGAAGCGAGGGAUUAGACACUGUCGGGAGUGUGGACACAUUGGUCAUGAUAGAAGACAAUGCCCAGCCUUGAACACACCGUAAGAUGCUACCACUAUUUGUAAUAAUAUCUAAAAUAUGAAAAGGUAAAAUUUUUAUGUGCUUGUGUUUGAUGUUUAUGCAGGACAUCACCGUCGAACAAUGACAAAUCAACUCCAAUACAUCGUAGUGACCCAUUAUUCGACGAUUUUGACAAGAUGCACAGACCAACUGAAUGAUUGAUAUUUGUAUUAGACGAAAUGUGGUUGUUAUGAAGAUUAAUGAUCAAGUGAAGUUUUAUAGAUUCAGUUUUUGAAUGUUAUUGUGUUUUUGUUCAUGUCCACCGAUGAGCUCUUACUAUGUCCACUGGUAAUUGAAAUGAAAAUUUUCUUGGUUUCAUUCUUCCAAGACAUUUGGAGACAUGUUAAUUUUACGUCUUCUCCCUAUUUAUAAAUUUUCAUAGACAUUUGAUCAAGUUUGAAAUUUGUAGUUAUGUGAAGAAGCAAUGACUCUUACCAUGUAAAAUGGGCAGUUUAGGGUGAAAUUUGUUUUAACAGAGAUUCAUUUUUCAAUUCCUCAGGGUAAUGCAGCAAUUACAGCAGCCAGCUGUUGUUUCCAUUACCAGUAAUCAUUUCCAGCAGCAGCCACUUUUUCCGACUGGUUAUUAGGGGCACGAUUUUGUACACUUUUGUAAGUGAAGGAUACUCGAAGCACUUUGUUGGAACAGAGCAAAUAGAAACCAGCGGGUAAAAAAAAAACAUAACAUUGCAGCUAAUUACAUUUCGAUACAUAGGUGAAAAAUAUUAAAGGGUACACUAACUUACAUAAAUACUCAUAAUUCCACACACAAAAGAACAUUUGAUUGCAAAACAUAUUAUGUGCUUCCUCAUAGCAAUACCACGAUCUCCCCAACCAACUGAACAACGGUAGCCACAAUCACUGGGUCGUACUCGUCAGCUUCUUCUUAGCAGGUCUCACAUGCUUAUGGCCACUCAUAUCCCUAGUGAUAUACACGAAAUAAAUCUUCAGCAAUAUUUGGAAUUUUAUUAUAUAUAAAUAAACCAUAAACCAUUCAGUAAACAAUGUAUAGCACAUGUUAUGUAACUUAUGACUCACGUGUCAGUUUUUUUUUUAACACAUUAGUACUCCAGCUCUUUAAUGUAAAUGGACAUGAUAAGGAGCAUUUACUGAUUCCCGGCUUUCUAUGAUAUUGACUGCUUCUUGAAUAAUAUUUCCAUAUUUGCAAAAUAUAAUGUUAGACAUUAUAACACAUGAUGACUUGCAAUACAUAGUCCCAAUAAUUAUAUAUCAAGCAAAUGAAACUGAUAUUUGUGUUAUUUUAAGUUAGAUAAUGACAUUAAGGGAGUAUAUGUGCAAUACCACGGUCACCCUCAACCAACUGAACAGCGGUAGCCGCAAUCACUUAGUCGUAUCGGUCGGCUUCUUCCGAGCAGCUUUGACGUGCUUAUGCUCAUUCAUGUCACCCCCAUCGUCUAGUAUCUCUCUCACAGCAUCAGGGGACACAUAGUUCCAAUCAUAACUUGUAUGAGUAGUUGCCGCAAAUGCUCGGAAUUUGUCGAAUCCUUCGUUGAAUGCCAACUCCAGUUCAGUAUGGUGCUCUUCGCAUCGCAUAUGGUUCAUCAAACAACCUUUGAUUUCAUCAUUCAUUACUGUAUCCAACUCCUCAGCUUUCAGCUUCCUGCUAUGACUCAGCUUCAAGUACUUGUUCUUUUGGGAUAACGCUUUGUUCACCCUAAUGUUAAGAUCAGCCAAAAUUGCCUCGUCUUCAACACAUUUCUCGUGCCAUGAAUUGAUCAGUCUGGAAUUAUAAUCCAGCUUGCCACUGACUGCAUGUAUUGCCUGUAAUGGAUCAUCGGAGUCCCCCUCACUCCCAAAUGAUGUUGAAAAAGGAAGGGGUCGGCGAGUACAAUGUGGAAAUAGAACCUGCCACUCCAAUUUGUCAUCUUCGAUUGUGUUGUUGGCGCCUGAAGAGGUUGACAUGCUUGAAUAAUCCUCUUUGUUUUGGGAGGAUGAGGAUUGCAUAUGCAAUUUCGUUUGAGAAAGGGAACAUAGGUUUAUAGACCAACAUACCAAAGCUUGUGUGUAGUCAACAUAUGUACUUUUUGGCGGGAAUUUUUUAAAAAUAGGUGUUAGGUUUUGCUUUUCAAGCAUGUCAACCUCACACUCUCCUGACACCACUGCUAGUGGUUGAAACAAAGUCAAUGGAAGUGACAUCUACUUAGUUAACUCAACCAAACUAGUUAGGAUUAAACUUAGAUUGUAUCAGACCAAAAAAUAAUUUCUACUUUGUCAACCAAAUAUUUUUUGGCGGGAACCCUUUUCUUGGUAUUACUAUCACCCCUUUCAUAUAAAAUCUCCUUCCACACAAAACUCACUCCUCCACCGAAUCUGUCUCCAUCUACCGAUACUCUCUCAAGCAAACAAACUCAUUCCCCCCAAAGAAUGAGCAUAAGCACAACCAAGUUUGAUGUGAGCAUAAUAAACACCCCUCCAAACAAAGACCGGCUUCGACACGCAAGUGAGUCACCGGACAAGCAAUGUCACAUUGCUAGACAGAAUGACCAUUUUGUUGGAAGUUUUGAGUCUGAAAGAGUUGUUGCUUUUUGGAAGGAGAGGCAUCUUCAACUUGGUGAUGAAAUCCAAAGGGCAAGGGCACGUUUGGAAUUUGUGGAAGGCCAAAUUGAAGAUGACAAAAGGCAGGCCAAUCUGGAUAGGGCGAAGUUGUAGCGCAUGAAGCGUAGACACAAACGACUUCGGAGUGUAGCUGUUCAAAAAUACAAGAACUCAUCUAAUGUAGUGGAGUCAAAGAAGCGUGUGAUGCAAGCUGGAUUCGACUACUUCCGAUCCUAUGCAAAACUCGUCGUACCCGGGUUUGAUUGGUCAUCUAUUACCGUUUCCGACGUCACCAAAUAUACUCAGCAAGGGAAGUAACCAUUUUGGUUCUCGUGUUUUAGCAGAGGCAAAUAAGUGGAAUUGGAAUUUUGGUUACACUCUGCUUCAAAGCUAUUUUGAUGCUAACUACUAUGGAAGAUUUAAACCUUAAUAUUUUGAUGUCUUUAAUUACGAAAACAGAAGAUGCAAAGAGCUCAUCUACUUCAGCCAUAUGUUGCUGCCAUGUCCAUUUGUUUUUGAUCACUUAUCAGAUUUGGACAUGGUUGCAUCAUAUGCAAUGUUGCCUUUAUUUAUUAUAUGUUAGGACAAGGUUUAUGGAAAAGCUUUUGUGAGUGCGUUUGUGACAAGGUUAUGGAAUUAUUAUGUACACUUUAUAUAUUGUUUUUUGUACUGGUUCAUUUCCUACUAUUUCUUGCUUUCUUUAUAUUUUAUGUUUGUGGAAUCCCUCUCAAAGUUAACAUAUACUGUGAAAAAAAUAUUAUGCAACUGAUUAUAUAAUCACUCAUAUAGACUAGGACAAAUAUUCACUAAGGGUUUUAAACUUGCUUCACUUGUGUGAUGUUAUUGACAAAAAGUAUGGCAUUAUUUAUGUGAUUUGACAUGAUUGAAAAUAUAUUACUGAUUCCCAAUGCGGCGUCAUAUGGACAACGUAUUGAAUACCUGUGACGUGUUAAUAACUCAAGGUGCAGUUGCAUGUGGACAACUUCUUGAAUACCUCUGACGUGUUGAAAACUCUAGGUGCAGUUGCAUGUGGACAACUUAUUGAAUACGAACUGACGUCUUCAAAGCUCUAGGCGUAGUUGCAAUGAUGGCUUCAAAGCAUGUGCAAUUAUUUUUUAUGUACAUUAUUAUAACAAAACAUAUUAUUGUAUAUAGUGAAACUAAAUAUUGUAUUAUUAGAAAUUAUAUUUCGAAUAUUAUCCGAAAUAUACGUGUUAACGUGAAUUUGGGUUAAGAGGAAAGUGAGUUAUGUACAAAUAAUUUUCAUUUUCUCAUUUUCCGGGCAUUUUUUGGAUUUUCGUAGAAUUUAUUACCUAUGUCCACAGAUUGUUGCACUAAAAAAGCCAAAAUAAUAGCAAGAGGACACCUGGAGCGAUCUCAGCCCGUCACUGAUGACUACUUGCACAAGUGUACGUCAGUCAACAUGGCCACACCCUCCCAUUUUACCCUAAAUUAUUAUUUUAUUACUUUUCCUUACAAAAAUCAGAACUAAUUACACACAAAAUAAAAAAAUUAUCCGAAAAUUGCUACGAACUCAUUGACACUCCAUCUCCGUUGCUGAAUUCUCCGAUUCAUUGUUACGUAUUUGUAAAAUUAAUUCCCAACAUUAACGGGAGAUGCUUGUUGAAGUAGGUUAUUCAAGUUGAAGUUAACAAACAUCAAUACUUAGGGUUAAGAGGAAAGUGAGUUAUGUAACACAAUUUGGAUUAUUUCAUUGCGAGACGAAUGAUUUAUAGGUUCUCCUAGUUUUAUGACGUCACAAGUAGGCCGGAGUAAUUUUUGGGGCAUUUUUACGAUUUUCCUACUAUUUUUUACCUAGUUUCAAAGAUUUUUGAACAAAAGAAUCCAAAAUGUAAAAGAAGAUGACACCUGGCGCGAUCUCAGCCCGUCACUUUUCACUACUUGCACAAGUGUACGUCAGUCAACAUGGCCACAUCCUCUCAUUUUACCCUAAAUUAUUAUUUUAUUACGUUUUGUCUUGGAAAAUUCAUAACUAAAUACACAAAAAUUCAAAAUUAUUUCUGAAAAUUGCUACGAACUCAUUGACACUCCAUCUCCGUUGCUGAAUUCUCCGAUUCAUUGUUACGCAUUUUUAAAAUUAAUUCCCAACAUUAACGGGAGAUGCUUGUUGAAGUAGGUUAUUCAAGUUGAAGUUAACAAACAUCAAUACUUAGGGUUAAGAGGAAAGUGAGUUAUGUAACACAAUUUGGAUUAUUUCAUUGUGAGACGAAUGAUUUAUAGGUUCUCCUAGUUUUAUGACGUCACAAGUAGGCCGGAGUAAUUUUUGGGCCAUUUUUACGAUUUUCCUACUAUUUAUUACCUAGUUUCAAAGAUUUUUGAACAAAAGAAUCCAAAAUUAACAAGAAUAUGACACCUGGCGCGAUCUCAGCCAGUCACUUUUGACUACUUGCACAAGUGUACGUUACCGAACAUGGCCACAUCCUCCCAUUUUACCCUAAAUUAUUAUUUUAUUACCUUUUUUCUUGGAAAAUUCAUAACUAAAUACACAAAAAUUAGAAAAACGAUCCGAAAAUUUCUACGAACUUAUUGCGAUUUCAUCUUCCUACUGCAUUCCCUGUUUAAUGGUUAUGCUACAUUAGUAUUUUAUUAUUAUUUAUCCACAAUUAUUAUAAUUAUUAUGAUAUUACUUUUUAGGCUGUCCAUUUGUUAAUUAUACCACAUCCAACUUGUUGAAAACAAUUUUAUUUUCCGUGCGAAUAGGCCAUUUGUAGUGCUUAUCGGUUUCUCUGUUCUUCAAUUUGUUAAUUUUUUUAUUUUUUAGGUUGAAGGGAUGUUUUGAAACAUAAUAUGGAAAUAUACAAGUCAUCCAUUGUACUCCUUCCACACAAAAAAAUAGUCUACGUCAUUCACUGUUCAACACCCUAGGUUAAGACACGUGUAACCAAAUCCGUUCGGAUAUGCUAAGUGGGAAAAUGUCAUUCCCAAGCACUGGUGAAAAGACACUUAUUUACUCCAUGCAUGACUUUUGGUUUACCAAAUAUGAAGAUUGGGGUCGGUGAGCAAAAUAUCUGUGUCAGUAAAAUGUCAUUCCUAGCCAUCUAUGAUGUAAGUAAUAAUUCCGCUAUAUAAUAAAUAUUAUACAUUUAUAUAUAAAACGGUUUAUGACAAAAUACCAACAUUUGAACAACAUUUAAACUGAGAUAGGUAUAACGUAGCCAGCCAACCUAGAAGUGAAGAGAAGCAAGUCCACAAUGCAUCAAAACUGUAAAUUCGUACUAAAACUAAUGCAAAAAUACGUGAUUCCCUCGCACAACUUACUCACGCAGGAUUUUGCACCAAAAAAUACUCUCACGGUGCCAUUUGCAUCGGUUGCAGCAAGUCCAAAACGCAGGAUUUAUCUUGUCUUCACUAGGCCACCCUGGAAUAACAAAAUACCAUUCAUUGUUGUUACAAGCGCUGCACCGAUUGAACUUAAUCUUCCCAUAGUCAAACAUAUCUACGAUAUGUCUUGCAACAAAUGCUCCGCGACAUCUUCCUGUUAAAGCAUCCCUGGUUCCUUUCAUAUCAAUGUUGUUACGUUGAUUCAAAGAACACAAGAAUUGUAAUGCAUCCUCUUUUGACUGACCAAUUCCGGACAUACCAAGUAGUCCAACUACAUAUGCCGCUUCCAUAUGGCCUGCCGUGGCUGCAAUGCGCAUCCCAUACAACGCUUCCACCUUACCGUCUGUGAAAAAACCUUCGAAUGCUUCUCUAAAUAUGGACUCAGGGUUAUCGCAAGCCCUGCAUUGUUGCAAGAAAUGCUGGACUGCAGGUUUGGCACGGUAGCAGAUAGGAUGGUGUGGGUACUUUGCCAUUGAAAUGGUGUUCCACACUUGUGGACUGUUUGCCAAAAUGUUGAACAAUCGGCACACACAUGCCAUACGGAAGAGAUCUUCCGAUGAUUCGGUUGCCACGUAUAACAUCACUUGAAACCAAGCGGACUCCGGGAUAAAGGCUUCGGGCAUAUCGAAAUGGAGAUGCUUCCUUCUCUUUCCUCCGACUGUAGUGAAGUGUUUCGAAUUCAUUGAAAAGUUUUUGGAAUGGAACGAUUUGAGGAGUGGCAGAGGGGAUAAAUGAUAAUAUUUGGGGUACACGUUCUACUUCCGAGCCUCUGUUUAUAGUGUUUUGAAAAGGUGUUUCCAGUUGGGGUUUUUCCAAGUUGACCCUUUUGAAAGAAACUGAAUCCAAGUGAAUUAAAACUUAAGACAAAAGAAGGGAAAACGUCAUAACGGUGCAUACAGAGUCAGACAGUUAAAAAGUUAAUUAAAUGGCUAUUUGCAUAGCCAUUUUUGGGUUUAUCCCACUAUCAAAUUCAUUGAUACAAAUGUGAUGGAUUACUGACUAGUGACAGAAGGUCCCAUCAUAUACUUUUUCAUUUUCGCACACCCAACUAUCCCUAGUAAUGUUAUUAAAAUGGAACCAAUAAUGACGGAUUCUUAUCCAACUAGUUGCCUUAAUGAAAUAUAAAUAAAUUAAUAAAAUUGAAGCAGUGUCCCGUCAUUAGUCAGAAAAUAUAUUUGGUAGUGAAGUAGUUUCUAUUGCUUUUCGGGCUAAAAGAUGUCACAAUGCUGACGGUACAGGUGUCGACAUCGUGACCAACCCACCAAAUGAUCCCAAAAAAAAGUAAUAUAACUCGAUUUGGGCAGAGAUGAGAGAGAGCUGAGUGACAAGUUUAGGGUUAUGAGUGAAGGGGUAUGAAUGACAACUAUGAGUGAGAAGGUAUGAGUCCGAAGAGGUUUCAGUGAGAAGAUUUGAGUGAGAAGAGGUACAACUGAGAAGAUUCAACAUGUCUUCGUCUUCAUCUCCUGCUCAAACAAAGAGGUGUCAGUAUUGUGGAGCUACAAUGGUGCUUCGGGUUUCAAAAUCUGAAAAAAAAUCGAGGGAAGCCAUUCUGGAAGUGUCUAACCUCCUAUGUAAGUUUUAAUUUAAAGAAUAUGUAUGUGGGUGAAAAAAAACCUAUGUCUAACUCUGACAGAAUUAUAUUCCAUAUAUGAUGCCUGCAAUUAGGGAGCCACCAGUUGCAAUGGAUUCGAAUGGGUUGAUGUAACCUCCGCUGAAGCAGAACAUCAAGAUGACACGUAUGAUGUUAGAGUGCUGAACAUGCUGAAGUCCAUUAAGGACUUGGUAUUAGUUUUAUUAGUUGUAUUAAUUGUCAUUUUAUUUGUUCUUUUAAUGAUCAUUUAACUGCACGGUUUAAAAGAUUGUGAAAGUUCUCUCGCACAAGACAUAUUGCACGCACCACCAAUGAGACCCUAAACCCAUUUUGUAAUAUUUGGUAACUGCAUGUAUUUCGCAUGUUAUUGAAUGUUUAUUGAAGGUUUAUUGAUAGUUUGCUGCAUGUAUAUGGAAUAUCAUUGCCCCAAAAUUGGAUGUUUAUUGGGGCCACAAGUAUCACUCAAGUAAGAAUGAAGGGGAGAAACGGACCUUAUUCUUUCUUAUAGUAGGAAGAACAACUGUUAAGUUUAAUAUCCUAUUCAAUACGACUUCCCUAUGGUUGGUGUACUUGGGGACUGAAGUAUAUUGCAUCAUUAUUGUGGGCAAGGGCAUGUCUAUUGUGUGUGUUAAGGGAGUAUUGUGUGGGCAAGGGCAUGUCUACUGUGUGUAUAUUGCAUGUCUACUGUGUGUAUAUUGCAUAUCUAUUCUCUGUAUAUGGCAGGCCAAGUUUGUGUAUAUUGUUUGUCUGUUGUGUGUGUAUUGCUUGUCGGUGCGUUUGUGAAUUGUGGUUCAUUUUGUGUAUAUUGUCUUUGUUUCUACUUUUAUGCUACUGAGCUGCGGAAAACCUCGCAUGUUUAGACACCUAUUAUGAUGCAACACAUUGCGAUUAAUGGUGGCUUGCAUCAACAAUGACAUAUCACUUUGCAAUGAUGUAAUACACUUAAAAAGCCGUCUUCAAAUCCCAAUUCACAUAUGCAGUCUUAAAAUUCUAAUUCAAUGCAGUUUGGUUAACAAACAUGUAAAUGUCAUGAAGGAGUUAGCGGUAGAAUUCGAUAAGGACCCGUACGUCUCUAUUGUGUAUUUACAUUAGUUUGAGAAUGGACAUUCCCAAAACCUUCUCAUGUACCAUUUGUCAUCUUCAACCAAUAUCAUGGGAAGUAAGCAUCUCCCCUUGUUAUCUCCGCAGCCAAUUUCAACCGAAAAAAAGGCAUGUUGUGCGAGGUGCAAGUAGCUAACGGAAGCUUAGCGCUGAAAAGCUCAAUGUACUUUAACACAAACAUGCCACAAUCGCCUCUGAAGCAAAACAAGAACUCGAUCAAUUCAACUAAUGACAUUCUAAUGUAAUUGACAAUUGAAAGUAAUAAAAUUAAAUUGCAAGUUGUGCUUACUCAUUAGACUGUUGUGGAACAUCCACACGCUCUAUUGGCCACGGACACCACCAAUCUCGGCUGCAAUUGUUUGCAUAAACACCUUCUUCAUAAAAGUCGAUGGUGUUGAGAAGAUUUGGAAGCGUAAUUGAUAGCGGGCCGAGUUCUUCCUUUACGAUGUCAUCUGGAAUUAGUGAAACCUUUGAAUCGUACACUUUGAUUCACACAAUACCAGAUCAAACANNNNNNNNNNNNNNNNNNNNNNNNNNNNNNNNNNNNNNNNNNNNNNNNNNNNNNNNNNNNNNNNNNNNNNNNNNNNNNNNNNNNNNNNNNNNNNNNNNNNNNNNNNNNNNNNNNNNNNNNNNNNNNNNNNNNNNNNNNNNNNNNNNNNNNNNNNNNNNNNNNNNNNNNNNNNNNNNNNNNNNNNNNNNNNNNNNNNNNNNNNNNNNNNNNNNNNNNNNNNNNNNNNNNNNNNNNNNNNNNNNNNNNNNNNNNNNNNNNNNNNNNNNNNNNNNNNNNNNNNNNNNNNNNNNNNNNNNNNNNNNNNNNNNNNNNNNNNNNNNNNNNNNNNNNNNNNNNNNNNNNNNNNNNNNNNNNNNNNNNNNNNNNNNNNNNNNNNNNNNNNNNNNNNNNNNNNNNNNNNNNNNNNNNNNNNNNNNNNNNNNNNNNNNNNNNNNNNNNNNNNNNNNNNNNNNNNNNNNNNNNNNNNNNNNNNNNNNNNNNNNNNNNNNNNNNNNNNNNNNNNNNNNNNNNNNNNNNNNNNNNNNNNNNNNNNNNNNNNNNNNNNNNNNNNNNNNNNNNNNNNNNNNNNNNNNNNNNNNNNNNNNNNNNNNNNNNNNNNNNNNNNNNNNNNNNNNNNNNNNNNNNNNNNNNNNNNNNNNNNNNNNNNNNNNNNNNNNNNNNNNNNNNNNNNNNNNNNNNNNNNNNNNNNNNNNNNNNNNNNNNNNNNNNNNNNNNNNNNNNNNNNNNNNNNNNNNNNNNNNNNNNNNNNNNNNNNNNNNNNNNNNNNNNNNNNNNNNNNNNNNNNNNNNNNNNNNNNNNNNNNNNNNNNNNNNNNNNNNNNNNNNNNNNNNNNNNNNNNNNNNNNNNNNNNNNNNNNNNNNNNNNNNNNNNNNNNNNNNNNNNNNNNNNNNNNNNNNNNNNNNNNNNNNNNNNNNNNNNNNNNNNNNNNNNNNNNNNNNNNNNNNNNNNNNNNNNNNNNNNNNNNNNNNNNNNNNNNNNNNNNNNNNNNNNNNNNNNNNNNNNNNNNNNNNNNNNNNNNNNNNNNNNNNNNNNNNNNNNNNNNNNNNNNNNNNNNNNNNNNNNNNNNNNNNNNNNNNNNNNNNNNNNNNNNNNNNNNNNNNNNNNNNNNNNNNNNNNNNNNNNNNNNNNNNNNNNNNNNNNNNNNNNNNNNNNNNNNNNNNNNNNNNNNNNNNNNNNNNNNNNNNNNNNNNNNNNNNNUUUUCCUCUCCCUCAUCUCUAUUAUUUGGCCCUUCACCCCCUUCAAUCCCUUCAUCUUCUUUUUCCUCUCCCUCAUUUCUGUUACUUGGCCCUUCAUCCCAUUGAAUGUCAUCCAUUUCCCCAUAUCCCUUAAAUAGAUGUGAGACGACACAACGAUUCGUCCUCUGUUUCAGUAAAGCUAGGUCCCUCCUUACUUCCUGCUCAAACUGAGGACCUAAACAUUGGUCCAAUAGUUUUUCCAUCCGUAUGACCUUUAAGUGAAGGACGUCUUUUUCCCGCUUUUCUUGAAACAACUCGGACCUCAACAAGCUUACCACCUUGUUCAACUCAUCAAGAUCACCACAUGAAGAAGGAAUUGACUCUGCCGAGACAACAGCAGGGCGAUCCUGUGGCCAACUCCAAUAUGGCUGUCUCAUUUCCUCUUCACUUAGACAUAGCGCCCGCAACUGAACUGACUGUUUCAGAAUACAGACAAGAGUCAUAUUAAAUCAUUCUACUUCAUAAUUUCAUUCAAUCUUAUCAAUAGUUCUAAGGGCUGCAAACCAAACCUCUUUGCUCUGGAAAAAAUAAUUGUUCAACUUUCUCAUCUCUGGAACAGACGUAGUAGUUCUCCAUCGCAAAAUACGCGGGACAGCGGUCGGAUCAACAACCUUGCAGUAAUUCAGGUCCGCCAUUCUAGGAAUUAAUUCAUAUACCCAAAUCUACACAAUUCACAGGACAAAAGUCAUUAUUUAUGUUUUAAAGAAAAACAAAACAUAACUGACAUGAACAUUAUUACCAUGUACCUGGAAAGCAUACGUGAAACCUUUAAAACUCCAGCCACUCCUUUGCGCUUCACUAUGCUUAUCCUUCUUGCCCUUCUCAUUUCUCCGGCUUGUUCCCGUUACCUUACUUUUCCCCUUCCCUCUUCCCUCUUCAUUUUCCAAGCUUUUCACAUACUUUGUUGGUGCAGAAAAUAGACUGUCUUGGGUUUUGUCAAAGGACACCGAACCCCACGGAUACCUGUUGAACGCAUCCAAGUCCUCUACAAGGGUCAGGUAAUUUAGAUUGAUGUUCAAAUGUUUGUCCCUUCCCAAAACCACUAACUCAGCAAAGUAAACAAGAGGUAGCUUGAAGAUGUCAUCUUCCUCUGUGCACCUCACAAAUGCUUCUUCUAAAGCAUUGCAUGUAAUUCCUUCGUCUAUAAAAUAUCUUUUCUGAAGUCUGAUUUCAUUACUCUCUCCACUGGAAACUUCAGGCACUUCCCCAAAACGAAGCCCUGUGAUCAAACAGAAAUCCUGACGAGUGAACUGAGCAACGUCACACCCUAAUAAGAAACUCAGUCCAUCCAAGUCUUUCACACCCUGCCCCGCUACUCUACGCAACACAACCCCAUGCACAAUCUGUCCGCUAAACUGAAUCUUAUCUAUAUUCAGAAGAUGGCCAAAGCAUGAUGUCUUGAAUUGUUCUAAUUGUUCCGCACUCAACUUCGCUCGAAUUGCAGCUAGAGAUGAAUUUGCAUGUGAGCAGUUGUUCACCCGUGAUGAAUAUACCUCUGCCUCUGGCCAUACCAGCUCCACGUUGGAUCCCAUUUCCUCAAAUACAAUGUGAAAUAACGUGAACAUAUAUACUACCACGUAUUUGCACAAUCACAACUAGUCAACCAGGCACAUUACAACUUUUACAAAGUACAUGAGCAUAUGGAUUACUCAUCACAGGCUUUAACAUCAUCAAAGCAAUAUGACAAUUUUUGUGCAAAUACCUGUUAAUGCAAUGAUUAUGUGAAUUACAAACAAUUUCACGUGUUUUAUUUAUGGAUCCAUACUCGUGUGAGUGCAAUGUAGGCAAGUUCUGCACUUCACACACAUGACAAUUAUUGUCAUCUCAUACACAACCCAAAAUAAAUAAAUAAGAAAUAUAGUGGAAGGAAGCAAAGCAAAGCAUGUACUCUGCUAUCUGCUUGCUAAGCAAUUGCCACAUCCUUCUUUCUUUCUACCUUUUUCUUCAGUCACCCACAAUCGUCAUAGAUCAACCUUCAUUUCAAAUGCUUUGCACUUUUAUUCAUGAGUUUAUUAUUAUCUGUUCUCAUUUCUCAUAGGCAAAUUUAGUAACAAAUGAAAUAAUAUUUAUUUCACAAAAUAUAUAAAUUCUAGUGCCAGAGAGGUACUCUUCACUCUGCACUGCUUCAAAUGUGGAAGGUUUUGAGAUGUUAUUGACAUGUGAUUGACUUUAUUUUCAUUCGUUUUUUAACAUAUACCCAAGCAAAAAUUAACAUGCAAUUGAAGCACAAAUAAGAGAUGCCAAAUCCAACAACAUUGAUGGUACAAAUUGGGGAAAACCAUUACUCUAACCCUAAACUCAAAUUCCUUACAUUACUCAUCAAAUGCUUUGCAGUUCUAUUCAUGAGUUUAUUAUUAUCUGUUCAAAUGUUUCUCAGGCAAAUUUAGUAACAAAGGAAAUCAUAUUUACUUCAUAAAAUAUAUAUAUAUAUAUAUAUAUUCUAGCGCCUCUUCUUAAUCUGCACUAUGCACUGCUUCAAAUGUGGAAGGUUUUGAGGGCCUCCUCCAAUUCAACACCAUUAUCUUAUUCAUAUCAUUAUUGACAUGUUAUUCACUUGUUAUUGACUUCAUUUUCAUUCUUUUUUUAACAUAUACCUAAGCAAAAAUUAACAUGCAACUGAAGCACAACGAAGAGAUGCCAAAUCCAACAAAAUUUAUGGUACAAAUUGGGGAAAACCAUUACUCUAACCCUAAACUCAAAUUCCAUAAAUUACUCACCAAAUGCUGGUUAUUGCAAGGUGUCUGUGUGGGGUCUUUCUGUUUCUUUGCUCCACAAAUGGAACCUACCACUUCCAACGAAUACAGCUUUUCCCCUUCCCCUUCCACUGCUUCGCCUCUUCACUGAUUUGGAAUCCACACCUUUGCCCCUUCUACUCCAAAUAAAUACUUUCUCGGGGUCUGGAGAACGGAGUGGCGAAUCGUUGCCUUCAACUGUCGUUAGCCGUUGCCUUCAUUGGGUAUCUCAGACCUCUGUGUUUUAGAGAGAUGAGUUCUUUCUGUUCAAACUUCGAACUUGCCUCUUCUUCUUCUUUUUCGGACGUGUUUCCCUCUUCUUCUUCUUUUUGGACGUGCUGGAUAUUCAAUUCGGGUUUGGGUUCCUUACCUACCCAAUUGUGAAACUUUAACUCAAUUCUCCCCAGCCCUUGGAUUAAUCUGAUGGCUAUAAAGUGAACCCCUUAUAACUUACCCCUUAUAACUUUCCACUCAUUAUAGUCUUGGCCAGGUAUGGCGGCCAUGCUAGUAAGUGUUGGGUCUUUGACCCAACUUAAGCUAAAUGGGUCAUAAGAUGACCGAUCAUCUUAUCUCAUAAGGAUAUAUAAGUCAUGUUAUGAUUUAGGAUUUUAUAGGGUUUCCUUUGUAAGAGGUAAGAGAGAAACAAGCUCUCUCUCUCUCUACACAAGGAGGUCAGCCAUAGCAAGGGAAAGGCUCCUAGCACUCUCCUCUCUCUUAUUAUAUCAUCCUUCCAAGGACAGCUUUGGUAUGGUAAAGUUGGAGGUUGCACACUUUGUGCACUUUGGUAAGAACUCAUCCAAGGGAGCCAAGAUUAAAUUGGUUAGCUGUUGGAUUAAAUUGGUUAGCACGAUUCAACGGUUAAUAGAUAAAACUUCACAUAAAAGUCAUAUAUAAGGCCCUCACUAUAGAAUGACUCGUUAGUUUAGUCUCUUGUUACAUAUCAAAUGUUAGAGAUAUUUUUUAAUAAGGAUCUGCCAUACCACAUAGUUGGAUAAGACAUUAUACACGGCUUUUGUAAGAGCAUCUCCAGCGCUCCAAACUAGCCCAAGCAGCAGGGGGGCCUAAGUCUAGGAAGCAGCUCCAGCUCGCAAGAUUCAACCCAGGCAAGGUGUGGAACCCACGAGGAGAUCUAGCCCGUCACCUUGCCUUUGGGUUUCAGUCAAGCUGAUGUCAACGAAAGAAUUUCAAAUUUUUUUUACCGUUACAAUGUACGCGCCAACGAUAAAUUUUCUUUGGAUUUCUUGCAUUGAUCCACAGCUACCAAAAACCAACAGCUACAAGCCACGUGGCUUCUCCAGGAGCCUCCGAUCCAAAAAUCAUGUCAAAUCUAACGGCAGUCCAUUUUUUGGCUAAAAAUAUCAAAAAAUUAUGGAAACAUGUUCUAUAAAUUCCUACAAAUAUUAUUCACUUCCCACACCAAAUCUUCAUACAAAUUCAUAUCCUUUCAAUAUUUUUCACUUUCCAUACAAGAUUUUCUACUACUAAGUUUCGUUUGUGUAAAAAUACAAAUGACCUCUUCUAUCGAAGCCGGAGGCGCGUGUACAACCGUGGAAGAUAUUUUGUUGCGUGAGUGUUGGGUCAAAGUUGGUCAUUCCCUGAUCACGGGCAAUGAGAUGAAGUCCUCUCGUAGGAGUUUCUGACAUCGCAACGAAAGUAAGAUGUGAUAUGAAAAUGUAAGGAAUUUGAUGAGAGGAAUGGGAUUUGAGGAGUUUGAUGUAGGAAUUGAUGUAGGAAUUGAAUUUGGGAGGUAUGUAUAUAAGAUUUGAGGGUAUGUGUUUAGGGAUUUUGAUAAGAGGAUUUGAGGAAUUUAGAUUUGAAGGAUUUGGAUUUGGGGAAUUUAAAUAUGAGGAAUUUGAUUAGGGUUUGGGUUUGAAUAUGUGAAAUUUGAUAUGAGAGUUUAGAGACAACAGAUGAUCGAUUGCUCUGAUACCAUGCUAAAAUAUGAUAUGGUUUGAAUACUUUAGGUUGAGUUUUAUUCUUUUCCAUAAAAAGGUAUAUAUAGGAGUUUACAUGAGUGCUUUACAAAGAAAUAGAUACAAUAAUCAAUUAGGAUAAUAUCUCCUAAUUAUACAAUAAUUUGUCAACUAUAUAGAAUAGGAAAGUAAAUUCCUUAAUUAAUCAAGAAAAUAAAUCUCAUUGAUUAAUUAGGAGACUAACGUCAACAUUUAUAAGCCAUAAAAGAGCAGAAAAAGAGGUACUUAGGAGAUUUUAUACGUCGGACUAAGGUAAGCUUAAAGGACUAUAUCAAAAAAAUAAGGGACCAAGAAGCAAGACAGAGAAGUUGUUAUGCAAACCCAUUAAGUUUAGCAGUGAUGAAUUUGUAAAAAUCAUUCUAGUGGAUUCUGCCUUCACUAUUGAGUUCUUAUUGAGGUUCUAUCUGAAAGGAUCUGGACAUGAAGGAGACCGCUUAUUAAACAAACCGUGGAUGUUUACAGCCUGACAUGUGGUUGCUUGAAAAUCAGCUCCCAUUCUUUAUUCUUGAGGAUCUUUAUCACACAUACAUAAUAACCGACUCUUUUAGGAAUUAUUACAGUACUCAUGAUCAUGAGAGGCUUUCAAUAAUUAAUAUUUCUAAGAAUUUCUUCACAGCCGGAAUAUUGAAUUUGGAGGGGAAGGGAGACAAAUGGAACAGAAUAUCAUCUUCUUCUAGUGUUGGAAAUUUUAUAUUAUUUAAUAAUAUUUAAUUUCUAUUGUGAAUGAAAAAUAAGUUUCUUUAAGAAACGUGUGUCUUAGGCCAGUUUUUCUAACUGGUCGGCUUCCUUAGAUUUGUGCCUAUUGCUUUUCAAAGUAUAAUGAUGCAAUGGUUGUAUCUCGUUCAGGCAAAUGGAAGGUAUAUAGCAAUUUAUAGAACAAUACAGUAAUCCAGAAGAAAUAUUAUGAAAUGAAAAGAAUAAAAAGUAAAAAAAGAGAAAGAAAGGAAUUCCCACCUGCAAUGUAUAUGUAUGAAAGGAAGGACCAAGUUUGUUUUAAAAUGGUAAGAACAAGUUGAUUUUAAAUUGGGUUCAGAUCAACUCAUAGAUUUCUUGCCUUUUCUGUUCUCCUUCCUUGGACAUGAACUGUUUAAUCUUGGACUCUUCCCCAUCAUGUUGGGCCUGUCUUCUUCUUGAGGAUUGUAUAGGCCUAGGAAAUGCUUCGGGGUAGUUUUUGUGUUUUGGGCAUUGGGACCCAACUUCACAAAAAGAAAACAAAUUUGACCAAAACACAAAUUUGAAGGACAUUGAAAUUGUACCCGUAGGAUAGAUUAAAACACUAUAAGGGAGGUAAAUAGUACGUUUACAGAGUUUAAGUGUAAUAAAGGAAUAAAAACAUGCCCAGAGAAUUGAUAAGUGAUAUCAAUUCUUGAAUAUACGUGAAAAUUAUUUUAUGUGGUUAAACCCCACCUCUGGGGAAAAUCCACGGAACUUCUUAGUCCAACUUCUAUCACUUAUCCUAGACACAUUCUAGAUAAUGUUUGCCAACCUCUUCGUAACUCAACUUCUGUCACGAGAUGAUCUUUCAACACUUUAUGUCGAACGCAAUACUGGUCACGAUUUCUUCAAGCUCGCCGGAGUUCUUCCAAUUCUCCUUAUAUUGAAUCUGAUACUAGUCACGAUCGAUUCAAGCUCAUCGGAGAAAAAUCGCCACAACAAUCUUGGUGCCCUCAACCGUAUGAGUCACUGAACAUGCAAAUGAAUACAAUAUGAAUGAUAAAAGUGUUUGAUAAAUCACCAAGUUAUGGAACACUUGAUGAUUUAUCUCAAAUAAAAAUUCAGCUUUCCAAAGUUUAUGAAUUGAAAAUAUGACCGUUAAAGCUCUCUAAACAAAGAAGACGAAGGUCUUAUUUUAUAGACUUUUACUUUACAAGAAAGAAAACACGUUGAAAACCAAAUCUCCAAUUUCCAAGGCUUGACAGAAAAUCACAAAAUUAUCUUUCCUAUUCUAGAGAUUGGUCACAUGAAGUCCAACCAAUAGGAAAUGAGAUAUUUAAGAAAGGAAGAUUUUGAUCAAUAUCAAUAUCAAAUGAAUUCUUAUACGCCUAGUCAAUUGUUAUGGGUAUCUUGACUCCUUGAUAUUGUGAUAUGAUUGAAACAUGAUUUCCACGUUAGAAAAUUAAGGGGAUGUUAAAACAUGAAGGUAAUAGGAGAAUCAAAUUGAUUUGGGCCAAAAUUGCCUAAAAAGAAAACACUCCUUAAUAAACUUCAAUUUACUUUUAAAAAUAGUAAAACGUGAUUGAAUCGUUCUUUAAAACAAUUCCCUAAUAUACAUGCAUGAUAGUGAUAUCACUUACCUUUGAAUCAGAUGGCUUUCACGGGUCAAGCCACAAGUUUUUGUCUUGGGGAUUGCUGAGCUUCAUCAAUCCUGCCAAUGUCAAUUUUGCCCCUAAGCUCUCUCAAAGCACGUUUACAACCUAUGCUAACAUAUAUUAGAGUUUAUGUUAGUAUCAAGAAAAUGCCAACACUAAUUUCGUAACACGUAGAAAUUGUUAGAGAUUGAAGUUUUUAUCAUUUUUUCUUCCAGACUCUCCACCACUCACUAAUAUAGUUUACUCAUGUGAUGAGUUUACAAAACCUAUUUCUCUACUCUCACAAAGACUAUACUUAGGGGGGUGUAUUCAAUUAGGAUUCUAAAGCGUUUAAAAAGAUUUUGUUUAAGUGCCAGCUUUCAUAGAACUUGAUGGAACUUUAUAAUUCGUAUAGAACUUGAUAGACUUUCAGAAGACUUCUGUAUAAUUUUUUAAUAAAACUUUCUUAAGCUUUCAUAGAACUUGAUAGGCUUUCAUUCCAAACUUAUGUAGAUGGUAUAUUUCAUUUUAUCCCCAUCCUUGACAUUUAAAGAAAGAAACUUGAAUUUUUUCAAUCAAAUUUGUUUUUGUUACCAAAGCAGCAAAAACAAAAAGUACUUGUUUGCGAUGGAAGAACAUAUGCACAGUUCAAAAUGAAAAGAAUAAGAAGCAAAGUACCUAUUUGACCAAUGAAUGCUGUGUCAACUAGAGAAGCAAUUGGAUCGGCUGUCAAAGCCAAUGCUGCAGGCAAUGCAUCGAUGGUCCAAAUUGCAAUAAAAAAAUAUUUUGAAUAAUGGCUCUUGCAGACAAAGACCACAUAAAUUCUGAACUGGUCUAGCUUGAAUAAUAAGGUUAGAUUAGCCAAUUGAUGAGAUUAAAAGCAAAGCAAGUUGAUGAAUUUAUCAUCAACUAUUUAAUAACCACAGUCCUGAUCUCUUGGACCCCUGUAGUCCAAGAGAUUUAUGGUCACCCACCGUUGGAUGUAAAUUCAACGGUUGACUUGAAUCGGGUAAUAAUCAUUUAUGUCAUAUUGCAUUUAUAUAUAUCAUUUUGAACCAUUGGAUUAAUAUCCAACGGUGGGUGACCACAAUCUCUUGGACUCCUGUGGUCCAAGAGAUCGGGACUGUUAAUAACCAAUAGAGUAUUUAAACAUAAACAACAAUGUUUGAUCAACAAAACAAAUAGUCCAAAUAUCAUCCAAAAAACAAUAACAAAAAAUCAAUCAUUCCAAACAAACUAGUCAUUCUCAAAAACUCUCAAAAAACCCACUCAUUCCAAAUUGUAGGAUAUCCAAUUUGAGCACUCCUCAGGAGACAUUUUCAAAAAUGCAUCCUUUUUUGUGUUACUAUGCAACAAAGAGAGUGCUUUAUAACGAGCAUGUUCAUCCAAAUUUGGGGUCUCCUUAAUGGCAUCCCAUAUAUAACUCCGCUGCUCUCUCUCUUUUUCCCUUUUUGCCAAUAGGUUAUGGACCUCCCGGAAGUCGAUGACAAUUGAAUCAAUGCUAAGGCUAAUUCUUCCCAUAGCUUGCUGGGUGGUCACAUUUGAGAUAGCAUUCCCUUCCAAAUAUGUUCUAGUUCGUUUCCUCUAGUAACAAGCAUAAAUCCUAGUAACAAGCAUAAACCCUAACCCCAACCUAUAACCUAAUAACAAGAAGAAAACCCAACGAGGUAUUGAUCAAAGAAAAAUUAGGGAGCAUACCUUCACAGAUGGAGGAAGGAAGCUGUUCGUCUUCGCAGAGAGAAAAUCUAGGGAAAGAGAAAAACGUCUUAUGAAAUACUUGGGGGGGAGGUUGGAUUUAUUUUGGUCUUUUUUAUUUAUAACUCUCCCCUUAAAACCUACGUAAAUUUAUCACUUAAUGAAAUCCUUCCAAAUAUAUGACCUUUCGAAUACACCUAGAUUUGAUUCAACUUUUUUAUAAUCAUAAUUGAAUACACCCAUAUUUGAAUGGACUUUUUAAAAGUUCAUAUAGGUCCGAAAUGAAUAUACUCAAACUUGUAAAACCUCUUUUAAAGUUUGUAUAAAUCCAAAUUGAAUACACCUGGAUUUUUAAAAUCUUUUUAAACACUUUAUAAUCCUAAUUGAAUACACCCCCCUUAUUCUCAAAAGACUAUAUUACUUUACCUCUAUCUCUGUGAAAUGUAAAAAGUUGAAACUUUAAUGUCAAACCUCAACAAAAGAUGAACUUUCAUCAGUUACGUUGAAUUUGGAUUUGUUGAACUUAAGUGGUUUUAUUUUCUUUGUCAGUGUUUGAUGACUUAAUUUGGUAUUUAUUUCUUCUUUUUUUUCCUUGGAAAUGUGUUCCACCAACGUGAGGAAGAAAAAUAUGCACAAAUUAAUAUAUUUAAUAGAAGCCCAAGAUUUCGGAUGCAUAUAAUUUCUACAAAAAUCUACAAAGUUUUUUACUUUACAAACUUCUUAUGUCUACCAAUUUCUACUAAAAUUAAUUUCUCUGUGGUGCUCAAAUUCAUCAUAUGUGUGUCGUUAAUUUUAUUGAAAAUUGGAAGUUCCCAUCAUUUUUGUUUUUUGGGAAUUUUCUGAACCAAGGAAAAUCAAGUAAAAUUAAUAAAGCCUAAAUUGGAAAGGGAAAAUAUCUAGAGGAUGCAUUGUAGGAUUGCUCAUGCCAAUAAUUGUACCCUCUAAAUAUAUAGAGACAUAUUUUUUUUGUUUUCAUGACAUGUGGUCCUAAAAUUAUUGUGUAAAUCUUCAAUCCUGAACGAUGCACCUAAAACUCAUCCACCCAUUCUCAGGCCAAUUAUUGCACCUAGUGGGCUCUCGACCCCCUCUCAAAUUUAACCACAUAUUUUAUGGACCAUCCAGCUGUGAGGUACAUUCCCCCCACAUGCCACAAUUGUAUAUUCACAAUUACGUCUGAUACAUCACAUCAUGCCACUUGCCUCAAAUGAAUUUAAGUGAGUGAGGCAGUUGGAAGUAAUUAAGCUCUAUAUUGGUGGGUGGAGUGUUACUUCUCGGUUCCCCUCAUCAUUCGUCUAUAAAAUGGUGAAGGCAGUUGCUAUUGUUACCAUAAGAGCCAGCUCCGACUUCCUUUAAUUUCUUGCUUCAUAUCCACUAGCUACAUCUGUUACCAAGUUAAUUUCAGUUCUAAUGGGGUUUCAUCUCCCACUCAUCUUUGCUCUUCUCAGUGUAAGCUCUGCAAUUUGAUUAACUUUUCCAUUCUCUCUCAUUGUACUCUAUAUAAACGAAAGUUUUGUGUUCCUAUUGUUCUCUCCGAUUUUAUUUAGUACGUACUUAAGUGUCGUCCACUAAUUAAUUAUACUUUGUGAUUUGAUUUUAAUUUGAGUUUGAAUUAAUGUUGCAGCUAGCAGCAGUGGCACUGGCAAACCAUGCUGCUCAACCAGCACCUCAACUUUACUGGAGCUCCGUCCUGCCAAACACACAGAUGCCAAGAUCUAUCAGUGAACUUCUGCAUCCUGGUUUGUGUUGAGCUCUUUAGAAUCUUAGAUAUCUCUUCUACCUGCCAUUUUACUAAAAUAUGUUCCACCACAUAUUUAUCAGUUAACCAUUGUCAUUACAUGAGUGACACAUAUUCACAAAUCGGCUGAUCACUUAUUUUCCAUUAUGACUUGAUAUAUAAUUUGCAGACUCCACAAAUGAAGAAAAGAGCACAAAUGACGUUGGCAAACCUGAAACUUUCCCAUUGGGCAAUCAACAUUACUCCAGUCAAAAACAUUAUGGAGGCAUACCUGAAACUUCCCCAUUGGGCAAUAAACAUUACUCCAGUCAAAAACAUUAUGGAAGAGGCAAACCUGAAACUUUCCCAUUGGGCAAUCAGCAUUACUCCAGUCAAAGACAUUAUGGAAGAGGCAAACCUGAAACUUUCCCAUUGGGCAAUAAACAUUACUCCAGUCAAAAACAUUAUGGAAGAGGCAAACCUGAAACUUUCCCAUUGGGCAAUCAGCAUUACUCCAGUCAAAAAAAGUAUGGAAGAGGUGCUUCUCCAUCCGACAAUCAACAACUCCAUUAUAAAGACUUAGCUAUUUUCUUCUUGGAGAAGGACAUGCGCCCUGGCACAACAAUGAAGUUCCAAUUCCCUAUAAAUUCAAACACGGCUACUUUCUUGCCACGAGAAAGCGCUCAAUCGAUCCCCUUCUCCUCUAACAAACUGCCAGAAAUUUUCAACCAUUUUUCAGUGAAGCCAACAUCUGAGGAAGCCAAAACAAUUAAGCAAACAAUCGAAGAGUGUGAAGCUCCAGACCUUAAGGGAGAGGAAAUAUAUUGCGCCACAUCUUUAGAAUCAAUGGUUGAUUUUAGCACUUCGAAGCUUGGAACAAGAAACGUUGAAGCAAUCUCGACGGAGGUAUUGGAAAAAGGAGCCACCAUGUCCAUCCAAAACUAUACAACAAUGCCGGGACUGAAGAAGUUGGCAGGUGACAAAGUCGUUGUGUGUCAUAAGCAGAACUAUCCCUAUGCUGUGUUUUUCUGCCAUGCAAUAAAACAUACAGCAGCUUAUGCUCUCUCCCUGAAAGGCGAUGAUGGGGAGAAGGUUAAAGCAGUAACCAUCUGCCAUCUAGACACAUCAGAAUGGGACCCAGAGCAUAUGUCCUUCCAAAUCGUCAACGUUAAGCCCGGAACCAUUCCCAUCUGCCAUUUCAUUUCCACUGAUGCUAUUGCCUGGGUUCCGAACCACAAAUCUGCAUGAUCAUCACUUAGCACUAGUACUGUGCGUAUAAUAUGCCUGUAUAAUUAUCUCCCUACUUAUUUCUGCCUCUUCAUCAUGUGGUGUAAGAUAUAUGUUGAGAUGAAGUUUUUGGGAUUUGUGGUCGAAAUUAACCCGAUCAUGUUUUCUCUUGCAACCAUAUAGACUUCAACUUGUACUCAUAAUAAAGCAUGCUAUAUUUAUGAAGAGAUAUUAAUCUUCAGGCAAAUAGAUAUUAUGAAAACAUAUAUAGCAAUUUAUCCAGAAGAAACAUUAUGAAAUGAAAAGAAUAAAAAGUAGAAAAACAGAAGGAAAGGAAUUCGCACGUGCUAUGCUAUGUAUGAAAGGACCAAGAUUGUUUUCCCUUUGGUUAAUGACUAGAAAAGCUCACUUGCAGAGUGCUUUCUCCGACCAUAGAUGGAAGAGAAAUUUUCUCUUAAUAAUAGCACAAUGAUCGGGUAAUUGUAAGAACAAGUUGAUUUAAAAUUCCUUGACCCAAAAAAAAAAAAAAAGUUCUUUUCAAAUUCAGGUCAACCCAUAGAUUUCUUGCCUUCGUCUUCUUCAUCACGUUGGGCUUGUCUUCUUUUUGCGUUUUGGGCCUUGGAAGUUGGGACCCAACCCAACUUCACAAAAAGAAAACAGAUUUGCCAAAAAUCAAAUUUCAAGUCUCUCCUCCGAUCACUAAUACAGAUCAAAUUUUGGAUUUGAUGAACUAAAGUGGUUUUACUUUCUCUGUCAGUGUUUGAUGACUUAAUUUGUUAUUUACUUUUUUUUUUUUACUUGAUCUUUGUAGGGGCUUUUUUUUUUCCGGCAGCUUAAACGGGCUGGGCUGCCGUAAAGGGUAGAUUGAUGAAAUUGUCCCCUUUGUCUGAAUUCGAAAAUCAAGCCCCAAAAGCGCUUCGAAAGGGCAGUAGAGCCUUAGGAAGCGUUCUGGUUACCUUCACUAAUUAAAACAACAGCAACUUACAGAUGAUUUCUUGAGGCUUACAGAUAAAUUUUCUAGCUUGGCAUGACAUGGAAGCAAAAUCAGCAUGAGUUUAGCACCAAAGAGGAAAAUAUGGCUUCCUAGGGAGAAAUGAGAGUGUUUAAGGUGAGGAAGAAGAGGUUUGCAGGCUGAUUUGGCUGAGAAAAGAGAAAGAAAGAACAAUGUUCUUCCGGCAGCUUGACAAAGCUUCUGACAGAUGUGAAAGUCGUCCGCCAGAAGAGGAAAAUGGAGAAGAAGGAUGAAUAGUGCACGAAAUUGGUGGGUUCUUGCAGGUAAGAGAGAAAGCUUGCUCUCUGAAUCUGAGUUGGUUUUGGUUGGGUAGAAGAAGCCCCCUUUUAUAGCUGCGGGAAACCAUCUUUUUCCAAGAAACCCUAAUGGUUUCUAUCCUUUUUGGCCAAGCUUUUCCCUUCCUUUCUCUUCUCCUCCCUUGACUUUUCCUAUCUUGGUGAAAUUUCCUCUGCCUAUUUGCACAAAAUUAGAGAUUUUGAGGAGCUCAAGGCCCCUUUCCCGCAGCUGCCUUAGUGGAGAAUCCCCAUUUUCAGUCAUCUUUCUUCCUUCUUUUCUCCCAUCUUCCAAGGCUAGGUUUGAUGAGAGAAAGAAAUGGAUAUGCACACUGGUUUGAAGGGUGUUUUUCCUUGAAACUUGUUCUCUCCCAUGUGCUGGAGCUUCCCAGCAGCUUACACACAUAGAUAUUUUGGCUUUCAUCGUGGCUUUUGUUUUCAGCUAGGUGCUGGAGAUUUUGCAUAUAUUUUCUUGAGUUGCUUGGGCCUUCUAGGACAAUACGUUGGUUUAUCAAGUGAAUGGGCUAACUUCAUCAAUUGUUGGGCAAUUUUGGUUGAGUUAAUGGACUAUUUUGGUUCAAGUAAUGGACUAUUUUGGUUGAAAUAAUAGGCUAUUUUUCUCUCUUUGUGCUCACCCACAUAUUUGGGCCUAAAAAAUGGGCUUGAGUUUCGGGGCUCCCAAGCAACCCCGGGACUUCCAUUUCUCGGCCCAUCAAUGAGCCUCAUGUCAACUUAUUACCAUCCAUACCACAACCCACUCAAGCAAGCCUCAGGCAUCUUGCGUGGCUUGGGCCCACGUAAGCUCGUAGUGGCAAUGUUGCUUAUUUGCUUGACGUGGCAUGUGUGCAAGUGCAUAUGACGAACUUUCGCGUGCCCAAAUUGAGUUUCUUCUCGGUAGGGUAUCGCAUUGGGCCGAGAAUUUAAUUGGGUAGAACCGUGGAUUUUUUGGGCCUCAACAAUCUUAUAUAUAUUAGUUUUCUUUUUUUCCUUAAUAUUCACCACCUUUCUGUUGCAUAAGUAUUCCAGUCUUAGCGGGUUUCCAUCUACCACUCAUCUUUGCUCUUUUAAGUGCAAGCUUUUUUAUUUUUAUUUUUUUAUGCACAAGAUUAGAGGGGAGGGAGAUUUCUCAAUGUAAGCUUUGCAGUUUCAUAAUUAAUAUUUCCAAUAUCUCACUGUUAGUAAAAUAUGGAACGGGAAAAGUACGAAUAAAAUACACACAUGUUUUAUUUAGCAAAAUUUUGACAAGAUACAACUGAAAAGUUUGGCCACUAUAUAAUAUUUUGAUUUAAUUUUUUUUAUUUUUUUAAUAUAUAUUAUUUUUAUUCAAUAAUAUGUGAAAAAUAGGUGUACAAUAUAUGAAAUUUGUAUGUAUUAUUGAAAAAUUCGUAAAAAAAAAACAUGUUAUUAAAUGUGAAAAAUAUGUACGUAUAUGUAUAAAACAUGUAUUGUACAUUACUUUUUAACAAACUUGUAUUUUACCUAGUCUUUAAACCGUAUAUGGAAAACGGAAGUAUUAUUGAAAAAUACAUAUGUACGUAUAUGUAUAAAACAUGUAUUGUACAUUACUUUUUAACAAACUUGUAUUUUACCUAGUCUUUAAACCGUAUAUGGAAAACGGAAGUAUUAUUAAAAAAUACAUAUGUACGUGUAUAAUAUGAGUAUUAAACAAAAAAAUGUGCUAAGUACUUAUCUUUUAAUUUAAUAAUUCAUUUCAUUUUGUGAUCUCAUACGUAGUAAUGAGAGUUCAAAUUAAUGUUGCAGCUGACAAUGGUGGCUCUGGCAAGCCAUGCUUGAUGCAGGAGUAUAGGGGUGGAUCAAGAUAGAUAUUUACCAUGUAAUUAGUUAUUUCAUGAUAUAUUGUUAUUUUCUUAUUUAGGUAGUUUUAUGAUAUCUUUUAUUAUUUAUGUGGGAUUUUAUAAUUAAUUAGUUUACUUUUGGACCAAGUAGCCUUGGUGCUCAAGUCUUGUAAAGCUUAUAAAUAAGGCUAAUGUAAUAGUUGUAGGAAAAGAGAUGUCGAUGAUUAAUAAAAUCGUUUAUUUGUGGCAUGGAUUUGCUACGAUAUAUGUGAGUUUGCACUAGCCCUAGAUUUCGGUGCUCGUGUAUGUGGUUGGUGACCUGUGUCCGGAUCCCGAUCCCCAUCAAUGCUGUUCUCCCAGUACCUCAACUUUACUGGAACUCUUUCCUGCCAAACACAAAUGCCAAGAGCUAUCAGUCAACUUCUGCAUCCUGGUUUCUAUUAAGGGACUUUUCGUGAGCUUAUCAUCUACCCAAAUUUUACUCAUCCGACGUAAUUUUAAAAGUGAUUUGAUCCUUUGGCAAAGUAAUCUUGAACUACAAAAAAGGAGGGCACUCGAAUAGGCAUGCCAUUUGGUAUUACCCACCUCUAAUUUCUUUUAAAAUUUUAGUAAUUGAUUUUUAAGAUUAGAAAAUGGGAAAGUUCAAAACCGAAAAAGUUGUUUCAGUUUUGGCAAGUAUCGGAAAAGACUAAAAUUUUCCGACUUUAUUAUUACUAGAAACAAAGUCGAAGUAUUCACCAAUCAUGUGGCCUUCCAAGUGCUCAAGGUUAAGCCAGGAACCGUUCCUAUCAGCCAUUUCCUUCCCAAGUAUGAUCAUGUUGUCUGGGUUCCAACCCACAAAUCUACAUCAGUACCUGAACUAAUCAGUUCUACAUGAAUAUUCAUUCAUGGCAACCUUGGGCUAAGUAUUUGAAUUUAUGCUCAUAAAGCUUUAAUGCUUUUGAGGGCCAAUCGUUGUCUACAUAUGGUAUUGUAGCAUCUUUAGAUGGAAGAGGUCAGGGGUUCAAUUCUUGUUUUCCACUUCUUUAUUUGUUGGUUUAUCGAGUGUAGAGUGGAGUUGCACCUAUAUGUUCGUCUCUCACCCCAUCAUUUACCAUUGAUAUAUAUUUAAUAGAAGCCUAAGAUUUCGGAAGCACAUAAUUUCUACUUUACAAACUUCCUGUGUCUACCAAUUUCUACUAAAAUUAAUUUAUCUGCGGUGCUGAGAUUCAUCAUAAUUUUAAUAGAAAUUGGAAGUUUUCAUCAUUUUUGCUUUAAGUCUCUACUCCACUCACUAAUAAAGAUUACUCAUGUGAGUUUACAAAACAUUUUUUUUUUCUACUCUCUCCUGAAGACUACACUUCUUCUCAAAAAAUUAGAUCACUUCACAUCUUGUGUAUGUGAAAACUAAUGUAAAAAGUUGAAACUUUAUCGUAAAACCUCGACAAAAAUGAGCUCUACUACAAAAUGUUAAAUUUGGAUUCGUUGAUUUAAAUGGCAAUUUGACACUUGAUAGAAAUUUUUACAUACAUGUGUUAGUGUUUGAUCACUUCACAUGUCACUUACUAUAUUUAUUCCACUCAAGUUAGGUAAAUAUUAUUAUCAAACAUUUCAAUUAAUUUGUGAUUUUUUUAUUAUUUAAUCAAUUAUGAAUUAAUGGAUUCUUCUUGUUGUUUUGAAGACCAACAAAAAAAAAAAAAAGGGUAGUGAUGGCUUAUAAUUCUGGUAAAACAACAGUGACGUGGACAACAGAUGUUACGCUGUACUAAAGAUUUUUGAAGAUUCUUUAUUUGAGUUUCUUUCAAGAUAAAAACCAUAUUAUCCACAACCACAAGCACAUCCGGCAGACAAUCUUUGGCUAUUCAUCACAAUUGGGAGACAAUGAAGAAGACAGAAAAUGGAGUAAUUCAGAUGUUACCAGCCAUCCACGACAAACUGAAGUCUGCAAAGCAUUCGUAAUCUAAAAAGGAUGGGGAGGCUGCGCAAUACUUAGCCACGUGUAGGCCAGGAGGCUUUCCAAUUUUAAUAUAUAUAUAGAUUGAAAAAAUAAAAUAAAAAUCAAUCUAUUAUCAUAUAUAUUAUAAAAUAAAGAUUAUUGCUCCCAUGGGCGGUGCUAUGCACAGGACAGUGCCUGCCUAGUCCAAAUUUUUUUUAAAUAAAAAUAAAAAUCUACAUAUGUUAUAAGCUCAUCCAAAAAAAAAAAAAAAAAUAAAAGUGUUGUAAAUUAUAAGGUGGAGCCCACAUGUUGGAAGGCUUUGCCUACAAAAGGGUUCACACCCUCCCUUUGUAAUUAGACAUUGAGAAUACUAAGGAAGACAGAAAUGAAUAGAGAGAAAACAUUCCCUUCUCUCCAUCUCAAUUCCCUCUCCAAUUCCUCUAGAUUUAUAACACGUUAUCAGCAGCACGAAUCGCUUUCAAACAAUACCAGCUGAAUUUUAUGAUGAAACCCAGAUCUCUCAUCCAUCUCUGCUGCUCCACUACUUCAAAAUAAAUCCCACAGAAAAAGAAAAAGCCUCAAUGCUCUCUCUCUCUCUCUGUCUCGCUUGGGAGACUUGGACAAUUCCUCAUCCCCGUUACUGACAAUUUCAACAGCUUCAGGGGAAGCUAGUUUAUCUUCCUCUGCUCACGAAACCAUGACUCUUUCAGAGCCAAACAACAACACAAUAGACAACGCAUGGAGACCAGACUGGAGCUCGUCGGCUAAGGCACCGACGAUCCGACCCUACCCGUAUGGACCUUCCGGAUGUGGUUCCUGGGUCUUGUCUCAUGUGCCCUCCUCUCAUUUCUCAACCAAUUCUACAAGCAGCAGAGCUUCAAAUCAAACAGAUCAUGGCAUCGCUUUCACACCUCCCCAUCUUCCUCUUCCUCCUGUUCACCGCUUUCUAUUCUACAGCUUCGCAGUCCUUCAUCGGCGCAUCCAAAGGCGACAUACCGGCGCUCGCCUCAGAUCCGAACGCGGCGGCUCAGUGGGUGAACUCGAAUGUCCUCGCCUUCUACUCGGCCAGCAACAUCGACCUCAUCAACGUCGGCAACGAGGUCCUUUUUCUCCAACGACCAGGGCCUCAUCUCGCAGCUCCUCCCCGCCAUGCGAAAUGUCCAAUCUGCCCUCUCCGCCGCGUCCCUCGGCGGCAAGGUCCGUGUCUCCACGGUCCACUGCCUCGCCGGAUCGGGAUCCUUCCUUCAAGUGUUUCUCUGUCUUCGACUUGAAAAAGAAGGUCAUGGCAGGCCUAUGUAAAAAUUGCGAAAAGGAAGGCAAUCUUCAACCUUUUCUCCUGUCUCUCUCUUGAUCAAUUCAUGGAAGGCACAUUUGGGUCUUCCGGGGGCUCAUCAAAUGAGUCAGCAAUGUCAAAGGUGGAGGUGGUGGAGCAAGACUACGUGGGGAUGUCAUAUGAGGCAACCUCAUACCCAGCUGAGGCAGAGCUUGUGCUGGGCCUGGGCCUUGGCCUGAGCCUUCGUGGUGGUGGUGCAGGGAAGCAGCCAAAGCCAUGUGCAUGGGGUGAGCGUGGUAGAAUCUUGACUGCUAAAGUUAGGUGCUGAGUUACACUGUGUUCUCUGCUACUGACCCUAAGAGGAGUGCUAGAAACUUCCAUGUUCCGCCAUCAUUUCGCUUUCACUGUUACAAGGCACUGGAGUAUGUUUAAUUGAAAAGUGAGAUACACAGCAAGUUGAUCAGCCUAGUGGAAAGCAAAGGAUUAUUGCCAGGGAUAUGAACACCCACCGAAAUAAAGGGAUAAGUACUCUUUUUCCCUUCGACCAGUUUUUUUUUGUCCCACUGGGUUUUUACUGGCAAGGUUUUUCACGAAACAUAUUCCGUAUCAUUUGUGGUCUCUAAGAGGGAGUGUUGUAAAUUAUAAGGUGGAGCCCACAUGUUGGAAGGCUUUGCCUACAAAAGGGUUCACACCCUCCCUUUGUAAUUAGACAUUGAGAAUACUAAGGAAGACAGAAAUGAAUAGAGAGAAAACAUUCCCUUCUCUCCAUCUCAAUUCCCUCUCCAAUUCCUCUAGAUUUAUAACAAAAAGUAAAUUCUACACAUAUGUUGCCCAUCCAGGUGGUCCCAUAUCUUCUCUUUCCUUUUCUUUUGGCUAUUAGACUUCUUGUUUCUCUCUCUCUCUUUGCUACCCCACAUCAGCAAGUUUCUCCCUCUCUUUUUUUGGGAUCAAAUUCUUCUUCUAUUGACAAAAUCUUCUAUUAUAUUGGGUGGGCAACUUGGCAACAACAUCUUCUCCUCUCCUUUUGUCAACAGCAAGUAUUAUUCUCAUUCUCUCAUUUGCUAUAUAUCUUUAAUUAUAGUUUUAAUUUAAAAUUGAGUAUUCUAGGGUUUAAUUAGGGAUGAAUUAUAAUUUUGGGAUUUUGUUGAAAUUAAUUAGGGCUUCGAUUAGGGGUGAAUUAUUCUACUGCUUUGAUUUGGAAUUUUGUUAAAAUUGAGUAUUAUAGGUUUAAUUAUGGAUGAAUUACAAUUUUUGGUUUUGGUAUUGUUGAGAUGUUAUUAUGAGAAUUUGUUUGAUUUUUUGUUGGUAUAUUUGAUUAAAAUUCUUUCUACAUAUUAUUCAUAGGCUAUCUUUUAUUAUGUCGGAUCACAAUCGGAAUCCCAAGAAAACAAAAAAUUUGAAUAGUGUUGUUUUGUAUUGCAUUGCAUUUACUUUUGGUUUUAGUUUUGCUUUUAGUGUAAAUUACUCAAAUGGUCCUCAAAUUUGUACCCAAUUUACAUUUUGGUCCAUAAACUAAAUUAUUCAUUCAAAUGGUCCACCAACUCUUUAUUAAUCGGUGCUUUGGUCCUAUCGUUAUGUUUUCUAUUAAAUUUAGUCAUGUGAGCAGCACAUGCUACAUUUGUAUGGGUAAAUAAGACUUUUGACCAGUGGCGGAUCCACGUUGGGACAAGAGGGGUCGGACGACCCCUUGGAAGGCUGGAAAUUUGGCAAGGGAGUCCAUGAAAGCCCCCUUGGACAGCUGCUGGAAGCCCCCUUGUAUGCACACAAUGUGCUCGACGAAAUGCCCCAACGAAAUGUCCUGCGCAGCUGUGCUGCGCCUUGCGCGUAAUUUUUUUUUAAAACCAGCCUUGCCAAACGACGUCGUUUGGUCAAGGCUCAGUCAAAUUUUUUUUUAAUUAACCUGGCCUCAAAACGACGUCGUUUUGGGCCAGGUUUAAAAAAAAAAAAACAGAACAGUACACACGCACAGCAGCUCUGCACAGAUUCAUUUUCUCCAAACCUUUCAUUCCCAAUUCCACAGCCCCUCUUCCCAUCCUCUCAAACCCUAACCUCCCAACCUCCCAACCUUGGACAACCUCCAUCAACUCUUCACCGGUGGCCCAAUGCCGAUCACCACCACCUUCUACCGCCGUCCGCCGCCCAUUUUUUAAACUACAAGUAAGUAAGCAUGGAAAAUCUGAUAUUAAUAAUUAUAGUGAUAAUAUAUAUUGUUGAUAUUGAUAUUUUUUUUUUAUGUAAUGAAAUUUAUGGAUAUGAAUCAUAUUGAUUGAUUGAGUUUAUGCUUGAAAUUUAUGGAUAUGAAUCAUAUUGAUAUUUUUUUUUAUGUAAUUAAAUUUAUGGAUAUGAAUCAUAGUGAUAAUCAUAUUAAUGUAGAUUGAUUGAGUUUAUGCUUGAUUGAUAAUAUGAAUUGAUUGGGUAUAUUAAAUAUUGAUUGCUAUUUGAUAUGAUAAUUUGGUAUAUUGAAUAUUGAUUGAUAUGGGUUUAGGGAGUAUAUUGAAUAUUGAGAGUGGGUUAUUGAAAUUUUCAUAUUCAUAUGAUAAUUAGGAUAAAAAUUAAUGAUUGAUUGAAUUAAUUGAUUUGUAGAUUUAUGGAACGAUUCUUUAAAAGAAAAUUAUCUACGGAUAGUUCUUCUCUGUCUAAUCCGGGUAGUUCAAAUGCAAGACCAAUUGAAGUAGAUGAGAUCUUAGCUAAUCUUCAAGCAGACCCUGGACUAAGAACUCGAAUGGCGGAUUAUAGUCCUAAUAUUAGGGAUGAGAUCCGAAGAGCAUAUCUACAAAAGGGACCUUGUCAACCUAGAAGUUAUAAAUUCCCACAAACUAAUCAAUCAGGAAUUAAUAGACGCUUCAUUGCUCAUUGGUUUGAUGAUCAUGAUUGGUUGGAAUAUAGUAUUGCUAAAGAUGCUACGUUUUGUCUUCAUUGUUAUCUCUUCAAAUCUAAUUUUGAUCAAGUGGGUGGUGAUGCAUUCACUGGGGUAGGCUUCAAUAAUUGGAAGAAGGCGAAAGAAAGAUUUAACCUUCAUAUUGGACCGGUUGGUAGUGUUCACAACCAAGCUAGAGAAGUUGCUUACAAUUUGAUGCAUCAAACUACACACAUUGAAACAAUUGUGCUCAAGCAAACAAGCCAAGCUCGCACGGCUUAUCGCACUUGCUUGAAUGCAUCACUUAAGUGCACUAGGUAUUUGUUGCGGCAAGGGCUUUCUUUUCGUGGUCAUGAUGAAAGUGCACAAUCAAGUAAUAAAGGGAAUUAUUUAGAGCUCUUGCAAUUUCUUGCGGAUCAUGAUGAAAAAGUUAAGGCCGUUGUAUUGGAAAAUGCUCCGGGAAAUUUAAAGUUAAUAGCUCCUUCAAUUCAAAAAGAUCUUGUCAAUUCUUGUGCCAAAGAAACCAUUGAUCUUAUCUUGAGUGAUGUAAAAGAUAGAUAUUUUUCAAUAAUGGUGGAUGAAGCACGUGAUGUUUCAAUAAAGGAGCAAAUGGCAAUGGUGUUGCGUUAUGUGAAUGACAAAGGACAAAUAAUUGAAAGGUUUGUGGGGGUUCAACAUGUAACCGACACUACUUCAAGUGCACUAAAGGAAACAAUUGAUGAAUUCUUUUCUUCCGCGAAUUUGAGCUUUUCCAAGCUACGAGGACAAGGUUAUGAUGGAGCUAGCAAUAUGAGAGGUGAGUUCAAUGGCCUUAAGAGAAAGAUUUUGAGAGAACAACCUUGUGCAUUUUAUGUUCAUUGCUUUGCUCAUCAACUUCAACUAGCUCUUGUUGCGGUAGCAAAGAAAAACAUUGAUGUCAACUCUUUUUUCACAACGGCUAAUAGUUUGGUUAAUGUGGUUGGAGCAUCUUGUAAGCGUCGCGAUGCACUUAGAGCACAAUACCAAGAAGAGCUUGUGAGAGCUUUUGAAGAUGAUUGUCUUAUAACGGGGCGGGGCUUAAAUCAAGAAAGGACUCUCAAACGUGCCGGCAAUACACGAUGGAACUCACAUUAUGGUACGUUGAUUAGUAUCAUUUCUAUGUUCCCAUCUGUGGUGAAUGUGCUUCAAAUGAUUGUUGAUGAUAAUCUUAAUGAUAGUUCGGGUGAAGCCUAUAAGUUAAGGAGAGAAAUACAAUCUUUUGAGUUUGUGUUUCACUUAUUUGUAAUGAAAGCUAUAUUGGGAAUAACAAACACUUUGUCUCUAGCAUUGCAAAAGAAAGAUCAAGACAUUGUGAGUACAAUGAAUUUAGUGAAAACAUGCAAGGAAAACCUGCAGUUGAUGAGGGAUAAUGAGUUUGAAGAAUUGGUUGGGCAAGCAUCCUCGUUUUGUUACAAAUAUGAUAUUAUAGUUCCUACCAUGGAUGAGGAAUAUGUAAUUCCAGGGAGAUCAUGGCGUAAUGCUCCAAUGAAGACAAAUUAUCAUCGUUAUCGUGUGGAGAUCUUUAUUCAUGUAAUUGAUGGGCAACUUGCGGAAUUAAAUGAUCGCUUCAACGAGGUAAGUACUGAGUUACUUACUUGUUUGGCAUGCUUGAGUCCAAAAAAUAACUUUGUGACUUUUGACAAACGAAAGCUAGUUCGUCUUGCUCAAUUUUAUCCUUAUGAUUUUUCGGAUAGAGACUUAUUGAUGCUUGAAGAUCAACUUGGUGUUUAUGUUCAUCAUAUGCGUUCGAGUAGUGAUUUUUCUCAAUUGGAAGGGAUUAGUAGUCUUGCGGAAAAAAUGGUGGAGAAAGGAAUGCAUGAAAUAUUUCCUUUUGUAUUUGCUUCUUACAUUGGCUUUGGUUUUACCGGUUGCAACUGCAUCAGUGGAGAGGGCAUUUUCCGCUAUGAAUAUUAUUAAAAAUCCACUUCGCAACAGAAUGGGAGAUCAAUGGUUGAAUGAUAGCUUGCUUGUUUACAUUGAGAGAGAUGUUUUUGCUUGUAUUGAUAACGAAAUUAUAAUGCAAUGUUUUCAGAAUAUGAAAACUCGUCGUGGACAAUUGUAACUUGUAUUAUUGGUUUUGUUAUGAAUUAUGAAUGAAAGUACUAUCUUUCUAUCUUUUUAGCAUUAUUUUCUUUGUAGAAAAAUUUCAGAACUUUUACACUAAGCCCCCUUGGCUACAUAAUCCUGGAUCCGCCACUGCUUUUGACCACUUUAUCACCUAUGUAUCACCACUUUAUAACCUAUUUGGGGAACAUAGGUCAGUUAUGGACGGUUUUACCCUUACAUUUGACGGCAACAUUAACAUAAUGUAACAGUGGGAUCAAUGGAGUGAUUAAUAUAAAGUUGAUGGACCAUUUGAAUGAAUAAUUUAAUUGAGAGACCAAAAUGUAAAUCAAGUAUAAGUUUGAGGACCAUUUGAGUAAUUUACCCUUCGCUUUUAUAUUUGUUGAACUUUUAUUUAUGAUAGAUAUGCAUUUAAGGGUAAGACCCAUUAUGUUCCCCUGGCUAGGUGUAUCUUUUUAUGUUUAUUAAUGAAAUUCACUCGAACUGUUGAGUUUAGUAUGUAAGUUUUGCCUAACUGGCUUUUGAAUCCUAGAACCGCCACUGUUGCUCCAUCCUCCAUGCACUUGCAUGUGCUCUUACAAAGUGUGAAGUAGAUUUUGUGUGCUCCAAGUCAUUGACUAGAGCUGAAACAUGGUUAGCUAGAUUUAUAAGGACCCAUCUCUUUAUUUCCUAGACAUAUACCCAUCUCUCUAUAAAUCUAUAUGUAAAACCUAAUUUCAAACUUAAAUGACCAGUAGGAUAUAAAAGGUCAUAGUAUUCCUAUGUUUUUAUAUCGUUGCCACCAGACUUCUUAUUUUAUUUAUAAUUUAUUUCAAGCAUUUCAUUAACUGCCAUAAUUGUAAUUAAUACUCCAUAUUAAUAGCAUAUCAAUCACCCCAUUUCUUUUGGUUGCCAUUCCCUCUAACAUAUCGCCCCUUAAAUUUGAAAACCAAAAAAAAAAAAUGUAAAUUACAUAUCCAAUAAUGUACCUAUGAAAAAUAUAAAUAUAAAUAUAUACAUAUAAAAAUAUAGGUAUAUUAUUUACCAAAUAGAAAAUAUAAAAACCUAGGUCAGUUGCUUUGUAAUUGAAAUUUCUGUACAUUUUCCACAAAUUAAAAAUAGGUACAUAAUAAUUUAUAGAAAAUAUAUGUACAUUAUUUAUCCAUAGGUAAAAAUACCGAUAAAUGCACAUAGGUGAAUUAUUUACCAAUAUAUUAUUUUUUUGCUAAGGAUUUACCUUAGUUUUUAGUAGAUUAAUUUACCUACCUAGAGGCAUAGGUAGCUUAAAAAAAAUGUACCACCUUAGUUGGUUGCAUACUAAUUUACCUACCUAGAGGCAUAGGUUGCUAAGAAAAAAUGUAGGUAAAUUCAUGUACCUAAACACAUAGGGGUCAAAUAGAGAAUAACAUGUUAUUUCCCUUUGAACAAAUUAAUUUCAAACCAUAACAAUUAUUGAAUUUGGAAAUUGGUAUAAAUAAAAGGAAAUAAAUAAACUAUCAAUUUGAAAAUUAAAAUAAGAAAUGAUCAAGUAGUCAUAUUUGAAAAAAAAGGAAAGAAUAUAUUCUUGGUUUUUAUAGGAACAACGAGUAUAUUCAAACCAAACGGCGAUAACUACACCAAGCUUUAAUUACUUUUUUUUAAGGCCAAAAGUCACUUUUGGUCCCUGUAGUUCGGCAUUUCUACCACUUUUGAUGUUGUAGUUUCAAUUCCGUCAAUUUUGCCAUUGUAGUUUCGUAUUUGUAGCAAUUCAAGGACCUGUUAAUAUUAAUGUCAAUUUGUUUAAUGAUGCAAGAGGUAAUUUCGUCAUCCCAAAAUCCUUGAGCAUAAAAGAUUGUCUGAAAUUCUCCCCAUUUCAUAUUAGGGCUCGAAAUUCAACCACUAAUCCUAAUUUUUGAAGAACCCUAGACCCAAAUGACCAAUUUCAAGCCCUAAUAUGAAAUUACGGAAGUUUUAGAUGAGCUUUUAUGCUCAAGGAUUUUGAGUUGAAGAAACUGCCCCUUGCACUGUCAAAUAAAUUGACAGGAAUACUGACUUGUCCUUGAAUUGCUACAAAUACAAAACUACAGUGUCAAAAUUAACAGAAUUUAAACUAUAGGGUCAAAAGUAGUUGAAGUGUCAAACUAUAAGGACCAAAAGUGACUUUUAGCCUUUUUGUUUCAAUAAGGAAAAAACUGACCUAUUAAAUCCUUGGAAUCUAUACAAAAUUGAAACACAAUUAAUCAACAUUGAAUUGCAGCUAAUUUCUUAAACAAGGGUAUUAUAGGAAUUUAAAAAGUAUAACAUUUAAUCCAUUGAAUUUGAUUAGGAAACUUGAUGAAUUGAAUCCUAGUUAUAUAGUUUUUCUUAUAAAAAUCAGGUUUUAUUUAUAGACAAAUAAAACAAUGGGUUGUAGGUAAGAAAAUAUUAAUUUGAAGGGAAAGAGUCAAAUUUACUAAAUUAAUAAAGCAUAAAUUGGAAAGGGAAAAGAUCUAGAGGAUGCAUUGUAGGAUUGCUCAUGCCAAUAAUUGCACCCUCUCGAUAUUGAAAAACCUAUUGUUUAUUAUUAUCUUCAAUCCUGAAUGAUGCACCUAAAACCCAAGUGUCUCAGGCCAACCAUUGCGCUCAUACCACUUGUUGCAGUACACAUUCACCUGUUUUUAAAGAAAGAAAUUCUACCAAUCGAUAUUUUCUCAAAUUUAAUCACAUAGAUCUAUUAUGGUUAACCAUAUGUACUUUUAUCUGCCAUCCAGAGGUACCUUUUUCCAACGUGCAACAAUUGUAUUUGAUUCACAAUUAUGUCUGAUAUACAUCACAUCAUGCCACUUGCCUCAAAUGAAUUUAAUUGAGUGAGGCAAUGGGAAGUAAUUAAGCUCUAUAUUGGUGGGUGGAGUGUUACUUCUGGAACCCUCAUCAUUCGUCCAUACAGGGGAACAAUUCCCUUCCUUCUAUAAAAUGGGAGCAAUUCUCUCACUGUACUCUAUAUAAAGGAAUAAGUGUCGUCCACUAAUUAAUUACACUUUGUGAGAUUUGAUUUUAAUUAGAGUUCGAAUUAAUGUUGCAGCUAGCAGCGGUGGCACUGGCAAACCAUGCUGCUCAACCAGCACCUCCACUUUACUGGAAUUCCAUCCUGCCAAACACACAAAUGCCAAGAGCUAUCAGUGAACUUCUGCAUCCUGAUUUGUGUUGAAUAGAUAUAGUAUGUUACUGGAGUACGUAUGGCAACAUAUUCACAAAUGUGUCACGUAUUUUCCAUUAUGACGUUGAUAUAUAAUUGCAGACUCCACAAACGAAGAAAAGAGCACAAAUGUCAUGAAUGCUGUUGGGAAUGGAAAGCCAAUUGACCACAAGGGCAAACCUGAAAAUACUGUACUACCACAGCUUGCACGACGCCCAUUUUCUUACAAGAGUGAUGAUCGUCCCACUGACAAUCAACUCCAUUAUAAAAACGUAGCUAUUUUCUUCUUGGAGAAGGACAUGCGCCCUGGCACAACAAUGAGCUUCCAAUUCCCUAGAAAUUCAAACACGGCUACUUUCCUGCCACGAGAAAGAGCUCAAUCGAUCCCCUUCUCCUCUAACAAACUACCAGAAAUUUUCAACCAUUUUUCAGUGAAGCCAACAUCUGUGGAAGCCAAAACAAUUAAGCAAACAAUCGAAGAGUGUGAGGCUCCAGGCAUUAAGGGAGAGGAAAUAUAUUGCGCCACAUCUUUAGAAUCAAUGGUUGAUUUUAGCACUUCGAAGCUUCGAACAAGAAACGUUCAAGCAAUCUCGACGGAGGUAUUGGAAAAAGGUGCCACCAUGUCCAUGCACAAGCACACAACAAUGCCGGGACUGAAGAAGUUGGCAGGUGUCAAAGUCGUUUUGUGUCAUAAGCAGAACUAUCCCUAUGCUGUGUUUUACUGCCAUGUAAUAAAACCAACAGCAGCUUAUGUUCUCUCCCUGAAAGGCGAUGAUGGGGUGAAAGUUAAAGCAGUAGCCAUCUGCCAUCUAGACACAUCAGAAUGGAACCCAAAGCAUUUGGCCUUCCAAAUCCUCAAAGUUAAGCCCGGAACAAUUCCCAUCUGCCAUUUCCUUCCCACUGAUCAUAUUGUCUGGGUUCCGAACCACAAAUCUGCAUGAUCAUCACUUAGCACUGUACGUAUAAUAACCUUUACCCCUGUAUAAUUAUCUCCCUACUCUACUUAUUUCUGCCUCUUCAUGUGGUGUAAGAUAUAUGAUGAGAUGAAGUUUUUGGGAUUAGUGGUCGGGUUGCCUUAAAAACACAGAUUACAGAAACUGCUUGAACUUAACCCGAUCAUGUUUUCUCUUGUACUCGUAAAGCAUGCUGUUGUGGUUCUACUUAAUUUCGUCCUCCCCAAUGUUUGAGUGUUUAAUUGUUACGUUGGAAUAGGCUGCUAAUGCAUGUAGUUAGAGAAGCUUUCAUUUAUAUCAAAGUCCUCAAACUAUCAAGAAUUAAUGCAUCCAGAAACAUAUAUACCAAGACGCAAAACAACAUAUUUUCCAUGCUGUGUCGGUAACACCAAAGCAAACUUCCUUUAUCACAAAAGGACCAAAUUCCAAUACUAAUCUAAUCCAUCAUGUAAAGCAUACAAUCUACAACUGCCUCCCUAAAUUUGUCCAUUGGAUAUAUAUGUCACUUUUUGGUAAUUUGGUAUAGCAGCACCACGUAGUAUGCAUUUAACAGAAAAGUAAACAAAAUUGACAGUAGAACUAUUUGUCCUAACGAAACUGAAGUUGAAAGACCAUGAGAACGAUUUUGAAAAUUAAGGGACUCAAAUGAAAAUUGGGUCUAAGUUCAGGGACCAAUAAAACGAUUAACCCAUAGAUUUUGGAUCCAGUACCACAUCCCAAAGAGAAAACCACAAGUUUGCAAGCAAGUUUGUCCAUACUAACACUACGUACAGUAUGGGCAAUGUGCUAGACUCAUCUCACUUUCUCAACCUAUCCUAUACUUGUCUAAAAGAGUUUCUAAUUUAAUGUACUGAGAUUUACGAAAGAAAUAUCAGAGAAACAAUUUUCAGGCAAUAAAAAAAUGUCUUGGCAAGAAAAUGCACAAUUUGUUACAUAACUUAUUAAAUAUGAACAGUUGAAAGAAAAAAGAAUUUGGAUGAGGGAUUUGCAAAUUCCUAUGGCCCAAUUACCUUUUUUUCUUUGUUUUUUUUUGGUUCUUUUGAUCCAGUAGCAUAUUCCAAAGAAUGAAAACCACAGGCAUGCAAUGCAAGCUCUUUUCCCAUGUUUUCCUCUGUUUUUCUCCUAUCAUGGAAGUGAUUAAAACACACCUCUAAGCUUGUUUUGCGUUUGGUAGCCGAGUGUAAAAGCUCAAUGCAAGAUAGUUUGAGGUAGAAUUUUCUCCUGUUUUAUUAGGACAAUGAUGAGCUAUAUGUGACAACAAAUUGCUUUAAUAAUGAAAAUUAAAAAAGUGUGAUUCAUUGAAUAUUUGCGGGGUUUUGUUCAGAGCUGACAAAGUUCUAAGUCAACACAUCAAAUUCCUUUUUCCAACAAUCGUAUUUGAUUCACAAUUUUGUCUGAUAUACAUCACAUCAUGACACUUGCAUCAAAUGAAUUUAAUUGAGUGAGGCAAUGGGAAGUAAUUAAGCUCUAUAUUGGUGGGUGGAGUGUUACUUCUGGAAUCCUAAUCAUUCGUCCCUACAGGACUCUAGAACUCUCACACUUCUUACAAGGACUACUUAACUCUAUAGCUUAUUGCAUAUAGCAUAUAUAUGCAAACCCAAUUAGAAAUUCUACAACAGAAGCAAGAUCAAUCUCACUAUGCCUUCUAAACAAACAAACAAAUAAAACAAGCAUAUUAAUUGCUUUAAUCACUCUACUAACAUCAACACAGCACACUUAGUUUACUAACAGAUGAUAUAGAAAGGAAAAAAAAGGACCAAUAGGGAGAAAAUGGUGAACUAAGGAGAGACUAAUACUUCUGGUCCUUAGAAGGCAUAACAGAAAUAAUAGAGCACACUGCUUGAAUGCAAGUCAGUAUUAGGAGCAAAACAGCUGCAAUGAAAGAAAUAGUUGCCCAAGGUGUAUUGAAAUAAUGUUGCCUCAAAUUUGCCUUCCAUUUGUUCCAAGGCUUUCUGCAGUAGCUAUUAAGGCGCUCAGAAAGAGUAGCAAAGUAGAAGCUUUCACGAUACACUGCAAUUCCUUUUCCGAGGUUGUUAAUCAGAGUGCACACCUCAUUGUAGUCACCAAGCAUAUUUUUGACAAUCCCAUACUUCAGAAGGAACUCCACAUCCUUUUCGGUGUUCACAAACUCAUCCAUGAGUGAAACAUAAUCACUUAUGUAAUUCUUACGGCAAUGGCACUAUUCAAAGGCAAUGAGGUUAUGGAGUGUGAGCUCUGUGUAAUCGUUUAUUUUUAGUUUUGGAAUUUCUAGAAUCCCAUCGUUGAAUCGUGUUAACGCAGCUUUCCUUUCCUAGCCUACGCGGAAGUCAACUUCACAAUCUCCUCCUAGCAAUUAGCCUUUCCUACUGUAAAUCGGAUUGUAUUCAUGUCUAUAUUAUUUCCUACCUUAAAUAGAUAUCCUGUACUAGUAUACAUAGGGACUUUGUGUAAUCUGUUAAAUACAAGGAAAUAUAUACUCUACAUGGUAUCAACCUAACCUAGGGUUCUCUCUCUCCCCCUUAUUCGAUCCUCUUCUCCUUUAGGUCCACCUCAUGGCUUCGUUUGAAUCCACCAUCUCCCUCCCAAGCCCUAACUCUUCUCAUUUUAUCAAGCUUACUAACUCCAACUAUCUUCUUUGGCUCCGCCAACUCAAACCCUUUUAGUUGGCCAUGACCUCUGGAAAUUUAUCGAUGGCAUUCAUAAACAACCUUCUGCCCACACCUCCACCUCUACCACCACAACACCCACAACCACCACCACUCUUACCGAAAUCAAUCCUACCUAUGCUCAGUGGUACCAACAAGACCAACUCAUUGUUAGCUACAUCACCAGUACACUCUCUGAGUCCAUUUUCUCUCUCACUGUCGGUUGCAUCUCUGCCCGGGAUCUCUGGGAGUGUCUCCAAUGCCACUUCUCUUAAUCCAAUAUGGCCAGUGAAUCUGCUCUUCGUUUUCAACUCAUGGAUUUGCAAAAAGGCUCUCAACCCAUUGAUGCUUACCUUCGUCAUGCUAAGUCUCUUGCCGAUUCACUAGCUGCCAUCAAUUAACCUGUCUCCCCAAAAGAACUUGUCACUGCUGUGCUUCGGGGUUUAGGACCCGAUCACAAAAUGCUCAUCACAGCAAUUCUCAAUUUCUCUCCGCUUCCAGACUUUGCUGAUCUUCGUGCUCGUUUGUUAGCUUUUGAUGCACAGACUCCUCGAAUCUUUCCUGAUCAAAACACAACGCUAAUGGCCACCCAAUCUUCUCCUUACACCACCGGUCAUACUUCCUUCCCUUCUCACCGUGGUUGUGGCUCUUCCAGCAAUAGGCGCGGUGGCUGGUGCAGUAUUGGCCGUGGUGGCUGGCACAACUUCUCAUCUUCCUAGAGCAACCCGUGGAAUGGCUUCCAGCAGCCCUAAUGACCUAAUCAACUGUGGCCUCCUUUUGCUCUAAGUUUUGGAUCUCAAAGCAACUGGCCUUCCUUUCAACCUCUUUGGGCCCAAUCUGCCGCUUCUAGCAAACACUCUGCCCGACCCAACUCAGCUCCUGGUGUCUUGGGACCCGCUUGGUGCACCACAUGCAAUACCAAUCGACAUACUACUACAACAUGUCCUUAUUGCUACAAUGGCCCAGAAUUCUUCCUUUGCUGGGGCUCAAUUCAUGCAGCCACCUAACUCUACAUGGUACCCUGACACAAGUGCCACUCAUCAUAUGACUGGUAGUUCUUCUAAUCUCCAAAGGAAAUUAAAUGAAGGAGUCCUACGAAGGCUCAAGGCUCGAAAGCACACGAUCCGGCUCUGCUGCGGAGCUCACUCAACUACUGGCUGAGGGGGCGCAAAACAGAAAAUUGUGAGUGGACAAAAAUAAAAAUUCAGUUCAGUGUAAACCAACGUAAUAUAACCCCACCGUUUAGAAAACCAUGCAAGAAAUCCAAAUGCAUCUCAAAACCAUCAUAAUCAUCAAAUCAAAAUCAAAUACUGGAUGCCAAGUCCGAAAUCCAUAAAGAAAGCUUUACAAACCCACCAUCCAAAUCUUACAAUCCCACAACUAAACUCUCGAAAGCGUACCCAUUGGCAGUACCAGCAAGGAAGUAUCCUCACCGAGAAACAAGAACAAAAGAAUAGCUAUAUAUAUAAUUAUAUAAUAUAACCACACCUAGUUGUACCGGGAAAACAAUCCAACCGGGGGAUUGUUUGACUAGUCACCAUGGCAGAGUCAAAGUAAACAAAUUCCUCAAUUCACCAUGUGACUAGGGAACGAGCUGUCCAACUGGGGGACCAACUCUCAGCCAGCAUGUACCGUCGAUAGCCUCAAAACCCGUACGUCUGUGACCAGUCCUACGCGUGCAGACUACCCAAUCAAGGGUUUACAGCAACAUCCCAUCAAGGAUGCCCUAGGUUCCCACAAUUCCAAGUAUCUCAAGUUUGCGUAUCCAAGUUCCAAAUCCGGGGAGGUACAUAGGGUAGUGCUUAUAGCACUCCAAAUUGACAUUCUAUACUCAUCACUUUCCACAAUCUCAUCUCAACAACCUAAGUACCCCACACAUAGCCAAACAUAUAUAGAAAUUCUCAAAAUCCAUAUAUACAUACUCAAGAUACUCAAAUAUGUCAAAAUCCAAAAUAUAUUUCCAAUGCAUCAUAAAAAUAUCACUUUUAACAAUUGAAUAAAUAAUAUAUAUCCAAUAUACCAAUUAAAACAUCAUGCAUAAUAUUUCCCAUCAUAAAAUCAUGCAUAAGAUUUGAAAACAAAGUCCACUCACAAGUAGUCCCACACUGCUUGACCUUGAGAGGGUCCCGCCUACUGCGUAUGCGUGGUUGGAGUACCUAUUUCAGAAUACGUAUACGAGAUUAAUAAGAAGCGUUUCGAACGAGAACUUUGAAUUAAAUAUCCUAAUUUCCCAGGUUUCUAGUAAGUGUACUAGGAACGAGACGUUCUAAGGUUCCACUACCCAAUUCGAACCAUGGAAGAGCUUCGGGAGACACUCGGUCAACCGGCGGUCAAAUUCCCAAAUCGGGUCAACUGGCCCACGGGACCCACGACCUCCGUUUUUAAAAUCCGUAAGUUCCUAAAGGUUUCACAAUGUCUAAGAUACUACUAUCACAAGUUUGGUCCGAAACGGACUGUUAGAUCGCUUACGAUCGCACGAUCAGACGGUUAUUGUAAAACGUAAACUUUAAGUUAUUGAAUCAGAACAUCCGGGGCUCCGAUUCACGAUCCGCGAAUUCCUACACGAUCCUAGGAAGGUCUAGAGUAACAUAUAUUGGAAUGGAGUCGAUCCAAAGGUCCGAACAUAUCGAACCUAGACCGGAUAACUCCUAAUAUGUGAGAUUCGUUCGGGGUUCGAACAUCAACCAAAUUGGAAUCCUAAGGUACCUACGUGCUCGUGACAUUAAGGGGAUCAAUUGGGACAAAAAUGCCCCUCUGCUACAGUGCCCACGUGCCACCACACGCGGCGGUAGAGAGUGGGUGUCCAAAGCGAUUUCUCUUCGCCGGAAAAUCUCCAAAUUACAAGCCACUCUCCUGGCUACAGGUUCUACUCAACGAGUGGAACACUUUAUUCAACUACAGCCAAGUCCAAUUCGGACGGCAAGUGGCCGGAAACUCACGGUUUAACCCGGAACUUCAUGGCUUGGAUUGGGCGACCAUCGUCACCAUUGUCGUGGCACAACCUAGGAAAUAGCUAAAAGGAGAGGAGGGCUACCUAUUCCAAGCGAUGGCGCAGCUCGCGGUAGCCGAAAAUGUAGCCGAUGACGUUGGCAGUUUUGGCCGGUUUUUCACGUCGUUGCCAUCGCCGUUUGUCGAGUUUUCGAUUGGAGAAAAGGGGUGGGGUGAGUAGAGGAGGAAGAGAGGAAGCUUUUGCAAGAAAUGACACUUGUCAGGGAGGGGGGGGUUGGGGGAAGAGAGAGAGAGAGAGAGAGAGAGAGAGAGAAAAAAAAAAAAUUUCAGAUUUUCAUCCAAACCCUUUUCGAAAUAUUUACAAGUUUGCCACUAAACUACUUUUGGUUGCCAAAUCUUCGUUAUAACUCCGAUUCAAGCCUACCACGUGUCUACGGAUUCGUCUCAAUACAACCUACCCAAAAAUACCAGUCACUGCCCCAAACUCUUUUUGGGUAAGAAAAUGACCAAAAUACCCCUACCCCAAGGGUAAAUUCAUAAUUUCACUUCAAUAAUUUAAUAAAGAAUUAAAUUUGGAGUCGGGGUGUUACAUUAACUACCUGUUUAGUAGGUGUGGGGUUUUAUACAAAAAGCAUCGAUGUUAUUGGGAGUGGAACCACUUAUUAUAAGUUGUGAUUUAUUUAGUCAAGUUUCCUAUGUGGGAUUUUCUAUUCUUCAACAAGCCCCCUCAUGUGGGACCACCACAUAGUGGGCCACAUGUAAAGCUAAGUCCACAUCGGAGUCAAUCAUUCAAGCCCAAUACCUAAACACCACGUAUUGUGUGAGGGGUAGGGGUAAACAUUCAAGCCCAACAUGUGAACCACCAAAUAUUAAGUAAGGGUAAAGGCUCAAUUCAGGCCCAAUCAAUGAACCCAUUAUGAUAUCAUGUUAAAUUUCAGAUAGACGGGACUGUGGCCCACCACUAGCAACAUUGAUAUUGUCCCCAACUUAACUACAUGUUUAGUAGGUGUGGAGUUCUAUACAUAAGGUCUCGAUGUUUUUAGGAGUGGAACCACUUAUUAUAAGUUAUAAUUUAUUUAGUCAAGUUUCCAGUCAACCUGACUUUGAUACCAUGUUAAGAUUUUAAAGGGACGAACUCUUGGCACUAUUAGUAACAUCGACAUUGUCCCCAACUUAACCACCUGUUUAGCAAGUGUGGGGUUUUAUCCUAAAGGCCUCGAUCUUAUUAAGAGUUGAGUCAUUUAUUAUAUGGAACUUUCUAUUUUGUUAACUCUGUGUAUUCUUCAUCAAUGUGAACACCCCUAAACCAAUCAUACCUGAUACGAAUUGAAACACAAGUUUGUUUUUUGCCUUUGGUAGAUGAGUAGCUAGAAAAGCUCAAUGCACUUGCUCUUCUGCUACAUUUCAAUAUAAGAACAAGGUUUGGAAGUCAGGUCAACUCCUCAUAGCUUCCUUGCCUUUGCUUUGACAUGUCUAUGCACUUCUUGGGGAAGUUUGAAUAAUCCAUUGCAGGCCCCAUGACAACUAAGGAACCAACAUUUUGUAGAAGGUUUUGUCUAUACCUUUUGACUAUAAGUAAAAUCUUUUGUAUCUGCUCUUAUGUUUCGGUGAAGUUUCUAUGUGUCCUUUGUGCCGAGUUUCUAUGCGUCCUUUGUUGAACCAAAAAAUGAGGUUGUUUCUUACUAGAUUCAAAUACUUAAAAGAAAAAAAGAAAUUGUUGUUUCUUAAUGGAUUUUAUGAUGAACAAUAUCAAACUCUCCUCUUAUACGUCUGUUGGUAAAUUUUAACAACAAUAUUAAAACCUUGCAAGUGCACAAAUCAAAUGAUAGUAUAGUAAGCAAGCAAGGGUCGAUCCCACGGAGAUUGUGAUCUAAAGAGAUGUUUAUCAAUGUCACGCAAUGAAAAUCAAAACAAAGGACUUCCAAACACACGCCAACACCAAGGGGGGUUUUGAUUUGUUUUUGUGAAUCAAACAAAAUAAGGAAAAGGAAACAAAAGAGAAUUUAAAUUAGAGUUUAAGAGAAAUUGGUUUAAAAUCAAUCAAGAUCAAUAGCUAGGACUUACUAUCCACCUCCAAACAAUCAAUCAAUCCAUAAACAACAAUAGAUAAUCAAUUUCUAGUAAGCACACUACUACAAAAAAGCAAAAAGACGACGGUAAAUCACCGUCGUGUAUUCGGUUUUUCAAUGGUCGUGGAAUCCACCGUCAUCUUUUCCCUCAUAAACCACGACGCUAAAUCACCGUCGUUGUUACAAUAUACAACGUCAUCAACAAAUACAAAACGACGUCUUUGUACUGCAAAAAGAUCUAAAAAAGCAAUCGAUGAUGAGAAAAGACGACCAACUCUCUAAACAAACCGUCGUUAAAAAGAAAAAAUAUGACACAUAUUAACAGAACAUGGCCGCAAGAUAGACAUACAACGACGAAAAUUAAAAUAAGACGCCGUUAAAUAUCAUUUUCACGACAAUAAAAAAUAUGUCGUCUUUAAAUACAUUAGAAGACGACGUUAUUGAUACCUACUACGUCGCCUAUAUAAAAAUAACCGUCGUAAAAUAAAUUUUCCACUUCGAUUUUUCUAUAAAAGAUGACGUGGAAAUAGUUGUCAGUGUCAUUAUUUACGACGUAUGUAUUUAUAGAGUAGACGUUGAACAACGAAACAACGUCGGUUACAAAUAUAUGAGAGUCGUAUUACAAAAUUUAUACGUCCUAUUUUCAGAAACAAACAACGACGAUAAAUAUUAGACGUUGUUAAAUAAAACAACGUCGAAAACAAAUAAAAACAGACGUGUUUAGUCUGCUAAAGUUCUAAAAAAUAGUCGAGGAUGAGAAUAGACGACCAACUCAAACAAAUCACCGUCGUUAAAAAGGAAAAAUAUGACACAUAUUAAAAGAACAAGGCCGCAAGAUAGACAUACAACGACGACAACUAAAACACUACGCCGUCAAAUAUAAUUUUCACGACAAGAAAAAAUAUGACGUCUUUAAAUACAUGAGAAGACGACGUUAUUGAAAUAUACUACGUUUCUUAUUUACAAACAACCGUCGUGAAAUAAAUUUUCCACUUCGAUUUUUCUAAAAAAGAUGAUGUGGAAAUAGUUGUCAGUGUCAUUAUUUACGACGUAUGUAUUUAUAUAGUUGACGUUGAAAUGCGAAACAACGUCGGUGGCAUUUAUAUAGUCGACGUUGUAUUUAUAUGUAUUCAUUACUCACGACGCACUUAUUAAUAUAGACGACGUUGAACUUCUAAACAACGUCGGUUCCAAAUAAAUGAGAGCCGUAUUACAGAAAAUAUAGAUGGCGUUGAUUAUGAUGAGAGCCGUAUUACAAAUAACGUCGUUUAAUUGAUAUUAGACGGCGGUUAUAAUGAAUUACCGUCGGAAUUCAUUUCGUUCCUCUUCGUUUAUAAAAGAACUUGCGACGUGGAAAAUGUAUGAUGACGUCGUAUUUUUUAACGUUCAGAUUAUAUAUCUCGUUUUUUAGACGUCGGUAUUAUGGGAUUGGAGUCGUGUUAUUUUGAAUUACAUGGCGGUUCUUAAUCCUUCCCCGACGUGAUAUCCUGAAUAAUUGCUUCAUAAUAGCGUCGUGGUUCUUCAUUGUUACGUUGCUUUAAGACGUCGGUAAAUAUGCUGAAUAACUGGUUCACAAUAACGUCGUGUUUUAUUUGAACGUAGAAAGUGAAGAAAUCACAUUACAAUAUAUUACAAAAUUAAUGUCAUACACUGCCAAUUACAUAAGCAUCAUUCAAUCCAUAUAUCUUCACACCCAUCUCGAAUAUUUUGACCGCCUAACUCACCCACCAGUUCAUCAAAUGUGUCAACAUUUGGCAUCCCUCUAGUAAAUGGCUCACACUCAAUUAUCACAUCACCUAAGACUUCAUCACCAAUAACAUUAUUAUAUUCUCUAUUAGGCAUUGAUAACACUACCGACCAACCACGAUGCAUCGGGUCGUCAACAAAAAAUAUUUGUUUGACUUGAGAAGCCAAAACAAAUUGGUCAUUCCUAUGUCCAAUUUUACUCAAAUCUACAAGGGUAAAUCCAAGUUCGUCGACUACAAGACCAGAACUAUCUAUCCAAUCACACCUAAAGACUGGGAUUGUAAACUUUUGGUAGUCAAGGUCCCAAAUUUCUUGAAUGACACCAUAGAAACCCAUAUUUGAGAGAAUUGAGUUUUUAUCCUUGGCACUAGCAACUUGCAUGGUAUGUGCAAGUAAAUAAACUCCACUAUUUUGAGUUGUCCGCACAUCAUCUUGUGCCUUGAUAUUGAAUUUAAUACCUUUAAUAAGAUAGCUCCUAUAUAAUGGCACAGCCAUGUUUGGACCAGCUGCUAGCCACCUUAAAUUUUCUGAUACGCCAUGAUUGUCUUCCUCAAGUUCACUUUGAACCUGCAAAUUAAUCAUAUAUCUUAAUGCAAUCUAACAUAGAAAUAAGAAGAAAAUUAAAAGAGAAAUAUGUUAUUCAACAACAUAUACCUUGAAGCGUAGCCAUUGAAUGAAAGUGUUAUUGUGCUUAUCCUGCAGCCACUUUGUGAUUUAAGGUAUGACAAUCAUGUGAUUUAAGGCCAAGAAGUCUUGAAUCUUGUAAAGAUACAAGAUUUUUAAUAUUUGAAGAAUAACCUUCAGGGACCUUCAUACCAUAGAAAGAAUUGCAAACCUCUCUCUUCUCUGCUCUUGACAAAUUCCAAGGCCCAGGAGGCAAACGAGUACGUCUUUCUCCAUACUCGGGUUGCAAAUCAGUUUUGACCCCCAUGUUCAAUAAAUCUAAUCGAGCAGCAAUCCCAUCUUUAUUUUUUCCAGGGAUCUCCAGCAAUGUACCAAUGAUACUAUCGCAAACAUUCUUCUCAAUGUGCAUAACAUCUAGGGCAUGCCUCACAGGAAGGUAUUUCCAAUACUCGAGAUCAAAGAAUAUUGAUUUCUUCUUCCAACAAACUCUGUCACCAUUUUCAACCAUGUGCAGCACUUCUUCUCCGGUUAAUGGCUCGGGAGGUAUGCCAUAUUCAGGUUUCCCAUUAAAAGCUGCACGUUGCCUCCUAUAUGGAUGAUUGAUUGGUAACCAUUUUCUAUGCCCAAUGUAACAAAUUUUGUGGCCAUUUUCAACCUGUGACUAGGUGUAUCAUCGCCGCAUAUUGGACAAGCUUUAUAUCCUUUAACAACACAACCAGAUAAGUUUCCAUAGGCGGGGAAAUCAUUAAUUGUCCACAUUAAUGCAGCUCUGAGUGUAAAGUAUUCUCCAUUAUGUGCAUCAUACACUCCUCUAAUCCCAUCCCACAAAGAUUUUAAAUCAUCAAUCAAAGGCUCCAAGUAGACGUCUAUAUCAUUUUCGGGUUGUUUAGGACCGGAAAUCAAUAAGGUUAACAUCAUGAACUUUCGUUUCAUGCACAGCCAUGGAGGGAGAUUAUAUGUAACUAAGAUAACCGGCCAACAACUAUAUCUGCUACUUAGAGAACUGUGGGGAUUGAAUCCAUCAGAUGAAAGAGCCAAUCUCAAGUUUCUCGGCUCAUUACCAAACUCAGGCCAUUUAUCAUCAAGAAGUUUCCAAGACGGGGAAUCCGCCGGAUGAGACAUCUGACCGUCAAUUGAUUUUCUAGCAGCAUGCCAAGUCAAACUCUUAGCUGUCUCAUGUGAUUGAAACAUCCUUUUAAACCUUGGAAUUGGAGGAAAAUACCACACCACCUUCGCUGGCACAUCCUCUUUCAAGAUUGAAUCUUUGCCUUCCUUCCACCUUGAGAUACCACAAGUAGGACAAUUAGUUGAAUCCUCAUACUCCUUCCUAUACAAGAUGCAAUCAUUGGGGCAUGCGUGCAUUUUCUCAUAACUCAGCCCCAAUGCACACAAAGUCUUUUUUGCCUCAUACAUAGAGGUUGGUAUUGUAUUUCCUUCUGGAAGCAAAUCGCCUUGAAGUAUCAAUAAUUCUGUAAAACAGACAUCACUCAUCCCAUGUUUUGCCUUCAAAUUAUACAACUUCACUAAUGCCGAUAACUUCGUGUACUUUCUACAACCAGGGUACACUGGUUGAUCUCCAUCCCCAAUCACAUUGGCAAACUCAUACGGAUCGGAACCAAAAUCACCAAAAUCAUUAUCAUCCAUAUCAAUUUCUUCAGACACAAAACUGUACCUACUAUGGCCAUCAUCUUCUUCAACAUUUCUACUAGCAUUAGUAGUUGCUUCCCAAGGUUCUCCGUGAAAUGUCCAAUUCUUAUAGCUUUGGUCAAUUCCAUUAAAGUAUAAGUGAUCCCUUAUAAUUCCAACCCCAAACAACUUCAAAUUAACACAUUUAACACAUGGACAACGGAUAUGUGUUGUAGUUAGAAGAUUUUCUACAGCAAAGUUCAAAAAUGCUUCCACCCCAAACUCAUAUGCCUUCGAUCUUCUAUCCGAGUGCAUCCAUGACUUAUUCAUCUCCGACACUAUAACCUAUUAUCUAUAAUAAAGUGAAAAUACAGGCAAUGACCAUCACUAUAGCAGAUUAUACAAAGAUCUAAUAGCAAGUAAUACAUAACAGAGACGACGGGUUUUAAACAAAAACAGACGUAUUUGGCAUAUAUAGACGACGGAUUUUCAACAGACGUCGUCUAAUAUAAGUAAUACAAACGACGGUUUAUGAAAAAACCGUCGUGUAUAAGUAAUACAACGACGGUUUUUUCAUAAACCGUCGUGUAAUCGUCGUCGUAUGCCUAAAAAGGCGUCGUGUCUCAGUUUAUUUUCAAGAACCCAAAACCCAUUAAGAACACAACAUAUAUAUGAAACCAAGCAAGAAACCAACAUAUACAUGAAGCCAAGCAUGAAAACAAUAAAUCCAUUCCCAAUUCAACAUAACAUAGGGUGAUUAAAAGAUCCGACAAAAUUAAAACCAUUCCCAAUUCAACAUAACAGAUAAUGUAAUCCAUGAACCCAUUAAACAGAAAAUCCAUGAACCUAUACCUAUAAGCACAUUAUUAACAGAUCGCAAAGCAUAUACCUAAAACCCUUUAACAAAACAACCUAAUAUCAUUCAAUGAAUUUACAAAGGGAAGAUAGGGUUUGUACUUACAGGUUGGACGAGCUCACAGAUUCGACGAAGCCUGGAGAGUGCAACUUUUAAUUAGAGCAGAAGUGAGAGAGCGAAUGUUAUGUUGCGCGAAAUCUGAAAAUUUUAGGGUUCAGGGUUAGAAGUAUAAGAAUAAGAGCCAAAUAUAAAAAAAUUUAGGGCGCGCGAAAAUUUUUAGAGCGCGCGCUCUUUAAAACGUCGAAAGAAAAACCAUGGCGAAAGUUCUACAAGAACCGACGUAAAUGUAAUAUUCCACGACGAAAACACUUAACGUAACGCCGUUUAUUUUGACGUUCAUUUUUCGGAUUAAUUUUAAAUUUAUUUUGAAUAUUUUGAUAUAAAGACGACUGAAAAACCACGUCGAAGUUAAGAAAUUGAAAACGUUGUAAAUUAUAAUAGACGACUUACAUAUUAAAAUGACGUCGUUUAAAGUGGAAACCAUGUCGGAUAUUUUACUGCACGACGUAACAUAUGUAUUCCACGACUCAACCACCGUCGUUAACAAUUAAUACCCUAAACCCUUAAAACUAAAUUAUAUAAUUUUAAAAAUUAAGUUUAUAAAAGGGUUUAUGGUUUUACAGCCUAAUAUAUACCCUAUACUACCCAAAAAUUAUACUUUAAAAAUAAACCCCAAUAAAUAACAACCCUAAUCUCUAAACCCUAGACUCUAAACCCUAAACCAUAAAACUAGAAGUGAUUUUAUGACUCAUCAAAACAAUUUUGUUUUGGAUGGUCAUUUUAAAUUUUUUUUAUUCAAAAUGAAUUUUUUCAAGGUUUAGGGGGAAGAAAAUAUAUCAAUGACUUCAUAGGAGUUGACUUUUCAUUUUUCUGAUUUAUUUUAAAUUUAUUUUGAAUAUUUUGAUAUAAAAAUAAUAAAAUAUUCUUAUCACAAUAACAAACCACGUCGGUGUUAAUAAAUUUUAGACGUUGUAAAUUGUAAUAGACGACUAAGUUGUUAAAAUGACGUCGUUUAAAUGAGAAACCAUGGCGGAUAUUUAACUAUCCGACAUAAAAUAUAUAUUCCACGACUUAACCGCUGUCGUUACAAAGUACUACCCUGAACCCUUAAGAAAUUGAAGACGUUGUAAACCAUAAACGACUCAAUUGUUCAAAGAACGUCGUCUAAAUAUCCUUUUACGUCGGAUUUGGUUAAAACGAAACAACAAAAAACGACGGCUUUUGACUUUAUUACGUCGUUGGAAAAGUAUUACACGUCGGUUACGCAAUUUGUAUGUUUGUUUUUUUUUUUAAUUUAAGAAAACCUCAACAAAUUUUUACAUUAUAUAUUAUAGACAAAAUUUGUACAUUAUACAUAAAUAUCAAGUGUUCAAUAAUUCCCCUAUUCCAGGUGAAGGCAAACAAACUCUGACCAUUCAUUCCGGACUUCAUCAAUUGCUUCUUGGGGGUAUGGCGCUUCCUGUUUUCCCUUGGCAUACUGCAUAAACAAUGACUAUUAGGGUUUAUAAAUAAAAAGAAAUUCAAUCACAGACGACGAUAUUUUUCAUAACCGACGUACUAUAUCUAUUCAACGACGGUAAUUUUACAUGACCGUCGUUGAUAAUACAAAAAACGACGUAAAAUGUAUGAAGGUAAUUUCUUCUUACCUUCUUCUCAAACCCCAAGGAAGGAUCCAUGAUGAUGUCCCUCAUGAAGCGCAUCACAUAAUACCCGCAUUCGACAUUGCUGGGUUGCUUUGGUGUCCCUGACAGAGUUUUCCAAAUGGCUGCCUUACGGCCUGGUCUGGCUAUGUGAGAAUUAUAAAUUUUUAUAGCACUGUUCACAAUGUUUUUGGCCUCUUCAUCGACCACACGAUUUCCUGGCAGAGGAUCCAGAAAAUAGACGGUUUCUCUCUUUGCUCUUACAAUCAGCAAGAUCCAAUGACGGCUGCACAAAAUUAAUAUAAAAACGACGGUUAUUUACAAUAACGACGUAUUAUAAUGUUUCACACGACGAAAUAAAGUAGCAAUCGACGACAUUUUACAUUUAUCACGACGAUAAAUAACUACCGACGUGGUUAGUAGUUUCAAACGACUCAAUAAAAUAAAACACCGACGUGGUUAGUUUAUACGCUGUAAUUUAUUGAAAAUCAUAAAAACAAAAUCCUGUUAAGGAGACUAACCCUGGAUUGUAAGGCAUCAGGAAAAUCUGUUCACCGUCAGUCUUUUGAAGUCGAGCUGCUAGUAAGCGUGAUCUGUCAGCUAUUGUGCCAGAGUUGGCACUAACUGUAGCAAGGUCGAUAAAGCCAACCAUAUUGCACAUAUUUGCUCGUUUCAAAACAUCGUGCAAGUGCCUAAAUAUAUAAAAUAAUAUAAACAAGUCAGCACAAAAAAACACACGACGGUUAUGUAUAACAAAACGACGUAUUAUAAAAUUUCACACGACGUACUGAAAUAGACAACGACGUUAUAAUAUAUUUAUCACGACGGUAAAUACUAACGACGUGGUUAGUUAGUUAAGACGACGUAAUAAAUAAACCAACGACGUAUUAUUUUAGAAUGACAAACCUCAUAUAUACAAAAAAACACGACGGUUAUGUAUAACAAAACGACGUAUUAUAAAAUUUCACACGACAUACUGAAAUAGACAACGACGUUAUGAUAUACUAACGACGUGGUUAGUUGGUUAAGACGACGCAAUAAAUACACCAACGACGUAUUAUUUUAGAAUGACAAACCUCAUAUAUACAGCAAUGACAGUGGCUCCUAUUUCUUCCAUGCCUGCAAAUUGUGUAAUAUCUUCAGGCAGGAGGAAGGUAUCGCGCUCUAGACCAAACACCUCCUUAUCAAUUGUAAAGUGCAGGGUCUUAUCCUGAGGCACGAGUGUCGUUUCCACAUAACGACAAAGGGAGUUUAAAGAAGAUGGCGCCUCCAUAUUUGAAUAAUCAACAACUUUAAUAACCUGUUUAAAGAAAUAUAAAAAAUGACGUGGUAAUUCAAUAAAAACGACGGUUUAAGGAAUAAAACGUCGUCUGAAAAGAAUUUAAACGUCGUCUGAAGAAACCGUCGUGGUGAAUAAUUUAUUACGUCUUAAAAAAAAUUCCGCCGUCUAAGUUGUAAACAAACGACGGUUUAAAGAAAAAUAUCGACGUCUGGAAUUUUGAAAAACAAAUAAAAAAGGCAAAGUUAUGUGAACAUACCUGGUCGUCAUCUUCUUUCUCCUUUUCAUCAUGUUUUUCUUCUGUCUUCCCUUCAUCUAUUACGUCGAGAAUGACUAACUCCGUCGUCUAAAAACCACAAAGUUUUAAAAUAACGACGUUUAAUGGCGUGUAAAACAAGUAAACUAAAUACGACGUGGUAUUGAAAUACAAACGACGGUUUAUGUUUAAAAUCGUGGUGGUAUGUAUUUCAAACGACGGUUUUAUUAAUAAUAACGACAUCUAAUGGUUUUUAAAAAAACAGAGAAUUCAAAGUUCAGAUAUGUUACCUUUUCUUCCUGAUGUUUCCCAUUUUUGGCAGUAUCAUCCUCAAAAUGCUGGGAUCUCACAUCACCUCCAGAGCAGCUUGCUUUGUCAGACAUUGGAUUUUUGGGACUUUGGCUAAUUCUGGGUUUAAGCAUGCUUGGAUCAAAAUUGGGAAUUAAUUGGGAAAGCUGACUCAGGAAAUGCUCCCUCUCAGCCUCUACCAAUUGUUUCGUUCUAGCCUCCAUCCUUAAAGCCUCUUCCCUUGCCUUAGCUUCCAUCUUUUUAGUCUCUUCUUGAAGGAGAACUCUUAAACUGUCCUUCAAACGGUCGUCAAAGCUCACUCUCUGUGGUUUGGGUAAAUUGAAAUAUUGCCUUGGUGAGAUCCCAGCACCUACUCCUCUCACUCUGCCUGGAUGCUCGGGGCCCAAAGCCAUGGUCAGCACAUCAUUGCUGCCAGAAACAGUGACUUUGCCUUCCGAGACUUGUUUUUGCAAUUCAUCCUAAAACAAAGAUAUAUAAAAAAGUAAGAACAAAAACACACGACGGUUAUUUAUAUACAAACGACGUAUUAUAUAAUUUCACACGACGCAAUAACAUAUAAAUCGACGUUAUUAUAAUUUAUCACGACGGUAGUUUUUAAACCGACGUGGUUAGUUUUUAAAACGACGAAAUGAAUAAACCACCGACGUCUUAUGCUUUAUUUACAGAUAACAGAGGGAUGAUUCAAUAUUCACACCUUUAACGACCUUGUUUAAAAUAUUUCGACGUAGUAAUUCAAUACAAACGACGCGAAAAUGAACCACCGACAUCUUAUGCUAUAAUUACAGAAAACAGAGUAGUGAUUCCUGAUUUAGACCUUUAACGAUGUGGUAAUAUCAUUCACACGACGCAAAAUAUAACAUAAGACGUAAUAAGAAUUAUUCACAGUUUAAUAAAAAUUUAAAACAGAGUGAGUAGGCUUACAAUUAAUUUUGCUUUCUCUGCCACCUUUGGAUCCGGGAUGUUACCAUGUUUGUCCUGUCUAGCUCUCUUCCAUAAGGUAGAUCGAUCAAUUUCUACCCCAGGCAUGGUUUCCUCCAAUUGAUCCUCCAAACCAGCAUAUCCUUUUCGAGACAAUCGAUGAUUGUACUCAAGUUUCUCCCUAAUCUGUGCAUGUUGAGAAUGCACAGACUCAAAAUCUUUGGAUAACCUUGAAGCUACAAAGGCAUCCCAUUGUGCUUUCUCUAUGAAUUUAUAUAUUUCAGGGGGUUGGCUUAAUCUCUCCCUGUCAUUAGUGUAUGGAAGGAUAUAUUGCCUCGUUAGUGUAGACUUGAAAUCCUUCCAUUUCUUGGCAGCAGAAGCUAACACAGAGCUCUUGCCCCCUUGACCUACCACAAAAGCAAUGUCAACUGCUUCCCAAAUCUGCUCCUUUAUAUCCUUGGAGAUUUGAGCCUAUUUCAUGUCCACAAGUGGAACUCUGGAGCGUGCCAACACACCAAUGUAGGACUGCAUCUCACUAUGUGCUUGGCCAAUUCCUUUCCCCCUUUUAUUGUACUCAACAAUUGGCCUCAGUUUCUGAAGUUUUCUCUUCACAACAUGAGGCAUUGUGCUCAUACCUCGACCAGACUUUGAAUCAUCAGAGAUUGUUGUCGUGCUGGUUCGUUCUGUCUCAGCAGAUGAUGAAGCAAACUUCAUCUUCUUCGAAGGCUUCACUUGAGGAGGUACCAUUCCAAGGUCCUUACCUCCAUUUUUCUUGGAGCCAGAAUCCUUACUUUGGUCUUAGUGAGAAACCAUUUUUACAGACAAAACUGCAAGUGAAAAUAUUUCAGGAAAAGAUUAAGAACACAAACGACAGUUAUUAAUAAAAUACGACGUAUGAUAUGAUUUUAAACGACGCAAUGAAAUAAUCUCAGACGUAAUAAAUGUUUAAAACCAAGGUAAUUAAACAACGACGAAAUAAUUAACUAUAAACGACGUGAUAAUUAACUAUAAACGACGAAAUAUUUAUAUAACGUCGUGGUAUUGAUGUUCACACGACGUCAGUCGUAAUAUACCGUCGUCUAUAUAAGGAUCCAAAACCCUUCUUUCUUUCUCUGUGAAUGUUUGAUUGCAGAUUUGAUUUUUCUGAACCAUGGUUUUUGUUUUCUAAUUUGAUAAAAUACAAGGCCAAGAAAGAAAGUUUUGGAAUCUUAUAUAGACGACGGUAUUUUAAUAUGACGUCGUGGUAUUAACAUUCACACGACGUAAAACAAUAAGAUACUGUCGUCUAUAUUAGAUACCAACCCUACUUUCUUUUUCUUUAUAUUUUAUCAAAUUAGGGAAAAACAAAAACCAUUGUUCAGAGAAAUCAAACCUGCAAUUAAACAAGCAAAUAAAAAAAAGACUAUAAUUUUAAAAACAACUUUGUCAAUUUUCAGACGACGCUAGAACGACUGACGAACCGUCGUGGUCUACAUAUUUAACCACGUACAUAAGAAGCUACCGUCGUCUUAUUUAGUUGAGGUAGUUGUCUUCAAAGUUGGAAACUUUCCCUCUUUGUCUGUAUAUUUUAUUGAACUUGGAAAGAAGUAAAAUGAUUUUGGCCAGAAAAAAGGUAAAAAGAUUUUUCAAACAAAAAACGUAUGAGCAUGCAAAACAACAACCAAAAUAGUGAAAAUGAAAGCUUACCUUUUGCGUGCAAUGAAAGCAAGAGGAAGAUUAUGUUUAAGUUCAGAGACGACGAAGAAGAAGAGAGGAAGACGAUGAGAUACUCUGACAGUGCUCUGACAAGGAAAAAAGUCUAAAAGUUUUCUCUGGGAGAUUGAACUUUUUAAUCGGGUUUGAAAACGGCGCAUGUGUAUGUCAGGUAGACGAAAAGUUGCUUACAUAUAAAACCAUUUCAAAAAAAUAAUACGGCGGUUACAUAUAACUACGACGUAUAAAUUACAAAAUACGACGGUACAUUUAACUUCGGACGUGGUAAAUAAAUACGACAGUAGUGUUGUAGGUACCGUCGUAGUAAACUCAAAAAUUAAAGUACAUAAGUAAUAACUCGCGUCAUGGUAGAUUAUUUAACACGUCGUUUUUAUUAAUUUACCGACGUGGAUUUCUGUAAUAUACGUCGAUAAUACCGACGUUGAUUUUACAAUUUAAACGGCGGUUUUUUUGUAAGGACCGCCGUUGGUUUUAAAAAUUUAUUCUAUAAAUUUGUCGCUUUCAUUCAUUUUCGGUUUACAUUUAAGGUUCCAAGUUCUUCCUCUCUCAGUCUCUCACGUCUCAAAGACAAUAAUUUGGAUGUCUUUCUCAAAGAGAAAUUGAGCUUACUCGCAUCAAAUAUAUGUCCACAAGAAGAAGCUUGUCAACUAGCCUUCUCACUUCCUUGAUCAAGCCUGAUAGGACACUUAGUGCUUCUGAAUACUCCUUGCUUUCCAUCAAAAGAGAUGCAAGCCUGGCCUCCACUCGCUGUCGAAGGAAAGUUCGCUUCUCAGGGAAAUCUUCUUGAUUUUCUUGGCUAAGAAGAUCCGUCAGAUUUGUGAUAGCCUCUUCCUUUAUCCGUAGAGCUUCAGAAGAAGAAGAUGGGUUUCAAGAAUGCGAUAAAGAAUAGAAAUGGCUUCAGAUGGCCUCUAAAGCAUGAGCAAUCGAAUCAGUAGUUGUUGGGAGAUAUGAUGAAGACAUUGUCAAUGCUUUGAACUAUACAAGUCCUGCAGAAAGAUAAAGGACCAAACUGUUAAAGAAACUGAAACAAUGGCGGUUUUCUGUUCUACCGUCGUCUUUUCUCGUCGUCUAUAUUAAGGUAAGAUGGCGGUAGAUUUAUAAUUACCGACGUAGAUUAUUUUGUUAAACGUCGUUAAGUGUACUACAACCGACGUGGAUUUUAUUUUUAAAUUAUAAAUAGAGUUUUUUUUCCCCUAUUCUUUCAGUUUUAGUUUUCAAUUACAAAGCGUGAUAAAUAGAUUUUUCUUUCCCGAGGAAAUUUAAAAUGAGGGAAAUUAAUGUUCUAGAAUUUGUAAACUAACACGACGCAAUAUUUGCAAAUCUGUGUCAUCUGUUAAGAUUAUGAUGUGGAACAGAGUUCCAUCUGGUAAGAUUUCGUAACCCUUGGGAUCUCAGACAAAUCUGAUUAUGUCGGCGGUUUUCUAUAUAAAUCGUCGUGGUUAUUUCAAUUCUUGUCAUUAAGUAGAUCUACCGACGUAGGAUAAGAAAAUCAAAGAAAAAAAUUGUUAACAAAAAUUCUUAUUAAGACGACGGUUAAAAUUAAAGGUACGACGUAUAAAAUGAAUAAAUACGACGUUAAAUUUUAUUGUACGAUUUAAAGAUAACGUCGUAGAACUAUAAGAGAAUGACGUCGAUAUAUUUAUAUUUUCCGUCGUUGUACAUUAAUUUAAUACGGCGAUAUUUUGUAUUUUAAAGCCGUGGAUUUGUUUGUAAUUAUACGGCGUCUUAUACGAAAACCUCGUCGUGUUAUUUUAUGAGUAAAAACGGCAGUUUUUAUUGAAAUCGUCGUCUUUACUUUCUACGUCGGUCGAUUCAUAACUUCUGCCGUUCUUUGUUGGCAUUGAUUUUACACUGCGAAAAUCUGUUUCAAAUAGACGUCGGUUGUUUAAUUAUGUACGUUGUUGUUUUUGAACAGCCAUUUGAAUCUCCAUUUUUUAGUUGUCUAAGGUUGUAUUACACGACGGUGUUUUUAGAACCGUCGUCUUUUUAAAAACCACGACGGUUUUCACUUAGACCGUCGUUGUUUUCUGGUCGUCUUUUUCACUUUUUGUAGUAGUGGCAUAUGAUGACGACACUCACAACAAGAUCAUGGCAUUUGACUCGAGUUGUAUGAUUCUCUCUUAAGUGUAUGUAAAGUGUAUGACAUUUACAUCAAUACGUGUAUUCUUAAUUGAAAUCUACUAUGGCAUUUACUCAAAUUAACAAUCAAGAAUCCAUUAAGAUCAAAGAGAAUAUGAGUGUCACAAAAACCCUAAAACAUGGCAUUUGUUAUUAGGAAUUCAAGAAUCGAUUUCUCAUAACUAGUUCUUAACCCAAUUAUUCGUUGCAAAUAAGAACACAUUCAAUAUGGCAAUUGACCUAUGUUCUACAACAAUUUAAUUCCAAUACAUGCUUCUAAGUUAGCUACUCAAAGAAACAAAAUAUCAGAAUUCACAUAACAUAUAGAAACCGAAAACAUCACGCUUGUAGAAACUAAAAAUCCAUUAACCUUGUUUAUAAAAUUGAAAUCAUGUUUAGGGCUUCAAGAUUAAGCCCUAACUAACAAGAAAUUAGUUACUCAUGGUCUUGGAUGAACUCAAAAAUAAAUACAUAAGAACUGAAAAUUAAAGAAGGAAGGAAAAGAAAGAACUCGUUCGCAGCUUUCUCCUCUUGCGCUGUUGAUCUCUUUAGGACGUGAAUCCUUUUUAUCAGCCUUGCCUCGUCUUUUAUAUCACUUAUAUCAGAGUUCUAAACCCUAAAAUUGACUGAAAAGUCGUCCAAGAAGUCUUGGUAAACAAGGAAUCCAAAUAGGAAAGUAAAAAUCACAAUUCCUAACUCCACUGGGAAAUACAGCUCAGCCCAAUGUUCACACGAUUUUGGGAUCUUCGACCUUGUAGAAAAAUCAUUAAAAAUAUAUUUUAGAAAGAUAAAUGUCUUAUCUUUCCAACCAUAUAUAGCACGUAACUUGAAAAAUUCGGAAAGGCUUCCGUUUCUUCACAUUCACGUAGCAUGUACGAAACUGUCCUGUCUGCACGUGGGCUAACUUUACUUGUAAUACUGUACCAAUUGGCUCGGUAGAAAAUUCUAGAAAAAUCAUAGAUUGAACUUCAAGAUGUUAGCUUUCAUCUCCAAUCAGGGGCGGCCUUGGGGAGGUGCAAGUGGCGCCACCGCACAGGGCCCCCGAAAAAAAAAAUAUUUAUAUUAUAUAUAUAUAUUAAUAUUAUAUGAAUCGUAUAUAUAAUAUAGCGUCUGGAUAUUUGCACAACAGCGUGUUCAGGGGAGUUGGAUGGAGCACAUCUCUCUUUGGCAAAAGGGCCCGAGUUCGAUGCUCCUUGAUGUCGUUCUACUGGCUAGCCUUUUGUGAUAUUAUUUUUGCAUUCAAACUUUACAUAAUUAUUGAACCAUUGGAUUAAUAUGCAACGAUGGGUGACCACAAUCUCUUGGACUCCUGUGGUCCAUGAGAUCGGGACUGAUAUUACAUGACUUAUUUUAUUAAAUUAUUAUCAUGUUGAUGAUUGGUUGUAUGAGAAUAUAGUUUGUAGAAAUAUUUAUCUAUUUCUUGUUGGGGUUUUCUUCCAGGUUAUAGGGUUUUGGAAUUUUUCUUUGUAAUCUAAACAUGCCACCUACUAGAAAAUACGUUUAUGGAUAUACAAAACGGCUUAGAAAAAGAAAAUUCGAGGAAUUGACUCAAUCUCAAAGAGGAGCUCUUGAUAGAUUCAUUGUUAGAGAAUCACAUGCUACAAUUGAUGAAAAUAUUUAAAUUUUUAUGAAUUUAAUUUCUGAUUUUCAUUGCAUAUUUAUUGAUGGUGAAUUUUAGUUAUAAAAAAAAAUUGUUUAUGACAUUAAGUUAUGGCAAAUUUUUAUAGUAUUUUCGUAUUAGAUUAUGCAAGGCCCCAAUUUAAGUUUCGCACAGGGCCCUCAAAAUCUCAGGGACGGCCCUGUCUCCAAUUGGUCUUGUGCUAAAAUUCCUCCGAAAAGUUGAUUUUCCCUUAAAAACCUUCUAAGAGUGCAGAAAAGCUGAAAAUCAGAAAAAUAAAGUAAUAAGCCAUUUUUAAAUCUAAUUCUCUUACAAAACCAAAGUAAAAAGAGUACAUAAAUGAGUAUAUUUAUGGACUUAUCAACGUCUUCUUCGUUGGACUUGGGGUUGUUUUCCUUAUAUGUCCCCUAUAUAUAUAUAUGGCCUUUAGUUGAGCCCACAAAUACCUUCAGUUAGUUUUUGGGUUUAGGGGCCUACAGAACCUGCACUAAACAAUAAAAGAAAAUACCUAAUUAGUUUAGUACGAAUUUAUAAUGAAGGCUUUAUUAGGUGAAGUUUUAUUUCUUAAUCGUUAGAUCAAAUUGGUUAGCAUCUGAAGUCGCCCAAAGAUUUGAGAGGGAUUCCACAAACAUAUAAUAUAAAGAAAGAAAGCAAUAGUAGGAGAUGAACCAGUACAAAAAACAAUAUAUAAAUAGUACAUAAUAAUUCCAUAACCUUGUCACAAACGCACUCACAAAUGCUUUCCAUAAACCUUGCCCUAACAUAUAACAAAUAAAGGCAACAUUGCAUAUGAUGCAACCAUGUCCAAAUCUGAUACGUGAUAAAAAAAAAAGGACAUGGCAGCAACAUAUGACUGAAGUAGAUGGGCUCUUUGCAUCUCGUGUUAUCGUAAUUAAAGACAUCAAAAUAUUAAGGUUGAAAUCUUCUAUAGUAGCAAGCAUUAAAAUAGGUUUGAAGCAGAGUUUAAAGAAAAUUCCAAUUCCACUGAUUUGCCUCUGCUCAAAGACGAGAACCAAAAUGGUUACUUCCCUUGCUGAGUAUAUUUGUUAACGUCGGAAACGGUAAUAGAUGACCAAUCAAACCCAAGUACGACGAGUUUUGCAUAGGAUCAGAAGUAGUUGAAUCCAGCUUGCAUCACACGCUUCUUUGACUCCAUUGCAUUAGAUGAGUUUUUGUAUUUUUGAACAGCUACACUCCGAAGUCGUUUGUGUCUACGCUUCAUGCGCUGCAACUUCGCCCUAUCCAGAUUGGCCUGCCUUUUGUCAUCUUCAAUUUGGCCUUCAACAAAUUCCAAACGUGCCCUUGCCCUUUGGAUUUCAUCACCAAGUUGAAGAUGCCUCUCCUUCCAAAAAGCAAGAACUCUUUCAGACUCAAAACUUCCAACAAAAUGGUCAUUCUAUCUAGGAAUGUGACAUUGCUUGUCUGGUGACUCACCUGCGUUUCAAAGGCGGUCUUUGUUUGGAGGGGUGUUUAUUAUGCUCACAUCAAACUUGGUUAGUAAAUCCAUUCUAUGGGGGGAGUGAGUUUCUGUGGAGGAGAGAGUUUCAGUAGAUGGAGACAGAUUCGGUGGAGGAGUGAGAUUUUUGUGGAGGGAGAAUUUCUAUGAAAUGGGUGAUAGUAAUACCAAUAAAAGGGUUCCCGCCAAAAAGUAUUUGGUUGACAAUGUAUAAAUUAAUUUUUGGUCUGAUACAAUCUAAGUUUAAUCCUAACUAGUUUGGUUAGUUUGGUUGAAUUCACUAACUAGAUGUCACUUCCAUUGAGUUUCUUUCAACCACUAUCAGUGGUGUAAGGAGAGUGUGAGGUUGACAUGCUUGAAAAGCAAAACCUAACACCUCUUUUUUUUAAAAUUGAAAGAAAGUACAUAUGUUGACUACACACAAGCUUUGGUAUGUUGGUCUAUAAAGCUAUGUUCCCUUUCUCAAACGAAAUUGCAUAUGCAAUCCUCGUCCUCCCAAAACAAAUAGAAUUAUUCAAGCAUGUCAACCUCUUCAGGCGCCAACAACACAAUCAAAGAUGACAAAUUGGAGUCGCAGGUUCUAUUUCCACAUUGUACUCGCCGACCCCUUCCAUUUUCAACAUCAUUUGGGAGUGAGGGGGACUCCGAUGAUCCAUUAGAGCUAAUACAUGCAGUCAAUAGCAAGCUGGAUUAUAAUUCCAGACUGAUCAAUUCAUGGCGCGAGAAAUAUGUUGAAGACGAAGCCAUUUUGGCUGAUCUUAACAUUAGAGUGAACAAAGCGUUCUCCCAAAAGAACAAGUACUUGAAGCUGAGUCAUAAAAGGAAGCUGAAAGCUGAGGAGUUAGAUACAGUAAUGAAUGAUGAAAUUAAAGGUUGUUUGAUGAAUCAUAUGCGAUGCGAAGAGCACCACAGUGAACUGGAGUUGGCAUUCAACGAAGGAUUCGAAAAAUUACGAGCAUUUGCAGCAACUACUCAUACAAGUUAUAAUUGGGACUAUGUGUCCCCUGAUGUUGUGAGAGAGAUACUAGACGAUGGUGGUGACAUGAAUGAGCAUAAGCACGUCAAAGCUGCUUGGAAGAAGCCGACCGAUACGACUAAGUGAUUGCGGCUACAGUUGUUCAGUUGGUUGAGAGUGAUCGUGGUAUUGCACAAAUUAGAAGUAUAUUCCCAUAAUGUCAUUAUCUAAUUUAAAAUAACACAAAUAUCAGUUUCAUUUGCUUCAUAUUGUAACACCCCGACCCCAAAUUUCCCCAAAAUUUACCCUCAUUUAAUUAAUUAAUUAUUUAAGGGUAUUUUAGUCAUAUUUUUAACCGGAGAGAGUUUGGGACCAUGACUUGUAUUUUUGGAUAGGUCGUACUGAGACGAGUUCAUAGACACGUAGUGGGCUCGAAUCAGAGUUGUAACGAGAGAGAUAUGGUCAAAAGAAACCCAGUGGCACAAUCGUAAAUAUUUCAAAAUGGGAUUUUUAUAAAAAUCUGGUUUUUCUCUCUCUCUCUCUCUCUCUCUCUCUCUCUCCCGCGACUUCUCUCUCUCUCCCGUCGGCUCUCUCUCUUUCUCUCCUUGUAUCUCCGGCCACCGACCACGGCUGUGGGCGGGGCCGGUACCAAACUGACCGGGACGACGUCCCCUUCCUUCCCCGACCAUUCCCCGCCGGCAACGCGGCCGUUGCUGGCCGGAAAAUGCAGAAAACCGCCGGGAGGUCGUCGAAACUUCAACGCCGUCGAUCUCCCUCCUCCGGCCACCAUUUUCGUCGACCCAGGUAUGGAUCUUGAACCUCUCGAGCUGUUCUAGCUGUUUGUUGGUUGGGUUUUGAUCGAUUCGAUCUCUAGAUCACUCGAUUUUCGAAUUGAAAAUUGGCCGAAACUUCGGCCGCCGUGAUCGGCCAUUUUCGGCCACUUUUUGUGGUAGGUCCAAGAACAAAAGUGGCUCCAAAUAGGGUGUUAUACCUAGGGUAGAAGUUUGGAGCCGAGAUGUUGAGAUUUUCCGGCGAAGCGUUAUCGCUUUGGGCACCCACGCGUGCGGCGGCGCGUGGGCACUGUAGAAAAAGUAGAUGUGUUCCGAUGAGAUCCUUAGGUUGUCACGAGUGCGUAGGAUUUGGCGGAUCUCAAUUCGGACGUCGUUUGACUAUCGAACGGAUAAUCGCAUAUUAUGCGUUAUCCGGGUUCGAUAGGUUGAGACCGUCGGAUGGUCCCAAAUUUAAUAUAUGUUGAUCUAGGUAUUUCUAGGAUCGUGUAGGAUUUCACGGAUCGUGAAUCGGAGCCCCGGAUGUUCCGAAUAAUAAUUUAAAGUUUAUAUUUUAUAUUAACCAUCAGAUUAUGCGAUCGUGAGAAAUCCGACCGUCUGAUCUGAACCAAACUGGCAGGAAAAGUGUCCUGUACCUGGUAGAACCCAUAGGGACCUUCGGAUCGGAAAUUGGAGGUCGUGGGUUCCGCAAGUCUGUUUGACCAGGGUUAGAGUAGUUUGACCCUUGGUUGACCGUGAGUCUCCCGGAGUAAUCUCACCCUUCCAGGGGGAAUUAUCGGGAGCUAGACUAUUGUGGAGGGUUACACAAUAUUAGAAUUAUUUAUAUAAUUAUAUAUGGUUGUACAAGGGUACAACAAAGUCUAGAAUGUCAGUUUGGAGUGCUAUACGCACUACUUUAGGUACCUCCUCGGAUUUUGGAUUCGCUACAAGCACCACCAAGUGAAAGUUAGGUCCCGCGUGGCGUAGGUUAUCCGGCGUUGGGACAGACCCCAUACGUGGCGUUGGUUGUACCGGCGUAUGGGGAGAUUUGCAAUAUGAUGUUCAGGUCUCACGUGGCGUAGGUUAUCCGGCGUUGAGACAGGCCCCGUACGUGGCGUUGGUUGUACCAGCGUACGGGGAGAUUAUGUGAUAUGAUGUUGAGGUCCCGCGUGGCGUAGGUUAUCCGGCGUUGGGACAGGCCCCAUACGUGGCGUUGGUUGUACCGGCGUAUGGGGAGUUAUAUGAUAUGAUAGUAUGGCAUGGUCGCACAUGGCGUAGGUUAUCCGGCGUGUUGACAGGCCCCAUACGUGGCGUUGGUUGUAUCGGCGUAUGGGGAGAAUAUGUGAAAUGCAGAGAAAGGAAAUAAGGUAUCACCGAUGUGUGGAAUUGGGUUUUAGGGAAGAACUACGUGUGGCUUGAUCCCUCAAGGAGGGUACGUAGGCAGCCUAAGGUUAUUGGGUGCAGCCGCAGACUAAAUAUUAGUCAUAUUUGGUAUUUGAAUUGUAUGGUAGUUGUUUGAGAAUUAUUGGAAGGCCAAAGGCCAUUUAUGAGAAUUUGCAUGAAAUUAUAUUGUGCAUGCUGCUAGUUGUGGAUAUUAAAUGUGUUUUUAUGCAGGUUGAAAUUUUGGGAAAUGUCCAAUUUAUAGGGGAGACUCUGCUGAAAUUUCGGCAGGAAGUCUCGGUUUUUAGUAAGUGGGCCUGGCAUCGGGGUGAUGUCAGGAAUUCCAAAGGGUUCGUCUCGGGUUUUGAGAAAAUUCGGGGCGGGUCCUUAAACAUAUAUAAUUAUUGGGACUAUGUAUUGCAAGUCAUCAUGUGUUCCUUCUGUCUAACAUUAUAUUUUGCAAAUAUCAAAAUAUUAUUCAAUAAGCAGUCAAUAUCACAGCAAGUUGGGAAUUAGUAAAGCCCCAUUAUCAUGUCCGUUCACAUUAAAGAGCUGGCGUACUUUUUCUCAAAAAACUGACACGUGAGUCAUAAGUAACAUAACAUGUGCUAUACAUUGUUUAGUGAAUGGUUUAUGGUUUAUUUAUAUAUAAUAAAAUUCCAAAUAUUGCUGAAUAUUUGUUUUUUCUAUAUCCCUGGGAACAUGAGUGACCAUAAGCAUGUAAGACCUGUUAAGAAGAAGCUGACUAAUACGACCGAGUGAUUGUGGCUACCGUUGUUUAGUUGGUUGGGGAGAUCGUGGUAUUGCUAAGAGGGAGCACAUAAUGUGCUUUGCAAUCAAAUUUUCUUUUGUGUGUGGAAUUAUGAGUAGUUCAAAUGUUAGUGUACCCUUUAAUAUUCUUCAACCGUUUGAAAUGUGAUUAGCUGCAAUGUACUUUUUUACACGCUGCUUUCUAAUCACUCUGUUCCAACAAAGUGCUUUAAGUAUCCUUCAGUUACAAAUGUUUACAAAAUCGUGCAUCUAAUAACCAGUCGAGCUCAGAUCUUAAUAACAAGUAAAACACUAGAACAUAACAUUCGGAAAAAGUGGGUGCUGCUGGAAAUCAUUACUGGUAAUGGAAGCAAGAGCUGGCUGCUGGAAAUGCUGCAUUAGCCUGUGAUAUAAUCAAUGAAUCUCUGUUAAAACAUAAUUCACCAUAAACUACCCAUUUUACAUGGUAAAAGUCAUUGCUUCUUCACAUAACUCAAAAUUUGAUACUUUAUCAAAUGUCUAUGAAAAUUUCUAAAUAGGGGAAAGACGUAAAAUUAACAUGUGUCCAAAUUUCAUGCAAGAAUGAAACCAAGCAAAUUUUUAUUUCAAUUAUCAGUGGACAUAGUAAGAACUCAUCGGUGGACAUGAACAAAAAAAUAAUAAUAUUAAAAACUGAAUCUAGAAAACUUCACCUGAUCAUUAGUCUUCAUAACAACCGAAUUUCGUCUAAUAGAAACAUAAAUCAUUCAGUUGGUCCGUGCAUCGUGUCAAAUUCAUAGAAUAAUGGGUCACUACGAUCUAUUGGAGUUGAUUCGUCAUUGUUCGACGGUGAUGUCCUGCAUAGACAUCAAACACAAGCACAGAAAAAAUUUACCUAUUCAAAUUUUAGGUGUUAUUAUAAAUAGUGUUAGCAUCUUACGGUGUGUUCAAAUUUCUUGCGCAUUGUCUUCUAUCAUGACCAAUGUGUCCACACUCCAGACAGUGUCUAAUCCCUCGCUUCAUUGCCUUUUCUUUUGCUCCCGUUACUCGUUUCGACCUUCUUUUGCACCUCACUCUCUUAGGGUCUUUCAUAUAUUGUGUUUGAGAGCUGGACCCUCCAACUUCGUUAUUACUUGGUCCAUCCUUCAACAACUUCAACUUCACCUGCAAACUUUUUAGAGUCUCUGACAGUAGCUCACAUCCUUCUUCACUCAUUAAUGCACCCUCAACCACAUCUUAAGCAAGUCGAGACAUUGUACUCCGCCUUAUUAAAAGACCAGGAUCUGCAGAGUCUUUAAUUUCGUUGCCAUUUGCAUCUGACACCAAUUCAGAUUUUGCAGUUUUCUUCCACCUCUUUAAAAUAUAUUUAUCGGGCAUAUAUUCAAUCUGGUCCCUUCUGAACAAUGCUAGGAUGUGCUUGCAAAUAAUUCCAACAAAUUCAAAUCUUUUGCACCCACACGAUGCGUGGUCAGAAUCUUUAACAUAUACGACGUCUGCCACUCUUGUUUCCCAAUUUUUCCUUUUGCUCACGCGAAAGACAACUUUAGAAGCACCCUCUGUUUUGAGCUCUAGGAAACAUGUUGUACUUUGUAUUAGUUCUUGGUCAAACUUUUGAAACAUUGUCCUUGUGUACAAGGUAGCCAUUUGUUUGUUCAUUGGCAUCGGUAGAAUACAUUGAGCCACUUCAAAUGCAUCUACGUGAUCAGCAACUAACUCUUUUUGACGUUGAUGAGAAAGUGCCCUCUCAAAUCGUAUUAUGAAAUCCAUCAACGAAUUUCUCCUUGAUAUGUAUUGCUUGAAAAAACCAUGAGAACCUUCCACUCUUUGGCUGCUUGACAUUCCAGCGGCAAAAAAUUGUUGUGCGUAGGCUGGAACCCAAGAUUCUCUUAAAUCAAACAUUGAACUUAGCCAUGGAUGGUCAGUCAAACCAGCCUUUGUAACCACAAUAUUCCAUUUUGUAACAAACUUAUCCUUAUUGUCAGUAUCCCAUACGGCUUUCUGAAAUUCACGCCAAUACUCCUUAUAAGCAGAAUGUGGUAACUUAACAGAGAACUUUGAUGUGAUGUGCAAUAUGCAAAGUCGAUGAAAUGUAGUCGGGAAGGGUAUUGAAAUCGCUCUGGUCAUUGCCGCAUCUUGAUCUGUAAUGAUCGUUUUAGGUCCGCCACUUGGCAUGGCUUUCUUAAACUCCUCAAACAUCCAAAUAAACGACUCAGUCGUUUCCUUGCUCAAAAAUGCGCAUGCUUAGACAAUUGUCUGACCAUGGUUAUUAACUCCCAACAUUGGUGCAAAUGUCAAGUCGUAUCGAUUCGUGUUGAAUGUGGUAUCGAAUACAACAACAUCUCCAUAAAACCCGUACGCCCAUCUAGAAGUUGCAUCUGCCCAAAAACAUUGACUAAACCUGUCAUGGCCAUCUCUCUCAAUCUUGAAAUAAAAAGCCUCAUUUUUUUUUUCUGUUCAGCCAUAAAAUACUCGGUCACUAGUUCAACAUCGUGGUUCCUCAACUUCCCAUUCACACUACAUUCAAAAUUGUAGAUAUCUUUUUUGAUAAAACCGAUUUUAUCCAUUCCUCCGGAUUGCACCUCGAAAAUACUUACCUUCUGAUGAAUGAGAAUAUUAACCGAACCCAACUGUUUUGUGAGUACUUUUGUAGAAUCUGAACUAUGACGGUGUGAUCUCAAUAAAUGCAUUCUUUCUGAGGGUGUCAUCUUAUGAUUGUGUCCCUCUGCAAAAAGAGAGAUGGUAUACUUCUUGCUCCCAUUUGUCUUCACAACCACAAUCUUAGCUUUGCAAUUGCAUCUACUUAUUCCCCGCUGUCUUUUUCUCUCCCGAGUUUCAUCUCUCCUGUAUUCACCUUGUUUGCAACAUACAAAUUCUUUCCUCAAAAUCUCUUUCUUAUUUCCCCCCCAAAAGCUGGAAUGAAGUCGAAUACCAAAGCCAGCCAAGAAUGCAUAUCUAUUAUAGAAAUUGUAAACGAGGUCAAGCAAGUCGAACUUCAUCCCAACUGCUGGUGUUUCCUCAUUUCUUACUUCAAGAAUGUAAACCCUCCCAUUAGCUGUUACACAGUCAUCACUCUCUGAGCCCCCAGACAUUUUAUCCACGUAUAUUAUUGAUCCACUUCUAUAUUAUUGCAUAGCAAAUAUUAAUUCAUUAAUAAAUCAUUACUGCAUCACAACAUAUCAAUGCAUUCCACUUACACAAAACAUUGCCCAAAUUGACACAAAACACGCAUAGCCUAACUUGUUGGAUUCCGAUUACACAAAACGCAAGCAAAAUUUAAUAAUAGUUACGUCAUCUCUUGUGAAAUAAUCUAGAAAAAAUAACAUUAGAACCAACAUGUUCAACUAAGAACACAAAUGCAAUUCAAACCAGCAAUCACAUAACUUCACCCAAUAUCCUCUCCAAAUGCUUACUCCUAAUGUCAUUAAGCCUAAGUUUAGGAUCUUUUACCUACAUUUCAUAAUUUUUCACCCCCACCAAAAAUAAUCAACUAAGUAUACUGAAUAUUCAUAAGGAAAUGACGCAUUAUUGAUGCCACAAAUGACGAAUUUCCUACCCUCACAAAAAACAAAUCAAACCCAAUUAAAUCAAUCCAGCAAGAGUGAACUUACCUCUCAAAAUCAAUCGGGAGCUCCGAAGUCAGUAAGCUUGAGAGAAUGUGGUGGACAUUAGAGAAGACUCUUUGGUAUUGGAGACUCCAUCUCUACCAAAAUCGAGGAACGAACUGCUGCUACGGCGUCUAGCUACAGAAAAAGAUAUGCUACUUUACUUUCAUCUGGAAUCUUGUUUGCUGAACGAAAAAGAGAAAGGGUUUUCACUUGAGCCAUAGAAUCAAAACAAGGCAACAUCUAGGUAAGAGCCAUUAAUCGUCAUAUCGAGGAUACCAUAGAUCGCAGGCCUCCCAAGGAGCUGAUGACAAUGGAGCGACUAUAGGGUUUGGGAGCUUUGGAUCCUUCUAAUUGUGGGUUUGCGUUACAUUCAAAAAAAGAGGAGUGUGUUGUUGAGUUUUUCACAUAGAGGGAAAGAGGGAAAGAUCUUCAACUGAAGUUGGGUUUCCAACGGGUCAAAUUUCAACCCGGUUCUACAUGCACCCUCUUUUAAAAACUCACCGUUGGAUUUCAUCCAACGGCUCGUACAUACCCCUCAAAAACACCCCUUAUAACUUUCCACUCACUAUAGAAGCUCUCCCCAGGAAAUGCUUCGAGGUAGAUUUUAUGUUUUGGGCCUUGGGACCCAACUUCACAAAAAGAAAACAAAUUUGACCAAAAAACAAAGUUGAAGGACAUUGAUAUUGUACCUGUAGGAUAGGUUAAAACACUAAAAGGAAGGUAAAUAGUACGUUUACAGAGUUUAAGUGUAAUAAAGGAAUAAAAACAUGCCCAGAGAAUUGAUAAGUGAUAUCAAUUCUUGAAUAUAUAGAACGUAAAAUAAAGGAAUACGUAGAAAAUUAUUUUAUGUGGUAAAACUCAAUCUAUGGGGCCACGGGACUUCUUAGUCCAAAAAAAAUCCAUUGAACGAUGAUUACAAGAAGUACUCACACACUUAUCCUAGACACAUUCUAGAUAAUUUUUACUAACAUCUUUGUAACUCAACUUCUGUCAUAGGAUGAUUUUUUGACACUCCUUAUGUUGAACGCAAUACUGGUCACGAUUUCUUCAAGCUCGCAGGAACUCUCCUUAUAUUGAAUAUGAUACUAGUCACGAUAGAUUCAAGCUCAUCGGAGAAAAACAGCCACAACGGUCUUGGUGCCCUCAAUGGUAUGAGUCACUGAACAUGCAAAUAAAUACAAUAUGAAUGAUAAAAGUGUUUGAUAAAUCACCAAGUUAUGGAACACUUGAUGAUUUAUCUCAAAUAAAAACUCAGCUUUCCAAAGUUUAUGAAUUGAAAAUAUGAUCGUUAAAGCUCUCUAAACAAAGAAGACGAAGAUCUUAUUUUAUAGAAUUUUUCUUUAUAAGAAAGAAAACACAUUGAAAACCAAAUCUCCAAGGCUUGACAGAAAAUCACAAAAGUAUCUUUCCUAUUCUAGAGAUUGGUCACAUGUAGUCCAACCAAUAGGACAUGAGAUAUUUAAGAAAUGAAGAUUUUGAUCAAUAUCAAUAUCAAAUGAAUUCUUAUACGCCUAGUCAACUAUUAAGGGUAUCUUGACUCCUUGAUAUUGUGAUAUGAUUGAAACAUGAUUUCCACGUUAGAAAAUUAAGGGGAUGUUAAAACAUGAAAGUAAUAGGAGAAUCAAAUUGAUUUCGGCCAAAAUUGCCUAAAAAGAAAACACUCCUAAAUAAACUCAAUUCACUUUUAAAAACAGUAAAACGUGAUUGAAUUGUUCUUUAAAACAAUUCCCUAAUAUACAUGCAUGAUAAUGACAUCACUUACCUCUGAAUCAAAUGCCUUUCAUAGGUCAAGCCACAAGUCUGUGUUUUGGGGAUUGCUGAGCUGCAUCAAUCCUGCCAAUGUCAAUGCUGCCCCUAUGCUCUCUCAAAGCACGUUUACAACCUAUGCUAACAUAUACCCUAAACCCUAGUAUCAAGAAAAUGCCAACACUAAUUUCGUAACACGUAGAAAUUGUUAGAGAUUGGAAGUUUUUUUUCUUCAAGUCUCUCCACCACUCACUAAUACAGAUUGCUCAUGUGAUGAGUUUACAAAACCUAUUUCUCUACUCUCACAAAGACUAUACUUCUUCUCAAAAGACUAUAUCACUUUACCUCUAUCUCUGUGAAAUGUAAAAAGUUGAAACUUUAAUGUCAAACCUCGACAAAAGAUGAACUUCCAUAAGUUACGUUGAAUUUGGAUUUGUUGAACUUAAGUGGUUUUACUUUUCUGUCAGUGUUUGAUGACUUAAUUUGGUAUUUACUUCUUCUUUUUUUCCUUGGAAAUGUGUUCCACCAACGUGAGGAAGAAAAAUAUGCACAAAUUAAUAUAUUUAAUAGAAGCCCAAGAUUUCGGAAGCACAUAAUUUCUACAAAAUUCUACAAAGUGUUCUACUUUACAAACUUCAUAUGUCUACCAAUUUUUACUAAAAUUAAUUUAUCUGCAGUGCUCAAAUUCAUCAUAUGUGUGUCCUUAAUUUUAGUGAAAAUUGGAAGUUUCCAUUAUUUUUGUUUUACGGGAAUUUUUUGAACCAAGGAAAAUCAAGUAAAAUUAAUAAAGCAUAAAUUGGAAAGGGAAAAUAUCUAGAGGAUGCAUUGUAGGAUUGCUCAUGCCAAUAAUUGUACCCUCUAAAUAUAUAGGGACAUAUUUUUUUUGCUCAUACCACUUGUUGCAGUACACAUUCACCCGUUUUCAAAGAAAGAAAUUCUACCAAUCGAUAAUGUCUCAAAUUUAAUCACAUAUUUUAUGGACCAUCCAGCUAUGAGGUUUUAUCUCAAAAACCUUCGGUACAUUUCUCCCACAUGCCACAAUUGUAUAUUCACAAUUACGUCUGAUACAUCACAUCAUGCCACUUGCCUCAAAUGAAUUUAAGUGAGUGAGGCAGUUGGAAGUAAUUAAGCUCUAUAUUGGUGGGUGGAGUGUUAGUUCUGGGUACCCCUCAUCAUUCGUCUAUAAAAUGGUGAAGCCAGUUGCUACUGUUACCAUAAGAGCCAGCUCCGACUUUCUUUAAUUUCUUGCUUCAUAUCCACUAGCUACAUCUGUUGCUCUUCUCAGUGUAAGCUCUGCAAUUUGAUUAACUUUCCCAUUAUCUCUCACUGUACUCUAUAUAAAGGAAUAAGUGUCGUCCAUUAAUUCUCUCCGAAAGUGUCGUCCUGAUUUUAAUUAGAGUUCGAAUUAAUGUUGCAGCUAGCAGCGGUUGCACUGGCAAACCAUGCUGCUCAACCGGUACCUCAACUUUACUGGAACUCCGUCCUGCCAAACACACAGAUGCCAAGAUCUAUCAGUGAACUUCUGCAUCCUGGUUUGUGUUUGAGCACUUUAGAAUCUUAGAUAUCUCUUCUACCUGCCAUUUUACUAAAAUAUGUUCAACCACAUAUUUAUCAGUUAACUACUGUCAUUACAUGAGUGACACAUAUUCACAAAUCGGCUGAUCACUUAUUUUCCAUUAUGACGUUGAUAUAUAAUGUUGGGAAUGGAAAGCCAAUUGACCACAAGGGAAAACCUGAAAAUACUGUACUACCACAGCUAGCACGAAGCCCAUUUUCUUACAAGAGUGAUGUGGGGACCAAAUCUCAUGUAUCAUAGCUUAACCCAUAUGCCACAACUAAAAGACGUGGGAUGAUCGAACAGCAUACCCACAUGGUCAUGGAUCUCUUCAGAUAAUCAAUAUUAAACAACCCAUAAACUUCUCCCUUUGAAGAACAAAUUAAAACCAAUUUCUAGAGGAAGGUUACAAAACAUUUUAGCCCGUGAAGAACAAAUCAAGACAAUAUAACCCAUUUGAUAACAAAAUCAAAAUGAGAUUUACCAAUACUAGAUGACCACGGCGCCAGUAUAAUGGUACGACGGCGGCGUUAUUGUAACGGUGGAGAAGUGGAUGGUAUGACGACGGUGUUAGUGUGACGGUGGAGGAAACGAUAUUAUGAAGGAGGCGUUGCUAUGUUCGGUGGAGGAGUCGUGUGUUUCACAGUUCAAUAUAUCCUUUUUAGUCAUUUUAUAUUAGGGUAAAUCAGUAAUUCAAUAAAUAAUUUGAUAGUAUGGUGUACUCAGUUAAUAUUAGGGUUCAUUUAACAGCACUCAAAUUAACUAGUGUAGAGUCUAUCUAUAUUAUUAAUACUAAAAAUAAAUAUAUGACUAAAUAACUCAAAAAAAAAAUAAAUCUACAAUCUUUUUUUUAAAAAAUUUUUUUUAUAGAAUUUUAUUAGAUUAAUAGGCACUACUAAAAAAUCUCCUUAUAAACUACAAAUACACGCAUAACUUAUACUAAUGUGAGCUACUGACACCACCUGCCACAUGACAGUUGUCCAAGCAUAGUGUUGUCAUUCAUUAUUCCCCACAGCAACUAACAUCCAAUAAAGGGUUGGGGCCCACCCAUACUCCACCUCUCUGUAUGUAGCUCUUUGAGAAUACAGAAGAAAUAUUUUUUAGGGAAAUAGCUUAAAAUGAUACCCAUUUCAUAAUUUUAAUUAAAAAUACCACCCCUUUCCAAUUUUUGUACAACUAUCACCUAUAAAUAUAAAAUUAUUGUCCACUUAUUGCUGAUUUUUCACAAGUUCAGAAAUUUUGGAAAGAAGAAGCUCACACAGCUCUCUCUCUCUCUCUCUCUCUCUCUCUCUCUCUCUAGCACAACUCUCUUUCUUUGGUAUCUGUCUAUCACAGCUCUCUGUGUCUCUCUUGGCUCUCUCUAUCUUGGCUCUCUCUCUCUCUAGCACAACUCUCUGUCUCUCUCUUUGCUCUCUUUCUCAUAGCGCAGCUGUUUCUCUCUCUAGCUUCGUUAUGUCUCUUUCUCCCCUAUUCGAUCUCUUGCUUUCUGUUUGGAAUCGCGAACCCCUCCCUUUAGCUAUGUCUUCUGAAUAGCUGCUUGCAACCUUGAAGCUCUAGUGGAUUGCCGACCUCGAAAAGGUAGUGUUGAUGGUUAUUUUCUUAAUAUCAGUGGGAUUAUGUGAAAUGGGUUAUAGUUUGAUUGUUUGGGUUUGUGUUAAAUUCGUUUUGGCUUUAAUUUCUUUGGGUUAGGUUUUGUUGAAUAUUCAUACUCAUUCAUCUGGGUUUGUACCAAUUGCAUUUAGAUUGGUCUGGAUAUGUGAAUCUUGAAACUUGGGAUUUUCUAUUUGAUGUAGUAGAUCUGUAUAGUGUGAUUCUGUUGUGUUCCUCUUAUUUUACAGUCGUAUUGCUGUUAUAUUGUCAUUAUAUUGCUUAUAUAUUGCUGUUAUAUUGUGGUUAUAUUGCUAUUGUAUUGUUUGGUUAUUGUGGUUAUAUUGUGUUAAUGAAAUGUUGUUUUGUCAUGGUCAGAAAUGGAGACAAUUGUUAUUCUCGUGUGCUACAAUGGAAAAUGGGUCACCUCGAAGAAGAUGUGCAAAUACGAAGGGGGUGACUCAAAAGGCUUAAUAGUUCCACGGACCAUCAAAUUUGUUGAACUGUUGGACCGUGUGCAUUAGAUUGGUAAUACAAACAGCAGGGAAGACAAGGUUUGCUUAAAAUUCUCAGUUUUGGUGGCCUCGAAUGAGUGGAAGCACAUAAAUAUUGAGGACGAUGAUGAUAUCAAUUUUUUUAUGAAGUACAAUUCCGAGGUAACACCUUCAAAACUAGCUCCCUUACUCGUGAGUAUAGAAGAUAAAGGAUUGACAAAUGAUGUAGUUCAUAGUAUGCAUAUCACGACAGAUAGUAGUCGGAUGGGUCAUUCUUCAGUUGCCAUUGUUGAAAGCAAUGAAGUAACUUGGAAUAAUACGAAUGUCACUGAUGUGGGAGGUGAAGUAGGGACAGAUUUUGUGGAUAUGAUUGAUUUUAGCGAGGUGUAGGAGAUGCAUGGUGGUGAUAAUAGUACUGAAAGAAAUGAAGUGUCAGUGUACUCUGCCCCUCCUAAUUUGGGCUGCUUCAACAUAGCUGCCCAGUUGCCAAUAAUGCGUUUAGGAGGAGAAUCUGAACCCACUCGUCAACAUUAUUGGAGUCAAAUAGGUGAACAAAAUCGGUACAAUGCAGCCGGUGUAAAUGAUGAAGAAGCAUAUUUGGACAGCGGGUUUUCACGAAGUGAUUGGAAUCCGAAAAUUACAGUUGGGCAAAUUUUCUCUAGUAAGAAAGCAUUGUUGACGGAGUUACGGUUGACGGCAUUAAGAGGCCACUUUGAAUUUAAGGUGCAAUUCUCUUGCACUAAAAGGUUGCUUGUGGUUUGUUGUCAACGUCCAUGCCCAUGGCGGGUCCGAGCAUCGAGAAUUGGAGAAUACAGCUUCAUGAUUGUGAGGUGUACAACUGUCCAUGAAUGUGAUUUGAGGUUCGUAAGUGACAAGCAUCGUCAAGCAACCGCAGCACUUGUAGCCACUUCACUUAAAAGGAAGUGACAUUAUGAGAGAUGUGAAACACAACUUUGGUUGCACCAUCCAUUAUUCGAAAGCUUGGAAAGCAAAGGAGUUAGCUCUAUUGUCCAUUAGAGGAUCAGCGGAGGAGGCAUAUUAUAUCCUUCCAGCUUAUUGCUAUGAAUUGGAGCGUAUGAAUCCCGGCACAAAAACACACAUCCAAACUGAUGAGAACAAUCACUUUGUGUAUUUAUUUAUGGCGGUUGGCGCAUGUAUUAGAGGGUUCCGUUCUUCCAUGCGCCCAGUGAUAGCCGUGGAUGCCACUCAUUUAAAAUCCAAGUACAAGGGUGUUAUGUUUGUAGCAAAUGCAUUCGAUGGUAAUUGAAAUAUAUAUCCUCUUGCUUUUGGGAUCGGGGAUUUGGAGACGGAUGCAUCAUGGCAUUGGUUUUUCACUAAACUUCAUGAAGCCAUUGGUGAGUGUCCCAAUCUUGUUAUUAUUUCUGAUCGCAAUGUUAGCAUAGAGAAUGUGUGGAACAAAAUUUUUCCAACUGCACAACGUGGCAUAUGCUUUUAUCAUAUGAAGGGGAACAUGAAACGCACUUGCUAGUUGAAAAAGCGUGAUCACAUACUUAUGCACUUUGAGCAGGCUGCGAAAUCUUAUUCCAUUGCUGAAUUUGAUUGUCAUUUUUGCAAGAUCAAGCGAAAGGAACAUGUUGCUCAAUAUCUUGAAGAGACAGGGUUACAUAAGUGGUCUAGAGCUCACAUGGAUGGACGCCGCUACAAUGUAAUGACAACAAAUAUUGCAGAGUCAAUCAACUCAGUCCUUAGGUUUGCAAGGAUGCUGCCAGUGGUUCAUUUGAUAGGGGAAAUUGUUAAUCUCCUUGUGAAAUGGUUCACCGAACGUUGUGAGUUGGUUUUGAAUUGCACAACAACAUUGUGCCCCAAUUUUGGAGAGAAGAAGUUGAGGAACAGGUUGGAGGAUGCUGCAAGGAUGAAUGUGGUUAAAGUAAAUAAUGCACAGUUUAAUGUUUUGGACGGUGAUAUGGACGGCCUCGUAGAUUUGGCGAACAGCAGUUGUAGUUGUAGAAAGUUUCAGCUUGAGCAGCUACCUUGCAAGCAUGUAGUUGCAGUUUGCCGCUUCUUGAAAGUAAAUGUAUACGCAAAGGCUUCUCGGUAUUACACUCAGAAAACCUGGAUGAUGCUUAUUCGGAUAGCAUCUACCCGGCACAACCUCACGGAAUGUGGGAUAUUCCUGAAGAUGUUCGAAGUCGAGUUGUGCUGCCUCCCAUGGCAAGGGUCAUGCCAGGCAGACGAAAGAAGAUCAGAAUUCCCUCGCAAGGAGAGGGCACCAUUAGAAGAAAGUGCUCAAGGUGCGGUUCCGCAGGCCACAAUAAAAGCACAUGUAAAAACAAUAUUCCAUUGCGCAAUGUAUCUUAGACAAUAUGAUUUGUGUUGCUUUGGUAGGUCAUGUAAACUCUACUUUUAUUUGUGGUGGGUUUCGUGUUAUGUUGAAUGGGAAUUCUUUUAAAUUUGCAUAAUUUGGGUUGCAUUGCUACAGCAUGCUGUAUUGCUGACAGAUUGCUAUUAUAUUGGACUUUUAUUGUACUGGUAUUGCUUCCAGAUUGCUAUUAUAAUUUGAGUGCGAAAUUAAAGGGACUGGAAUGUAAUUCCAAAUGGAUCCAAAUCAUUAAAGUUCUUAGAAUUCCUAUAUUACACAGUUACUGUGAUACUCCGACUAUACCUUCUUUUAUGAUUACAAAUUCGGCCAAUGCAUAGGCCAGAUGUGGGGCAAAUACAAGGUGAAAUGUCCUAUGUGUUUGACUACAUAUACUUGUUGAAGGAGCAUUACGAAUGCUAACCUCAAUAGAUUGCUCAUGUCUUGCCAAGAACACUCUUGAAUUUAUGCAAUGUGCCCAAGCCAGUCCCAAAGCUGGACUCACCCGUCUGCCUGAUGUGUCCAGGGACUCCAAGUUUCCCAACCUCACCUCAUUCACUUUAUCAUGUGGCCCAAUAAAAUCCACCACUUGGUUGGUGACAACCACCGCCAACCCAAACUUAUUUGCUAAACCCUUCAAUGUCCCAGAUAUGUUGAAAAAUAUUUCAAACCGCCAUUUCAAAUCUGCUGGUGUUGUCUGAUACUGUGAUCGGAACAAUGCAGCAAUGGAAUCAAUGACAAUGAGUUUCACAGGUAGGUGGGUGUGAUCAAUGGCAAUAAAUGCUUCUAUGUCUCCAAGGACAUGGAUGAGUUGUUGAGCAUCAUGAACACCAUGAACAUAUAUGUCUUCCAAUGGCUCCAACCUUAUUAAGUUGGGGUAUGAUGCAUGAUAAAGGUUGCCUAGUUGUUGCAAUCGACGAAAUGGGAAGCUGAAUUCUGUGAAUAUGUAGACGGUGGAGCCCUCUAGUCCGCCAUGUGAGGGUGGGAGCUGAGCUGGUACCGUAAGUUGGAGACAAAGUUGCGUCUUCCCAGAACCACUCUCCCCUACCAAUUCUGUUAUAGAGUUGCAGGGUAUCCCACCCCCCAAGCAGUCAUCUAGUAUUGGGCAUCCAAUGGAUAAUUGAGGGGUUGAAAGAGGAAGGAGCAUGAGGUUUUAGGGUGUCAUAUUUGUGUAAUUUAGGGGGGGAUGUGAUGGUGCUACAAGGCAUGCAUUAUAUAUAUAUAUAUAUGUAGAGUUCAUUUUGAAGGUCUGUAUUGUAGGCCAUAUGUCUUUUAAGGGAUGUAUAAUCCAUCCUUUUUUCAGGUUGUAAUUAAUUUUUUGUUUAUUUAUUAGUAUUUUUUUGGACCAAAUAAUUUAAAAAACAUUAUGAUGCAGUACGUACUGUAAUAGGAUCAUAUUGUAACUCUAUCAUCACUCUAUUGUACUCUUAUUGACAUAAUAUUGCCGUUAUAUGCAUGUUUAUUAUAUAGUUAUUACUGCUAUAUCGCCACUGAACUGGACACCGAUAAACUGUAUACGCACAAAUACAAAAAGAGGCUUCAUCAUUCCAUAAAAUCCUAUUUCCAAACUUACAUAAUACAACAACAGGCCACCCCAUCGUUACAUAAUACAAAAAUACGCCACCUCAUAGUUCCAUUUCCCUACUGUUGACAAAUUCGAAGUUGCAUACUCUUCAAGUGCGGUGACCGCGACGCAUGAAAUUCAUGACCCCGGCCACAGUGAUGUUGGCCUAGUUUCCUGCCGGAUCCACUAUUUUUGCAAACUUACGAAAUAGUUCGAAUCCGCUUUCCACUUCUUCUUGCUUCAACUUGGCCGUUGCUUCUGAUUCCUUGAAUACCAUAAUUGCAGUGGUAGGGGCAAUUUCAAUUUUUGCUUUCAUUGUCUUUAUAUGUAGGAGAUGCAUGCGCGCAUGAUAACGAGAGCGAAUUGUGCGGUUUUUUAUGACACCCCAUCUAGUUUGGCCCUCCACAAUUUUGAAACUAUGUCUGCAUGAAGAUUUUUCCAAAACAUGGUAUUGCCUCGACAUUGCUGCAUGCCAUGGACCAAGUCUGCAGGGAGUGAAUUGGGUGACUUGGCUUGUGUUUCAGUCUUCUCUCCUUCAGUAAUUGAAAGUGUUGGGUGUGGUGUGAGGUUAUGGUCCAUGGUCUUCGAUAUUUAUUGUAGCCUAGUGUACAACUUAAUUGGAAAAAAAGGGGACUAAAUGCGAUGGGAGUGAAAUCAGUGGGGAAGGUAGUGGCUGUAAGCAGGAGUUAAUGUGAUGGAAGUUUUCAUUUCAAACAACUGGGUUGAUUAAUAUAGGCAAGUUUUAAUGACCUGGAGUAACUCAGAGAGUUAUUGGUGGGAGGGAUUAGAGGGAGUAAUUGGCGGGAGGGAUUGGCGGGAGUCUUAGGCGGGAUAGUAUUGGGCGGGAGUUAUUACCCAGUUGACUGUAUGCCUUUUUGUAAUAUAUUUGUAUGUUGGACGUUCCAAACUUGGUAAUUUUCCCAUUAUGUAAUUCAAAUAAGGGAUUUGCCUAUUUGCCUAAUUGACCAACUCAUUCAAAUUGACCAAUAUGGUUAUUGUCUUAUUUCUCAUUUCAGCAAUCUCAAUUCGUUUCCAUUUUUCCAUUCUUCAUAUUUUCCUAUUUUCCAUGUGUCAUCCAAUUUUCCAAUUUUCCAAUUUUUCAUUAUUUUUGCCUAUUUUUUCCUAUUCCCUAUUUUCCUAUUGUGCAAUUUCCCAAGUUUCCUUUUGUUGUAUUUCUAGUUUUCCAAUUUUUCAAUGUUCCCAUUUUCCCAUUAUGUAAUUUAAAAAAAGUUGCCUGCUUUGCCUAAUUCAGAAAGUAAUUAAAAUGGUCCAAUAUGGUAAUUGUCUUAUUUUCCAUUUCCACAAUUUCAAUUCGUUUCCAAUUUUCUUAUUUUCCAUGUGUCCCUAUUUCCUAUUUCCAUUUUUCAAAUUUUAAGUUUUUGUCCAAUUAUCCAAUUAUCUUUUUUCCAAUUGGACUAUUUUCUAAGUUUCCUUUUUUUCCUAUUUCCAAUUUUCCAAUUUUUCAAUUUGCUAACUUUCCUUUUGUUCUAUUUCCAAUUUUGCUAUUUUCCAAGUUGCCUUAUUUCCUAUUUUUCAAUUAUCCAGUUAUCCAAUAUUCCAAUUUUCCAAUUAUCCAAUUUUCAAUUUUCCAAUUUGCGAAUUUGCCUAUUUUCCAAGUGUCCUUUUUUCCUAUUUCCUAUUUCAAAUUUUCCAAUUUUCAUGUUUUCAGAGUUUCCUUUUUUUUUCCUAUUUUCCAAGUUUCCUUUUGUCCAAUUUCAAAUUUUCCAAUUUUCCAAGUUGCUUUAUUUUCCAAUUACCCAAAUUUCCUAUUUUCCAAGUGUCCUUUUUUCCUUUUUCCAAUUUUCCAAUUUUCCAAGUGUCAUGUAAUCCUAUUGCCUAGUUUCCUCUUUCCAAUUUUUCCUUUUUUCCUAUUUCCAAUUUUCAAUUUUCCAAAUUUCCCAAAUUUCCAACUUUCCAUUUUUUCGUAUUUCCGAUUUGCCAAUUUUCCUUUUGUUCUAUUUCCAAUUUUCCAAGUUUCCUUAUUUCCCAUUCUCCAAGUUUUCACUUUUCCUAUUUUUCAAUUUCGCUAUUUUCCAAUUUUCUGUUCUGAAAUUCGCAAUAAAUGCUUAGUUACACAGUCCUAUUUUGGGUUGAAAUCCACAAUUUUCAAUUUCCCAUUAAGGUUUGCUUUUUUGUCGUUUGGAAGCCAAUUUUAUUGUUGUUAAUGUAAUGUUGUACUGUUGUAAAUUACAGCCAAUGAGUUAAUGAUGUAGUUUGCAAUCCCAUCAAUUGAAUGCACCAACUAAAUACCCAAUAUACUUCAUAUAAGUUCGUACAUAUAACUCAACCUUCCUAUACAGAACUGCAACAGAGGCACCUUCUUAACGGGAAAGGUAAUUAGUCUUACUAAAACGCAAAUAUUCUCCACUACAGCUAACCAAUUGUCGUUUACAACUGGAGACUGAAUCUACCUUUAUUUGUUUUGUUGCAGGCAACAGCUGUGAAUUGUCCCCGGCAAUACUUAAAGAUGUCGGAUGUACGCCCUCCAAAUGAGCAUGUCACAGUUACCCGGGGGACCAGCCGUGGCAUGUGCCAUUCCCAUCUCCACCUCGGACUCCCAAUCAUGAUCCCACUUCAUCUGGAAGUGAGGCUGAGAGCAAUGAUCCGCUUGACAAAAUCUCUGCCGUCAAGCACCACCUCCAAUAUAUGUCAAAGGCAACGGAUUGGUGGGAGAGUAAGUGCGAUAUUCAUGGCCAAGUUAUGGGAAACUUGGCCAACAAGUUGAACAAAGCAUACGCUGGAGAGGUGAAGCAAACUCUAAAAGCAAAAAGUCGGAGCAAAGAGUUAGAGUCCUUGAAGUUGAAAUUGGAAGAGAGAAAGAAAAAUGCUGUCGAAAAAUUCACACAAUCUGAAGAAUAUAACCAUGAAAUGGUUGAAUGUUUCAACAACGGCUUUGAAAUGUUCCGAGAUUAUGCUUCGGUCAUCUCACCAGACUACAAUUGGAGUGAAAUUGAUGUAGCUGGUGUUUGGCAGGUGCUGAAUAUGGGUGCUGAGGGAAUGGCUCAUCAUAGCCUCGUGCAUGCAGCAAGGAGAAAGGACAAAGACUUGGAUCUUUUGAUGGACCUGUAGUAACAGUGAGUGCUGCUUCAGUUCAACUCACCUGAGUACAUGGAUCUUUUGUUGCCUUCAUUUUCCCUUCGCAGGCUAGUAUUGUUAAGGUUCGGUGGCGAUUUCUUUUGCAUGUGUAAAAUGUUGUCUGUAAUGUGUAUGUAUUGUAUGUAGAUUGACUUAAUAUUGUAGUUCUAUUGUAUGUAUAUUGCCUUAAUAUUGCCUUUGUAUAGCAUAGAUAGUGUAUGCAUAUUGCCACCGUAUUGGAUGUAUAUUGUAAAACUAUUGGUAUCGUAUUGCCCUUAUAUUGCUCUAAUAUUGCCUCUAUAGUGCACCUAUAUUGACCUAAUAUUGCUCUUAUAUCGUAUGUCAAUGGCAUGUGCUCUAAUAAGUCUCCAGUUCGUUGAAAGUAAUCCUGAAUUCAAAUAUGAUGGACAAGACAAUUGUUAUCCAUCCUUAUAUUACCAUGAAUUGAUUUGGACCUUUCAAAUGAUAGUUGGAGUUGCACAUGGAUUCAUAUUCAAAAGGAAAGUAAUUCUCUCCCUCAAUGAAUUGUCGUUCAAAAGAAGGCAGCUAUCAAAUUUUGGGUACAAAAAGGCAACAUCCACGGUAAAUUAAUUGGGCACAAACCACAUAUUACAAAACCAGGAUGAUUUUUGGCAUGCUUCAAAAGAGAAGGGCCAAAUACAACAGAAAAGAAAAUCCAUUCAAGCUUGUACAAUAGAAUGCACAAUAACCCUUUUACAUGUCCUUCCAACACCAGUGUUUUGCCUACUUUAGAGUCGCAGGAGGAGAGCUUAUUGCCAUUGUGCAAUUCGAGGGGGCAGUCAAUUUGGAAUGGUGGCAUAAACAUGUUUACUCCACGGAUCACCUAUAUGGGACAGAGCUUCCUUCUUCCCUUGUCGUCUGUAGGUUUCAACUUCACACUUUUUAUAUACAUGUAUGAGAACUUGUGGCUAUUUAUUUAUGGCCUUCUAACACUUGUUCUGCCAUUCCAAAGUGGGUUGGAGACUUUUUGAGUUGAAUGACUGGAAAGACUUCAGAUGACAGAAACUAGAGAGUUUGAAGAAAAAGGGUUACCAAGAACAGCAGUCAUGCCCACGACAUAAACUAAACAUGCUAUAAGCUCCACAGUAAUAUUUACUUCAUCUCCAUAAUCAGAAUAUUGGGAAAAAAAUACCACGGAGAAAUACGUGAAAUGAAAAACAACUCGGCAGUUACUGUGAGAUUGUGUACAUAAAACUUGGAACAACCAAACCAAUUAAAGCUAAGCCAUCUCAUACGUAUACCUACAUCAAAUAACAGUGUAUGGUCAUCUUGUUUAGAAUAUUGCAAUCAACACUUGGUUGAGACCGACCUGCAAAAACAACUGGGUUAAGUACAGAUGAAGCCAUUUAUGAAGGGCAGUUCCAGAAUUAAGACCUACGUUAAUUUGUAACUGCCACCGAAUCAGUUCAUAGUGCCAAAUGCAUCUACCAAGCACACAGAUAUGACCAGCCAAAAGAAAAAAAAGCAAAGUAAAAAAGAUAAAAGAGGCAUGCCAUAAAUGGGAACCUCAGCAGAAAUCAUCAGAUAUGCAUACAAGCAGAUUGAGUAACAUCUCACUAAGUAGAGGUCAUGUUGGUAAUCGCAUGUUGUGUUUGCACACAGACAUUUGGUUUUUGCAAACACAACAUGCAAUUGCAUUCCAUGAUGUGUGUGUUGUGUUUGCACACAGACAUUUGGUUUUUGCAAACACAACAUGCAAUUGCAUGAUGUGUGUGUUGUGUUUGCACACAGACAUAUGGUUUUUGCAAACACAACAUGCAAUUGCAUAUUGUGUGUGUUGUGUUUGCACACAGACAUAUGGUUUUUGCAAACACAACAUGCAAUUGCAUAUUGUGUGUGUUGUGUUUGCACACAGACAUUUGGUUUUUACACACACGAUAUGUAACAUUUAGUUUUACCCUUUUAUUCUUAUUUUCUUCGUUCAAACAUGGUGGUGAGAAAAGCACCAAACCAUCCCAUCAUAUAAAGCAAAACUCAUACAAUAUUUUAGAUGCAAAAGUUAUAUAUUUUAUAUAAAUGCAUCAUCCGCAUGGCUUGAAAUUACAAAUUCACGUUCACAUAUUACUUUUCACAAGCGCACAGACUAACAAUAAUAAUAAUCAACCAAGUAGUUGCGACAUUCAUCCUAUUACGUCCAUAUUGAUAAUGUCAGAAGUUUCAUCGAUAAGCCUCAUCAAACUACAAGUUUUUUAAUUUGAAUUAUGAAUUCAGAACUAAAAGCUCAUGAUAUGCAGAAAAUGACAUACAUUGUCCACAAUCGACUUUUCGAUAUAUUUCUGCUCUAGCAAUUUAUCGUCCAAAUUCUGGACUCUCUGUGUCAGGUGCUUCUUUGUGUUCUAUCCAGCAUAAGAAUAUUUAAUAGUGUGAUUUCAAUUGUUUAUACAAAUUCUAUAAGUAAUAUUGAUGAGUGCUGUAAAUCUAUUUGAUAUUGGGAACAAACAUGGUCCCACUAACAGAAACUCAAACAAAACAGGAAUUUUUUUUUAUUUUUUUUGGCAUAGACAGCCGAAAAGAAACUUACAGCAAUAGCCUCUGUCACGCUCUCCAGACGUUUAUGCAAUUUUGAAACAGCAGCAUUCAUACUACGCUUUGUCACAUACAGAAGAUCUGAGAAUUUUAGACCCUAACCAUUUGUGAAGAGCAAAUAUUAGAUUUGCUUAAAGAAGACAACAACUCACAGAACCAAUGGAUGAAAUAAUAUGAACAUAAAUAUAUCAUUUGGAUACCUUCCACCACAUGUAACCAUAACCCAAUGCCCCCAAGGUAGCUGUUGGCAUUAUUAGUGAUGUCAAACCUAUUAAAAAAAUCAAAAAAAAAAAUAUAACCAAGUAUAAAAUGUUUCUAUUGCAUUAUGAAAUACAUACGUGUAAGGAAUUAAUCGUUUUACAACUUAACCAAAAAGUCAAGGCAGGAGCAUGCAUUCAUUGAGUGGUUAUAAGCAAGAGGAAAAAGCACAAAGCAUGCUAAGAAUUCAUUUGAACACAGAAGAGAAAGUAAGCUACCUUGGAAUUUGGCUGUCAUUCCCCUUCAGGACGGCUCUCUGUAGUGACGAGUCUAGUUGUCGGACCUCAGCUGCCAGUCGGCGCACCUAAAACAAAGUAACACAGGAAAAUUGAUAUCCAUUACAAAAAACAAAAAUUGAACACGAGAAAGCAUCCUUCGACACUAAAUUUAUAGCAGUUUUUCCAAUACCUGUGAUGCGAUCGCAUAAAAGUCACCUUCUGAUUGUUCUCCGGUUCCAUUGAACAAAGGCUGCAAACAAAACAGAAAUAGACACAAAUCCAUCAAUUUUUUGAGCAACAAGACACAAGCUCCGAAAUAAAUAAACUAUCUAACUGAUCAAAACCCUAGUUUACCAAAUGCAUUACAAAAUUAAAAACUCAUACAAAAAUAACACCAAAUACAAAUGUUCUGCGAGUUCCACUAGCAAAGCAGAGUACAAAUCAUGAAAAUGGUACCUGAAGUUCACCGAUCAAUUCAGAUAAUUGACCAUUCUUACGCAGGAUGGUGCUCGUAUACCCUGUAGAAAGAGAACAAUCACUCAGAUCAAAUGUAGCUAAAUACACAAGGAAACUAAUCCAGUAUGCAAGAUGAAAGAGGAGUGAUUGGUACCUACUCCAGCGAAGAUCAGCAAACACAGUAUGAGGUUCCAAAUUCAAAUAACAACAUAAUGCUAAGCAGAGAAGUAGAAUUGCUGCCGAAAUUAUUUAAAACGAACUAAGUCAAAACUAAAUGGAGAAAUGUUAACAAAGUUGUAUGCUUCAGUAAGUCCAGUAACAGAUUCCCAAAACCACAGAGACAAAAUGUGAACAAUGGCUACAAAAGCAUCCAUAAAGAGCAACUAUGUUUAUAUAUGGAGGUGUACAAAAUAGUUAACCUUCAAAAUCGAAACAGUGUGUGUGCCAUGUAAGGCAAUUAGCCACUGCUUCUAGACUAUACAAUAUUACACCUCACAAUAAUAACUAAACCAACUAGCUCUAGCAAAAAGGCAGGAUGACCAUAUAAAGUACCCCCAGCAAAGCAUCUACGUCUGCAUCUUCAUAUCAAGGAGUUCCUGACAUAAGUAAUGAGCAAAGUGAAUUCCCAAGUCAUAAGUCCAGAAUGAGGUGAAUUCACGGACAUUAAAACAUUUACCUCAUAAAUAUGCCUCCCCCCUUAAACCCUCAAUUGCAAGCCUCAGCCGGUAAUAUUUGAUCUUCAAAGGGUCAACUUUAUCUACCGAAAUCCCAGCACUGAGAUGCUCGAUGAAUUUGACGGUCAUGAUUCCGCAAGACGUACUGUGAGACCAAUAAGUUGGGAAAUUAGAACUGCAGUUAUGUAAGAUUUGGAUAAACUGCACUAAAUUCACAAAGCUUACCCAUCUCGUUGUUGUGGCACAUCUGCAAUGCUGCAAACUGAGAAUGGCGUAAACGUCAACAUCUUCAGCCCCUUUUGCUUAACCUUUUCAACCUCAGAAUCUUCAUAAAAGUGCAUAUCGUACAGCACUCGUGCCAGCGUAUCGCUAAUAGGGUGCAGAAGUGUAACCAGCUUCGAACAUUUGGUAAAAGCAACAUAUGAGUCAUACACAGUUGCAGUAUGUCAGACGAAAUCAAUUUCGAUUGCAACCCAGUAAGACCCUUUAAGAUUAUAUGGAAUAUAGACCUUCCGGACUUUUGUCCAAGCUUGGCCAUACCCGUGUUGCCACGUACCGCGUACAAAGUAAUGUAUAUUCUGCAGCUUGCUGGGUGGAAGGUCAACGGUGUUUGAAGCAACUGCCUUCUUCGAUCCACGUUUCUUGGCAGUCGGUUUGAACGGAUCUAGAAAUUGCUGCAUAAAUUGAAAUGAAGGCAUAUUAGAAAAUCACAACCGAAAGCAAAUGAAGCAGCGAAUGUAACAUGGUAACAUGUUUACCUGCAAGCAACAAUCUGCUGUUGUCCAGUCAGUUCCAAAUACCAACGGAUGAGAGAGUUGCCUUUUCCAGAUAAGAAAGGUUGCCAUGUCCAGGUGCUGAAAGUUGACACACAUAAUAUCAGCACAAUUUCAUACAACUGUACACUUAAAAAAGGUGAGAAAACAAUUUAAUUAUCGCAAUAAAGUAGAGCUUUGUGUAUUCUUACCCUUGAGCUAAUCCAUUCCGUUUCAUCGAUAAGUCUGUAGAAAAAAUCAGCGCCCACUGAAAAUAAUUCCAGCUGCACCUCCGCACUACAAAAGGCAAACUUGCAAUGGUUACUUUUAUAGUCAUCUCAUAAUUCUGACUUUGUUGAUGACAAAAAUACACAUGUAUAUUAAAGCAAACUCUACGUUUUCUCAUUAGUCUAUGACUACAUACUAGAAUAGGAUGAAGAUUGGAAUUCAAAGGUAAAGAAUCCUAACCUGAUAUCGUUUUUCCAGGCAGUACAAAACUCUAUUACUGCCUUCACAUCUUCAAUGGGCACGGAUUUUGAUGGAUCAAAACAUGGCGGGGUUGCAGUCGCAGCCAACACACUCAUCGUCCUCUUCUUCCUCAAAGGAUCAGUAAAUGGGCUCAACAAUGUCUGCGCCGGGCGCUUCUGUCUGCACCCUUUACCUUCCACUUCUUUUUUUUCCACACUCGAACUACCUUCUUCAUCACCAGCCAUACUAACUGUGGGUAGACUUGGAGGAUUCAUCGGACCUCCCGAUGGCAUACUCUUAGUCACUUUCCAAUCUUCUAACAGAGACAACACUUUUUGGCAGAUUUCGUCACACCCGGCCACAUCUUCCGGGGUAGGCAGCUUCUCGGAUUGUGCCUGCUCAGCUGCUUCAUGCACUUGUAAGUGAGGAACUGAAGCGGCCAUUUCUGCCUCUUCGACUACCAUGGCUGCGGAAGGUUCGGCUCCAUCACCGGGAACUUGUGUUUCCAUUACCGCCGGUUCUGUAGGCGGACUAACAUGGUCAUGUAAUGGCGACAAGUGAUUGUCGCCUCCUUCAUUCAUAUGAGGACUACUGAGGUCCUCAUGUCCUUUCCCACCUUCAUUCACCCCACCAUUUCGUUUUUUCAGCUGCUCUAUCUCCACAUUAAAAUAAUGCUCCAUUAAAGCCAGGGUGUUGCGGAAAUCCUCCACACACUUUUUAUUUUUUUCGAACUCUCUUUCAACUUUCAAUGACUCCUUCCGUACCAUGUCUUCCAACUGAUGCACUCUGUUGCGAAGCGCUCGAUUUGAUAUGGCAACUUUGGCCAAUUCAUCCUUUGUCCUUUGAAAGUCACGCUUCAAAGUGCGUAACUCUCUGGACGCGACUGUACCCUGCAUUCAGUUAUAAUGCAAGUGUUACAAUAUUUUCAAAAUAUAUUGCAACAAUACAGCAGUUAUUUUCCUAUUGUAUUAUGACGUAUAUCUUGGAAAAAAAUGUAAUGCUUGCCUUAGAAGACGACGGAAGGCUAGCAGUUUCGUCAAUGUCCUUAUCUUUUUCUUCUACAGAGGCAGAAGUGCUGGUUUUUUGUUCAGCGUCAUCGCCAAACAACUGAACAAGUUCUUCAGUGUCGUCAACACUGUCACCCCAAGUCCAAUACGGCUGCUGCUUGUCGAUUACAGAUGGCCGGAGAAGUUGCACAUCAACCUGCAAUUUACACAUACAAUAUACAUAUCAGUAAACUUAUUAUAUUAUAUUUUCAUAUGCCUAACAUUAUCAUUAAAAACUUAACUAACCUCACGGUUCUCGAAUACUUGGCUCAUUAGCUCAUAAAAACACGGCGAACUAUUGCUCCUCCAAUGUAGUAAACGAGGGAUGUAGGCAUUAUCUUCGUGCACCACCAAAUGUAGUGCAGCCAACGCUGGAAAAACCUCAUAAGCCCAAAUCUGGUUUGAGGAAUAAAACGUGAGUCACUGUAAACAAAUGAAAUUUAACUUCAACAUGAAUGGAAAUUUGCUCACCUGAAGUGCAUAGGCAAAACCUUUGAGGUGGUACUCUCUUGGUCUACCAGUUGCCGUUGUUUUUGCUUUCUUUUCAGAUUUUUUUGUUUUUGCAGCUUUUUUGGGCACUUUCACUCGCUGGUAAUCUGUACAAAGUGCCCUCAGAAGUGACACAAUUGUCUUGGCAUAACACACAGCACCCCAUGGAUACUUCCCAAACUCUUCAAGGUCUUCCACCAACUUCAAAUAUCGCAUGUCAAUCUGGACAUGUUUUUCACUGCCCAACAGCACAAACACAGCAAAGUAUACAAAUCUGAGCUUCAAUACAUCGUCCGCAUCAACGCAUUUGAGGAAGGCCUUUUCUAAUUCCAAAACAUUGACAGUUUUAUAGUUGCCAAAGUACUUCCUUUUCAAUGAGCAGUUCUCAUUAGUGGGAAUCGGAAUAAAGGGAAGGUUUCCAAACCUUAGCCCUGUCACGAUGCAAAAUUGCUGCGCCGUGAAUUGGAUCACCUUAUUGCCAACGAUGAAUUUGAUCCCGUUGAGUUGGGAAACUGUCUUUGGAUCAGCUUUCCUCAGCAGCAAGCCGUGGACAAUUGGCGAAGUCCACUUGAGGUCCUCAAUCAGUAGGAGAUGCCCAAAACAACUCUCUUCAAACCUUUGUAGCUGUUGUUCACUGAAUUUCUCCUUUAUCGUGCUGAUUGCAGUCUUCGUAUGGGAUAGGGACAAUGCUUUUCCUUGGAACUUUUCUUCCUCUGCAAUCAUCAACUUCAUUUGAGCAACCAUCUUUCCCUGCAUGCCAAUAUUAUAAAAAAAAAUUCAGUCCGUUGCAAUCUAGACAAUAACAAGCAAUAAACAAUCAGCACUUAUCUACAGCCUAUUAUAGGAUAUUAAGUGAAAACAAAAAAACAAAAAAUACAGGGCAUAAACAAAACCCCAGCUAUUUACAACUGACCUACUAAUUCAAUAGCUCAAAGCCACAUCCCAAGACACCCAGUACUCUACCACUCUUGCAUAAUAUAAUAUCUAAAGACACAUCUCAACACACCAGAUAAUCAUGACACAGCUUCAGCUAGAAUGGGAAUGUGCGGUAGCACAAGCCUAAUUGAGAACAAUUCAAGACUAACGAUAGAAAUCUAUCUGACUAGAAAGAGUUUUAAAAAAACAAGAAGACAUCGGGAAAGAAUUGAUUGACUUCAAGGUAUAAUGUAAUGGAACAUCCUAUGAAUUAGUGGCAACCAUAAUAAUGACUCCACUAUGGCCCUCCUUUCAAAUGUAAGAAAAUGAAUGAAAUUGGCACCAUCCCUUCAGUUUUUUCUUAACAAAAUAAGAGAUUUGUAUGUAUUCUCUGCUUUAUCGAUAUCAAAGAUAAAUUAAUAAAUAAACCAUCAAAACUGUAUAAAAUGUUUGUUAGACAUGUACAAUUACAAAAUUAUAAGUUCUCCUCAGAAACAAAGUUCUCUAAGUACGCAAACAAGAAAAGCAAAAGCUUAAAGAGUUAGCUUAUAGCAAAAUCAAUGUCCCCAUUUCUCUAAACCACACCUGCUGGUGGUAGGUUCCCAUCUUCACUCAUUUCCCGCUUUCUUUUAAACAGACAAUGAUCAAGCACAAAAGAGCAAACUUUUAAAUAACUCAUAUUACACCACAAAUAGUUCUAAAGAAAACUUAUUCAUAUCCAAUAUGCAACCCCUAAAGUUAGUAAACAGAGUUAUAAAAAAAUAUGUCAAAUUAACAAGCAUUAUUCUCAAACAAAAAGUAUGAUAUGGUUGGGAGUUUACAAGUUCAAAAUGAUAUACACAGGUUAAUUGUCUUAGACUUUAGAUAUCAUCUUCAACAAAGAAAAUAGAUACCGAUUAGACUUGUAAGAAGGUUAAAUGCAAUGGUCAUAAAGACCCAUAGUAAGCCACCAAAUACCAAUCAAUAACUGCUAUAAAAACCAUAAUAAAACCAUAAUAAACUAAAAAUACAACAGCACUAAAAUGCCAACACAACAUCACUACAUUAGCAAUAUAGUAGCAACAAAACCACAAUACGACAUCAAUAGCAACAGCAAAACAACAGCAGUGCAAGCAUCAGUCCACAAAGAACAAACCCAUUCACUGUUUCAAACAAGGAAUCAUCAUACUAAGAUCAUUUCAGAGAAACCCCAAAACCAAUUUCAGUGAAACCCCUAAACCAAUUUCAGAGAAACCCCUAAACCAAUUUCAGAGAAACCCCUAAACCUUCAACCAAUUUCGAACAAAUCCCUGAACCAAUUUCAUAGAAAUGCAUAAACCCUAAACCAACUUCAAAGAAACCCUAAACUGUAAGAAAAUGACGAUGAACAGUACCUGUUCAAGGUGAACGAUGGAGUUGAGCUUCGAUGAACAAAUUUCGCUCGGAGAGGAAGAGAGAAGAGAGAGUCAGAGCUGAGCGACGAGAGAUUAAGGGCUGAGCGACGAGAGAGUGAGAGCUGAUCGACGAGAGAUGAGAGAGUGAGAGCAAAGUGACGACAGAGUGAAGAGAAAUUGAGAGAAGGAGCCAAGAGAGAGAGCUGAGAGAGAACUUCAGCAAAACUGAUAGAGAACUUCAGCAAAAGUGAUAUGUGUACAAUAAGGGGACAAUAAAUAUAUAUUUAUAGGUUAUAGUUCCAAAUUUUUUUAAAAAGAGUGGUAUUUUCAGUUACAAUUAUAAAAAUGGUGGCAUUUUGAGCUAUUUCCUUAUUUUUUAUUCAACAUGGACGCAGAAACUGUUGCUAAACUGCAAACUUCUUAAAAUAUUUGUCUCACUUUCUCAACCCUAUAUUUGUCUAACUUUCUAGAUCCAUGUACUGAGAUUUAUUAGGGAAAUAUUGUAGAAACUGAUUAUUUUGAAAUAUUAAAUGUGAAAAACUGAACAAAAAUUUGAUGGGUUACAUAUUUCAACUCAUUUCAGCAGCUUAGAUUUUGAAGACCUCGGAAGAGGCCAUGCAGUGAGCCUAGCUAGUGCACUGUUGAUCACUUCAGUGUCUACCGAUCUGUAAUUUUUCCAGAUUGGUUAUAUUUUCCUUUACAUAUUCUUAUAUUAUUCCCAGCUGUAAGUGUUUUACACACUUGUCUAUUAGAAAAGGGGAGACUUAUAAAUAAAUCCAAAAUGGGUACAGUAUUUAUAAAGAAUGACAAAAUUAAAGUGUUUGGGCAAUAAUGCCCUUAUUCAUUUUGAGAUUGCCUAAGGAAUAUUUUUUCUGAUUUUCAGAAGAUGCCAAAGGACCGUUGUUUGAUGAUUGCCGUAAGGAGCUAAGAAAACUUGCUUUGAUAGUUUUGGACAGAUGCAUGCUACUGUUGCUGGGAUGAUCUCUUCACGUGAAAUGAGGAUGAUGAUGCUUCUACACUACACAAUCCAACGAAUUCACAUGUCUAUUUCAGAUACAAGUAUAAACUAACAAGGCUUUAAAAUAUGGGCUGAUGCACUGUUGUUGAUGUUGCUGACACUGUUACUGUGUUGUUGAUACUGUCACUGCGUUGCUGUUGGAAAAAGCACAAGGACUUCACAUGUUGCUUUCGUCUUUUGUGGAGGAGAGAGACCUAGGACUUGCAUGUCUUAGAUAUUUAAGAUAAGGGGCUUUCGUUCCAUUUUGAAAAUACUUUGGGUGUUUUUGAAAGGUGAUUGUUUCUUUUGGGUUUCUCACUAAAUUUCGCUUUAGAAGGGAAAAUAAUAAUAAUAAUGUCAAACAAAGUAGGGUAAAUAUUCAGAUAUGCUCAUAUUAUUAUUCUUCUCCAAUAUUGAGGUAUUUAUACAAGUACAAAGAUGUGUUAACCCUAAAUAAAAUAGGAAAUAUAUCUAAAUUAUAAUAGGCAGUAAAUCUCUAUUACAAUAGGACUAAAUAAUAAUUGGUAAGUAACCAAAAUUCUAAUGAAAUAAGGAAUCAAAAUCCUAACUAAGUAAGGACUCGCCAACACUCCCCCUCAAGUUAGGGCAAACAUAUUUCGCAUGCCUAACUUGACAAGCGAGUCAUAGAACACCAUACUUGAGAAGCACCAAUUGUAGAGAAGGUCUUUUCGUCAACCACGAGUGAAACAAGUGACAAACUAAAGCAAAGUUCGCAGCGGAAACACAAGAGCGAAUCCUAAAAAAUAGGGCACAUAGCAGAACACAAAAAUCCUGGAGCACGACAGUAGAUAAGGCAGAACACAGAAACCCUGUUAGCACGGCAAUAGGUAAGGCAGAAAAAGUCAAGAGCAAAGGCAAGGUCAACAGGCGUGACCACAACGAAAACACACCAGCAAAGACAUGAGCAACAAUAUUAGCACCAUAAUAGACAUGAGCAACAAUACUGGUACCAACAACAGCAAUACAAGGCACUGGCACCAGCAAGAGCAACAAGGCAUGGACAUAACAUGCAUAAUCAAUAGUAAUCAACAUUGUCCCCAACAAGAGUCAUAAUAGGCAUGAGCAAUAACAUUGUCCCCACUAAGAGACUUAACAGGUAUGAGUAACAGUACUGGCACCAGCAAAGGGCAUAGUAGUCAGCAGCAAUAACAAUGACAAAUACUUCUAUUAUUGCAGAGACAACUUCUCUUCACUCCCCAUCUCCCCUUGAAGAGAAGGGGUCAUCGGAACCAUAAGAAAAGUGGCACUUAAGAAACAGAAGUUGACUGACGCUCAAAUGUAGAAGAAUCAGCCAUGGCAAAUAGGUAGCUGAAUUGCAGCGGAAUAGAUGAGCAGCGGUGUCACUCCCCCUCAUAUCUGAUAAUGUAUGAGAGUCGAGAUUUGGAGAAAGCAAUAUCGAAAAAUAAAGUUGCAGAACCCAAAUAAAGUUGCAUCUAUCUCCCCAUCAAAUCCGACACUGGUAAAGGGUCGAGAUUUGAAAGAGGAGAAAUUGAAAUAAUAGUAAAGAGACUCAAACAUGCAGUCUCAUGGCAGAAACAAAUGCAAGAGGGGAAGAUGGUAGCAUACGGUUGUCCCAUGAAGAAAAAACUUCAGAAAAGGAGAAUAGUAAGGGAGGAAACCUAGCAAAUCAUGAACAGAGACAAAGACAAAGAUGCUCAAACUGAGAAGCGGAAAGGCAACUCAAGAGAGCAACCGAAGAAGACAGAGGCCCGCAGAACAGUCAAAGUUAAGGCUCGGCGAGUGGUGACGAUGCUCGCGGAGGAAAGCAACGGCUCGGUGAGCGGUGAUGAGGCUCACGGAGUAAAGAGACUUGUUAUGAAGUUUCAAAGAUAGAGAAGCUGAGACAUCAAGAAAGACCAUCUGGCAUACAAAGAUGAAAAAUAAAAAUUUUGGAACAGUAGCAAAGAAGCAUGUGAAGGCUGGUGCGGUGAAAACACAUAUGAAAGGAUGAACAAAAGAAGAUGACUAUACAAGAUGAAGACCCAUGAUGGGUUAGGAAUGAGGAGUGCCAACGACUCUCAAUUUGGCAGAGGUUAUCGCAGGUUAGGAACCUGGCUCUGAUACCAUGUCAAACAAAGUAGGGUAAAUAUUCAGUUAUGCUCAGAUAUGCUCAUAUUAUUAUUUUUCUCCAAUAUGGAGAUAAUUAUACAAGUACAAAGAUGUGUUAACCCUAAAUAAAAUAGAAAAUAUAUCUAAAUUACAAUUGGAAGUAAAUCUAUAUUACAAUAGGACUAAAUAAUAAUUGGUAAGUAACUAAAAUUCUAAUGAAAUAAGGAACCAAAAUCCUAACUAAGUUAGGACUCGCCAACAAAUAAUAGUACAACUCUUAUUAGCAACAGGUUACAAACUUCUUCUACAACACACCAACAUGAAUCUAGCCCUGAUCCACUCUUUUACAUACUUGAAAACAAAACAAAACACGAAAAACAAAAAACAAGAAACAAGAUAGGGAGAAAAUGGCUACGGAGAGACUUCCUGCUAAUCAGGGGCGGCCCUGGGGUGGUGCAAGUGGCGUCACCGCACAGGGCCCCCGAUUCUUAAGGGCCCCCAAAAAAUAAUUCUUUAUAUUAUAUAUAUAUAUAUUAAUAUUAUAUGAAUCGUAUAUAAAGUAUAGCGUCUGGAUGAUAAAGAGACUCAUUAUCAUUAUCUUAGUCAUAAGAUUCAAAAUGAAUUGAUACUUUUGUUAGCUUCUGAGCUCAAAAGUGCAAUCAUUAAAAAGAUUGAAGAAGCUAAAUAUUUUUCUGUGAUUCUUGAUUGUACUCCAGAUGCUAGAAACCAAGAACAAAUGAGUUUGAUAGUAAGAUGUGUGGAUGUCUCUACUAAUUCAAUAAAGGUUGAAGAAUUCUUUUUGGAAUUUUUGAUUGUGAAUGAUACAACAGGACAAGGACUUUUUGAAGAGUUGCAAACGGUGUUGCAAAAACUUAAGCUUGAUAUUGAUAAUGUGAGAGGACAAGGCUAUGACAAUGGAUCAAAUAUGAGUGGGAAAUAUCAAGGUGUCCAAAGAAAAUUUUUGGAUGUAAAUCCUAGAGCAUUGUACACACCUUGUGGUUGUCAUAGUCUUAAUUUAACACUUUGCGAUAUUGCAAACUCUUGUGGAAAAGCAAAAGAUUUUUUUGGAAUCAUACAACGUAUUUAUACAUUGUUUGCUAAUUCUACAAAGCGGUGGAAGAUAUUGAAAGAUAAUGUUAAACACUUAACUCUGAAAUCAUUGUCAGUUACACGUUGGGAAAGUCGUAUUGAAAGUGUGAGAGCAAUAAGAUUCCAAGCUGCAGAUUUAAGAGAAGCUUUACUUCAGUUAGCAGAAAGUGACGGUGACUCCAAAAUAACAAGUGAAGCUAAUUCUUUGGCAACAUAUGAACUUGGAAAUUUUGAGUUCUUAUUGGGCAUGGUUAUUUGGUAUGAUAUAUUAGGUGGUGUCAAUGUAGUGAGCAAAAACUUACAAUCUGAAGACAUGCUUAUUGAUGUUGCUAUUGAUAAAGUGAAAGGGUUGAUUACUUUUUUUUUGAAAAGUAUAGAGAAAAUGGGUUUACAGAAGCUAUGUGUACUGCUAAAAAAAUUGCUACUGACAUGGGAAUUGACCCGGUGUUUCCUGAGAAGCGAAAAAUUCGUAGAAAAAAACAUUUUGAUGAGAAUACUUGUGAGCUAUCCCAAUCAGUUCCUGAAUCAACUGAAGAAAAGUUUAGAAUUGAUUAUUUCUUGUAUUUAGUGGACCAAGCUAUUGGUUCUUUACGAAGAAGGUUUCGACAAUAUCAAGAGUAUGAGAAUUUUUGGGUUUUUGUUUACUUCAGAGAAGUUAAAUUCAUUGGAUGAUUGCGAUUUGAAGAAUAGUUGCAGUCAUCUGGAAAGCAUUUUGAAAAAUGACAAGUUUUCUGAUGUCGAUGGGGAGGAUUUAUUUGUUGAGUUGAAAGUUUUACAAGAGCUUUUACCAAAAGUAAAUACCACAGCUACUGCAAUAUUAAAUUUCUUGAAAAGAUUAAAUUGUUUUCCAAAUGCAUUCAUUGCAUAUAGAAUCCUAUUGACUAUUCCUGUUACUGUUGCAUCUGCGGAAAGAAGUUUUUCAAAAUUAAAAUUGUUAAAAUCAUACUUGAGAUCAACUAUGUCGCAAGAAAGAUUAAAUGGACUAGCUUUGAUUUCAAUUGAAAGUGAACUUCUUGAAAAACUUGAUUAUGAACAUUUGAUUGAUGAUUUCUCUUCUAAAAAUUCAAGAAGAUCAAUUUUCAGACAUUAGUAUUGUACUAGCUGUGUUUUUUUUUUUCUUCUAGGGUAAAAGCUCUCAUAAUAAUUUUAAUUCUUCAAAUAAGACAGCAAAUACAAUGUGAUGAAUUUUGGAUAAUCAGGUAUGUUUUUGUUGUUGCUUUUGUGUUUAAUGCAAUAUAAUCUAAUUUUUUUAAUGACAUUUGUGUGCAACUACUCUUUGAUUUGUGAUUGCCAAUUUUUUUUUCUUUCUAUUAAACACAGAUUGCUUAUUGGAGGCAGCAAGAGACCUUAUAGGGGCACAAGGAGCUUAUUUUUGUACAAAACAUUUAACUUUAUCAAAUGGAAACAUUUAAAUUUUUAUGAAUUUGAUUUCUGAUUGUCAUUGCAUAUUUAUUGAUGGUGAAUUUUAGUUAUAAAAAAAAAAUUGUUUAUGACAUUAAGUUAUGGCAAAUUUUUAUAGUAUUUUCGUAUUAGAUUAUGCGAGGUCCCAAUUUAAGUUUCGCACAGGGCCCUCAAAAUCUCAGGAACGGCCCUGCUGCUAAUACUUGAUCAAUAACAGAGAUAAUAGAGCACACUGUUUGUAUGACAAUGAGUAUCAGAAGAAUAAUAGCUGCAAAGAGAGAAAUAGCUGCCCAAGGUGUGUUGAAAUACUUUUGUCUCAAAUUUGCCUUCCGUCUGUUCGUGGUCUUCUUGCAGUACUCGUUUAGUUUGCCAGCAAGAUCACCAAAAUAGUAGUUUCCGUGGUUCGGAGCAACUUUACUGCAAAGCUUGUUAAUCAUAAUGGAAACCUUAUUGUUGUCACCUAGCGUGUUUACAACAAUUCCAUUGUCAACAAGCAACUCUACAUCCUUUGGGGUGUUUACAAAUUUAUCCAGGAUGAAAACAUAAUCGCUUAUGUAUUUAUCCACGCAAUGGCCUUGUUCAAAGGCAAUGAGAUUUCUAUGUGUAAGCUGUGUAAUCAUGUAUUUCAAUUUUUGGAAUUUCCAAGGUGUUUUUCUUGAACUGUAUAUCGAAUAAGUUCUUGCUUGAUCCCACGUUAAACUUAACUCCGGCCUGGUGUAGUUUUGUCAUGCUGGGUGUACUUUGGAGCCCUCCAUUUUUUUUUCUUUUGGCAGAUGUAAAGUUCUAAUAAAAUCAACAAAAUGUAAAGGUUUUUUAGGAUCAGGAGGCAUAAAAGACUUACGGAAGGCUGGUGAGUUCUCCAAGUUUUCUAAACGCAGUGCCUGUUGGAAGAACUUGUAAGAGAGUUCAAUUAUUGAAGGCUCCCCAGUCUGAGCACCUGUGAGAUUGUAAAGAUCCUCGAGAAUGAAAAAUGGCAGCUGAUUUACGAGCAUAAGCAUGUCAGGCAAUAUAUUUUGUAGCACCCAUGGUUUUUUAAAUAUCCAAGCAUCAUCAUCCUGCAAUUUUUCUUCCUGAAAUUUUUCUUCGGAUUUAUUCCUCAACAAUAGCUCAAUGACAAAGGCGGCAUCAACUAGAAUGAUAUUCACAAAAGUAGCAAUGUUAAACUUCUUAGGGCUAGUUUGGCGGCGUUGUGCUUUUAAAAAAAUAUGCUUCUGCUGUGCUGUGAAAAUAAUUAGCUGUGAAAAAAAGCUACUAGGCGUUUGGUAAACUGUUUUUGAAAAACUGCUGUGAGUAGUCAAAGUGUUUGGUAAAUUUUUAUCAGAAGUACUUUUAGUGUGUAUAAUGACCAAAAAGGACAUGAUGAUGAAAUUGUUUGUUAUUUUCUUCAUUCUUUUUCUACUUUAAAAAAAAAAAAAACCCAAUUUCACUACAUAAAUUUUUAUUCUUUUUUAAUUCACACCUUUUUAUCAAAAAAUUUAAUCUACAAUUAACAUACAUAUUUUACCAUAAAUUAUAAAUUACUAUUAUAACAAAAGUAAUUCUAAAUAUUGUUAUAUUAAUAUGGGCUUCGGACAUGACAAAAAUACAAAAAUUGUUCAAUUUUAAAAUGCCCCAAUAGAUCACUACAAUAUAAAAGAAGCUAAUUAGAUGCAUUCAUUAAACUUGUAGCGAUGCUAUUUCUUAAUGCAUUCAUUAGCUUCUUUUUUUGGUUUCCAAUGGUUCUCUAACAAUUUUAACUAAAAAAACAACCAUAAUGCUUUGUGAACAAUAAAUUCAAGUCCAAAUCUGCUAUUGCCCACACCAUACAUAUAUACAUAAUUGUUCCUUUCAUAAAACUUGAAGAUUCAAUAGUAAUUACACAGUUUACCAAUCUUGAUUCCAACUAUAUCCAUAAAAUUAAACUAUAAUUAGAAAUAGAGGAGCUACAUGUGAUUACUCAUAAAUGCUUCCCACUCUCAUCAUCAUCAUCAUCAUCAUCUUCCUCCUCUGUACUUUGCCUUUCACAAAUGGACAAGACCAGAUGGUAACGUACACGACAUGGUCCACAUAUAGAUAAAUUUUGGGUUCACUGGAGAACAUAAAAGAGUUUUUACACGAAUACAAAGUUAGUUAAGUAGUGAAUAAAGUAAAACUAUUCUGUACAAUUCUAGCUGAUGCAGUCCAAAAAGAAUAUAUGUCUAAUAACUUAAAUAACAAUAAAGAGAAACAAAAGCCUCAUGAAAAAUGCUAGAGUAAAAGUUACAUAACUGAAUCGAUGGACAGAGAACUCCACAGGCAGAGAAACAGCAACAAAAAUUGUCAAAACAGUAGCAAGACCAUGUUGGAGUCAAGGCCAAAGAUCAUAUUUCCUGUGUAUCUUCUUCCAUUCUGAAUUAUUCUCGUAUUCAAAUACUGUAACUCUAUUUCAAGUGCACCCCAAAAUACUUAUCUAAGGCCAGUACAUAGGACUUCAUAAAGGGUGCGAUAAAAAAUAUUGCCCCUUAAUUGAUAAACAGAACCAAGAUCCCAACAGCACACCAAAACUAUACCAACCACACCUACAUAAUAUGGACAGAAAAUCCUGUUGUUCCGAUCUCUAACCACACCAAUGACAUUCAUUAGGAAAAUACAAAAGAUGGGUACCCUGCAUUUCUAACAUUUAAGAUAAAAUUCACUGCCAGCUAAUCACAAAUUUGAAAAGAUGGCAAGAAAAUUGGCUAAGCUUUAACAAAAACCAGAGCAGUCCUUGCAUAGACCUGACUUUUUGCUCCAAGCUUUAGCAGAUCACUUACUGGUAGAGAGCAGAGAACAUGUAUGUGAAUAUCUGAAGUUGGAAGGGUAAGCCAUCACAAACACCAAGAGAUCUGAUUCUCAUCUCUUGUUACAACAACAAAUCACAAACACCAAUACAUCUGAUUCAGAAUCUCAUAAACAAUGGAGGAACAAACACAUAUUCACACACAUAUAAAUCCCUAAACAGAAAAAAUAAAAAAUAAAAAAAAAACCAUGAAAGUCAUAGGAGAAUCAAAUUGAUUUGGGCCAAAAUUGCCUAAAAAGAAAACACUCCUAAAUAAACUUCAAUUCACUUUUAAAAACAGUAAAACAUGAUUGAAUCAUUCUUUAAAACAAUUCCCUAAUAUACAUGCAUGAUAAUGACAUCAUUUACCCCUGAAUCAAAUGCCUUUCACUGGUCAAGCCACAAGUCUGUGUUUUGGGAAUUGCUGAGCUGCAUCAAUCCUGCCAAUGUAAAUUCUGCCCCUAGGCUCUCUCAAAGUGCGUUUACAACCUAUGCUAACAUAUACUAGAGUUUGUUUUAGUAUCUAGAAAAUGCCAACACUAAUUUCGUAACACGUAGAAAUUGUUACAUAUUGGAAGUUUUUAUCAUUUUUUCUUCCAGUCUCUCCACCACUCACUAAUACAGAUUACUCAUGUGAUGAGUUUACAAAACAUAUUUCUCUACUCCCACAAAGACCAUACUUUUUCUCAAAAGACUAUAUCACUUUAUCUCUAUCUUUGUGAAAUGUAAAAAGUUGAAACUUUAAUGUCAAACCUCGACAAAAGAUGAACAUCCAUCAUCAAUUACAUUGAAUUUGAAUUUGUUGAACUUAAGUAGUUUUACUUCUCUGUCAGCGUUUGAUGACUUGAUUUGUUAUUUACUUCUUCUUUUUUCCUUGGAAAUGUGUUCCAUCAACGUGAGGAAGAAAAAUAUGCACAAAUUAAUAUAUUUAAUAGAAGCAAAAAUUAAUAUUUACAAAAAUAUGCACAAAUCAAGUAAAAUUAAUAAAGCAUAAAUUGGAAAGGGAAAAUAUGUAGAGGAUGCAUUGUAGGAUUGCUCAUGCCAAUAAUUGUACCCUCUAAAUAUAUAGGGACAUAUUUUUUUUUGUUUUCAUGACAUGUGGUCCUAAAAUUAUUGUUCUUAGCGGGCUCUCCACCCCUCUCGACUGAAAACCUAUUGUGUAAAUCUUCAAUCCUGAAUGAUGCACCUAAAACUCAUGUUGCAAUACACAUCCACCCAUUCUCAGGCCAAUUAUUACUCCUAGUGGGCUCUCCACCCCCUCUCAAAUUUAAGUGGUCCAUUAUUAUUAACCGUAUAUUUUAUGGACCAGCCAGCUGUGAGGUUUUAUCUCAAAAACCUUUCUCCCACAUGCCACAAUUUAUGUCUGAUACAUCACAUCAUGCCAGUUGUCUCAAAUGAAUUUAAGUGAGUGAGGCAGUGUUACUUCUGGGUACCCCUCAUUAUUCGUCUAUAAAUUGGUGAAGCCAGUUGCUACUGUUACCAUAAGAGCCAGCUCCGACUUUCAAAAUAAAAAUUCCAACAACGGUCUUAGUGCCUUCAAUUGUAUGAGUCAUUGAACAUGCAAAUGAAUAAAAUAUGAAUGAUAAAAGUGUUUGAUAAAUCACCAAGUUAUAGAACACUUGAUGAUUUAUCUCAAAUAAAAAUUCAGCUUUCUAAAGUUUGUGAAUUGAAAAUAUAAUCGUUAAAGCUCUCUAAACAAAGAAGACGAAAGUCUUAUUUUAUAGAAUUUUUCUUUACAAGAAAGAAAACAUGUUGAAAACCAAAUCUCCAAUUUCCAAGGCUUGACAGAAAAUCAAAAAAAUAUCUUUCCUAUUCUAGAGAUUGGUCACAUGUAGUUCAACCAAUAGGAAAUGAGAUAUUUAAGAAAGCAAGAUUUUGAUCAAUACCAAUAUCAAAUGAAUUCUUAUACGCCUAGUCAACUAUUAAGGGUAUCUUGACUCCUUGAUAUUGUGAUAUGAUUGAAACAUGAUUUCCAUGUUAGAAAAUUAAGGGGAUGUUAAAACAUGAAAGUAAUAGGAGAAUCAAAUUGAUUUGGACUAAAAUUGCCUAAAAAGAAAACACUCUUAAAUAAACUUCAAUUCACUUUUAAAAACAGUAAAACAUGAUUGAAUCAUUUUUUAAAACAAUUCCCUAAUAUACAUGCAUGAUAAUGACAUCACUUACCCCUAAAUCAAAUUGUCACGCCCCGGACCUGGGGGUCAGUGGAAACCCCACGUUCGGUGCGUGAGAAAAUAAAAAGUAAAAUAAAAUAAAAAGAAUGCCGAAACAAGGGUUUAAAAUAAACUUCUCUUAUAAAAAUAACUCCAAAAUCUUACAACUUUACAAGAAAUAAAUAAAGCCCUAUCAUUCUUAUCUAAUUCAGCCUCAACUGGUUUAGUCCUUGUCUUGCCCACUAAUUCAUCUAAAAAAUGAAGAGUGUUGCUAAACGAACCCUAAAAUUAAUUGAGUACACCCUACUACCAAACGAUUUAUUGAAUUUGUCACAUCUCGGGAUCAACUCCGCCGUAGCACGAUAUUGUUCGCUUUGGGCCCUCCCUCUCUGGCUCGCAUGGUUUUGUUUCUGGGAACUCACGAGUAACUUCCCAGUGGGUCACCAAUCCUGGGAUUGCUCUAGCCCACAACUCGCUUAACUUCGGAGUUCCUACGACUCCGAAGCCUGUGAGCUCCCAAAAGGUCUCGUGCUAGAUGGAUGCGGGUGUGCACAUAUAAGGCACAUCACCCCCUCUCCGUUGGUUGAUGUGGGAUCUUAUAGAAUUACUAAUUUAUCCUAAUAUAAAAUGACCAAAGAAGAUAAAAUAAUAUUGGUAUCUAUUGCUUUGAAUCCAUGCCUUCAAACAAAUUGACUUAAUUUUUAACAAACAACACGGAGUCCAGGAGAAGUGUAUUGAUCCAAGUUGAUUUUUGUAUGCGUAAAACUUAAACAAUCAAUAACACAAAGCAGUUCAUGCUGAAAUAUUGGAAACCCACACCCAAAGAGUUCUCCGCUGCGAGGUUGAAGGCAGGAGAGAUGGGUGACAGAUUUUACUUCCACUGCGAAGUUGGAGGCUAGGAGAGUCUGUGACUGCCAUGGUUGAGGGAGAAGAUGCGUUCAAAAUGCCUAUUGAUAUUUUACAUUAUUGGCUUUUUUCAAAAGUGAAAGUUUUUUUAUGGGUAAAACCUAAAUUUACUUUUUCUAUACAAGUUAACAGUGUUUGUGUAUUGUGAAAAGGUGGAGAGACGUGUCAAAAUUUUAGACAAAGGACAGGAGGAGAUAGGGAAUUUGGGGACAGCAGAUCUCAACUCCCUUGAGACCCUAUUCUCUACGCCACCCCUCCCCCUCAACAACCCUAGUCACCAUUUCUCCUUCAACUCCAACGGCAACUCAUUAAAACCCAAUUCUCAAAUGCAACAAUCUAAUCCCAAUCCCAAUUCAGAUGUUUCUAAAAAACCCAUUGUCGUGGUGGAGAACUGCAAUUCCAGGUGGUGGUGGUGGUACCACAUGGGAGAGAGAAAAAAGAAGAAGAAGAAGCAGGAGAGAGAGAGUUUUUUAUUUUAUUAUUAUUUUACUGUAAUUUUUUAAUUUAAAUAAUUAAAAAAAUUAAAAGUUAAAGAGGAUGUACCAUGGGUAUUUUUGGUAGUUAAAUAAGGUGUACUUAGGGUCAGUUUGGCAUUGCUGUGCUGUGAAAAUAAUAGCUGUCAGAUUUGCUGUGAGAGAAAUCAGCUGUGAGAGAAAUCAGUUUGGCGUUUGAUAAAAUUUUUGUUAAAAGUGUGUUGAUAUUGAUUUUAUGCUUAAUCCGAAAAUGAUUGCUGCAUAAUCAUUAAACCCAGCGCCUCUUCGAAACUGAUUCCUAUAUAAUCAGAAAAUGAAAGCACCUCAUUAGCUGCUUUCCUUUAUAGCUUUCUCUCACAGCAAUUUUUAACAAUAAGUGAUUUUCUCACAGUUUACCAAACGGGUUGGGCUUCUCAAAAUUUUUUAAAAAUCACUUAUUACCCCAAAUAAGCAAUACCAAACGGGCACUUAGUUAAUUUUACAUUUUAAUUUAAACAUUAGGGUGUACUCAGUUAAUUUUAGGGUUCGUUCAGCAGCACUCAAAAUUAAACAAGGUGAGGGAUGAGCAAGUAGGGACAUGAGACAUUGCCACAGUAGAUUGAUAUAACUAAAUAUUAUUAUAAACAUAGAAAUAUAUAAGUAUUAUUAUAAUAGGAUUCAUAAUAAUUAAUAUAAAAGUAUAACAACAAUAUUUACAUUUAUGUACCAAGAUAAUUACACAUAUAAAUAUAACCAAUAUAUAUUUUUAUAUAUUUUAAAAUAUAAGUCUUUACGUAAAUGCCUUUCACGGGUCAAGCCACAAGUCUGUGUUUUGGGGAUUGCUGAGCUGCAUCAAUCCUGCCAAUGUCAAUUCUGCCCCUGAGCUCUCUCAAAGCACGUUUAAAACCUAUGCUAACAUAUACUAGAGUUUAUGCUGUAUCUAGAAAAUGCCAACACUAAUUUCGUAACACGUAGAAAUUGUUAGAGAUUGGAAGUUUUUAUCAUUUUUUCUUCCAGUCUCUCCACUACUUAUUAAUACAGAUUACUCAUGUGAUGAGUUUACAAAACCUAUUUCUCUACUCUCGCAAAGACUAAACUUCUUCUCAAAAGACUAGAUCACUUUACCUCUAUCUCUGUGAAAUGUAAAAAGUUGAAACUUUAAUGUCAAACCUCGACAAAGUGUUCUACUUUACAAACUUCUUGUGUCUACCAAUUUGUACUAAAAUUAAUUUCUCUACAGUGCUCAGAUUCAUCAUAUGUGUGUCCUUAAUUUUAGUGGAAAUUGGAAGUUUCCAUAAUUUUUGCUUUAAGUCACUCUUCUGAAGGAAGUUGAGGUUCCACUUCAUAAUCCAAAAUGUCAGGUUGACUUAUGGCAAACAAUGUAAAUAUGUAGGAGUACUAUGACCUUUUAUAGCAUUUUUAGUUUGAAUUUGGGUUUUAUACAUAGAUUUCAAAAUUAAUAGGUUGAUGCCUAGGAAAUAGAAAUUGUAAGGGCCUAUAUUAGAGUAGCCCUCUUAAAAAUAAUAUUAAUUAAUGAAUAUUUGUUCUUCUUGUUGUUUUGAAGUAGUGGUGGGAGGCAGACCAACAAAAAAAAAAUAUAGUGAAGGCUUAUAAGAGCAUUUACAAUCAUGCUCCCUAUUUUUUAGUUAAAAUUUAGCUAAAAAUAGAAAAAAAGUUAUUAUAGGAGCUCUUUAUAAAGCUCCUUUAUAAAAUUUGAACUCCAAUCAUACUCCCUAGUUUAGGGAGUCAAAAAUACUAUAGUUAUUUUUUAAUUCAAUUUGAUUUUGGUUAAUCUCUAUAAAUAUGAAAAAAUAGUUAGCAUUAAUUAAAAGUUUAAACUAUGCAUAAAACAAAGAAACAUUAAAUUAUAGGGAGCCACUAUGAGUCAUUACUCUCUCCUCAGAUUUAGGAGCUCCUAAAGGUCUCCCUAUUUUAUGAGGUGGAUAAGGAGCAUGGUUGGAGUUGUAUUUCUUCAAUUUCCUCCCUAAAAUUUGUCUAAGGAUGUGGUUUAGGGAGCCCAUUGUGAAUGCUCUAACUCUGGUAAAACACGAGUGACAUGGACAACAUAUGUUACGUCGUACUGAAGAUUUUUGGGUUUCUUUAAUUGGUUAAGUAGCAUCCACACAGCUUCCUAAAUCAUCUCCUUAGACAAAUUUUAGGGAGGAAUUGGAAAAGUACAACUCCAACUAUGCUCCCUAUCCACCAACUAAAAUAGGGAGACUUCUAGGAGCUCCUAAAUCUGAUGAGAGAGAAAGGACUCUUAAUGACUCCCUAUAAUUUAAUGUUGCUUUAUAUUAUUUUGUAUACAGACGGGUCAAUUAUAUUAAAUUAAAAAAUAAUUAAAGUAUUUAUGACUCUCUAAACUAGUGAGCAUAAUUGUAGAUCAUCUUAUAUACCUUAAUUUGAAGAUUCUUUAUUUGGGUUUCUUUCAAGACUUAUCACCUUAGCCACGCCACCUACACGUCUGCAAGCUUUCCUAACAAGGAAGGGGAGGCUGCGCAAUACUUAUCACCUUAGCCACACUACACCAAAUUGACGUCUGCAAGCUUUCGUAAUCUAACAAGGAAGGGGAGGCUGCGCAAUACUUAUCACCUUAGCCACACCAACACCACAAGACCAAUAUGUGUAGUCCAGGAGGCUUUCCCAUUUUAAUAUAUAUUAUCAAAUAAAAUAAAAAUCAAUCUAUUAUCAUAUAUAUUAUAAAAUAAAGAUUAUUGCUCCAUCCUCCAUGCACUUGCAUGCCUCUUACAAAGUGUGAAGUAGAUUUUGUGUGCUCCAAGUCAUUGACGAGAGCUGUAACAUGGUUAGCUGGAUUUAUAAGAUCUUUUCUUUUCUGGGAAUUUUCUGAAUCAAGAAAAAUUAAGUAAAAUUAAUAAAGCAUAAAUUAGAAAGGAAAAAUAUCUAGAGGAUGCAUUGUAGGAUUGCACAUGCCAAUAAUUGUAUCCUCUAAAUAUAUAGGGACAUAUUUUUUUGUUUUCAUGACAUGUGGCCCUAAAAUUAUUGUUCCUAGCGGGCUCUCCACCCCCUCUCGAUUGAAAACUAAUUGUGUAAAUCUUCAAUCUUGAAUGAUGCACCUAAAACUCAAGUGUCCCAGGCCAAUUAUUGCUCUCAUACCACUUGUUGUAAUAAACAUCCAUCCAUUCUAAAGGAAAGAUAACCAUCGAUAUUAUCUCAAAUUUAACCACUUAAGUUCAUUAUGAUUAACUAUGUAUCUUAUGGACCAAUCCAAUCAUGAGGUUUUAUACCCAAUUAGAUCGACUAAUACAAAGUUCACACGUGGAUUGAAAAGCGCUAUCAGUAGGGGAGUGUUCGGCACCCUUUACUGCCGAACGCAACACAAGACCCCUUGCAUGCCUUCACUAAGUUGAGCCUAUCUAUUUUUUAGCAUUAACAAUAUAUAUAGAUUGAAAAAAUAAAAUAAAAAUCAAUCUAUUAUCAUAUAAAAUAAAUAUUAUUGCUCCAUCCUCCAUACACUUGCAUGCCCUCUUACAAAGUGUGAAGUAGAUUUUUUGUGCUCCAACUCAUUGACUAGGGCUGAAACAUGGUUAGUUGGAUUUAUAAGAUCUUUUCUUUUCUGGGAAUUUUCUGAAGCACGGAAAAUCAAAUAAAAUUAAUAAAGCAGAAACUGUACCCUUUAAUUAUAUAUGGACGUAUGUUUUUUUGUUUUCAAGUCUUAGAUGACAUGGGGACCUAAAAUUAUUGCUCCUAGUGGACUCUCGACCCCUCUCAAAUUUAAGUGGUCCAUUAUUAUUAACCACAUAUUUUAUGGACCAUGCAGCUGUGAGGUUUUAUCUCAAAAACCUUCGGUACAUUUCUCCCACAUGCCACAAUUGUAUAUUCACAAUUACGGCUGUUACGUCACAUCAUGCCACUUGCCUCACAUGCAACAAGUCUGUGUUUUGGGGAUUGCCGAGCUGCAUCAAUUCUGCCAAUGUCAAUUCUGCCCCUGGACUCUCUCAAAGCACAUUUAAAACCUAUGCGAACAUAUAUUAGAGUUUAUGAUGUAUGUAUCUAGAAAAUGCCAACACUAAUUUCGUAACAUGUAAAAAUUAUUAGAGAUUGGAAGUUUUUAUCAUUUUUUCUUCCAGUCUCUCCACCACUUAUUAAUACAGAUUACUCAUGUGAUGAGUUUACAAAACCUAUUUCUCUACUCUCGCAAAGACUAAACUUCUUCUCAAAAGACUAGAUCACUUUACCUCUAUCUCUGUGAAAUGUAAAAAGUUGAAACUUUAAUGUCAAACCUCGACAAAGUGUUCUACUUUACAAACUUCUUGUGUCUACCAAUUUGUACUAAAAUUAAUUUAUCUACGGUGCUCAGCUUCAUCGUAUGUGUGUCCUUAAUUUUAGUGGAAAUUGGAAGUUUCCAUAAUUUUUGCUUUAAGUCACUCUUCUGAAGGAAGUUGAGGUUCCACUCCAUAAUCCCAAAUGUCAGGUUGACUUAUGGCAAACAAUGUAAAUAUGUAGGAGUACUAUGACCUUUUAUAGCAUUUUUAGUUUGAAUUUGGGUUUUAUACAUAGAUUUCAAAAUUAAUAGGUUGAUGCCUAGGAAAUAGAAAUUGUAAGGGCCUAUAUUAGAGUAGCCCUCUUAAAAAUAAUAUUAAUUAAUGAAUAUUUGUUCUUCUUGUUGUUUUGAAGUAGUGGUGGGAGGCAGACCAACAAAAAAAAUAUAGUGAAGGCUUAUAAGAGCAUUUACAAUCAUGCUCCCUAUUUUUUAGUUAAAAUUUAGCUAAAAAUAGAAAAAAGUUAUUAUAGGAGCUCUUUAUAAAAUUUGAAUUCCAAUCGUACUCCCUAAUUUAGGGAGUCAUAAAUAUUAUAGUUAUUUUUUAAUUCAAUUUGAUUUUGGUUAAUCUCUAUAAAUAAAUAAAAAUAUGAAAAAAUAGUUAGCAUUAAUUAAAAGUUUAAACUAUGCAUAAAACAAAGAAACAUUAAAUUAUAGGGAGCCACUAUGCCAAUAAUUGUAUCCUCUAAAUAUAUAGGGACAUAUUUUUUUUGUUUUCAUGACAUGUGGCCCUAAAAUUAUUGUUCCUAGCGGGCUCUCCAACCCCUCUCGAUUGAAAACCAAUUGUGUAAAUCUUCAAUCUUGAAUGAUGCACCUAAAACUCAAGUGUCCCAGGCCAAUUAUUGCUCUCAUACCACGUGUUGUAAUAAACAUCCAUCCAUUCUAAAGGAAAGAUAACCAUCGAUAUUAUCUCAAAUUUAACCACUUAAGUUCAUUAUGAUUAACUAUGUAUCUUAUGAACCAAUCCAAUCGUGAGGUUUUAUACCCAAUUAGAUCGACCAAUACAAAGUUCACACGUGGAUUGAAAAGCACUAUCAAUAGGGGAGUGUUCGGCACCCUUUACUGCCGAGCGCAACACAAGAUCCCUUGCAUGCCCUCACUAAGUUGAGCCCAACUAUUUUUUAGCAUUAACAAUAUAUAUAGAUUGAAAAAAUAAAAUAAAAAUCAAUCUAUUAUCAUAUAUUUUAUAAAAUACAUAUUAUUGCUCCAUCCUCCAUACACUUGCAUGCCCUCUUACAAAGUGUGAAGUAGAUUUUUUGUGCUCCAACUCAUUGACUAGGGCUGAAACAUGGUUAGUUAGAUUUAUAAGAUCUUUUGUUUUUUGGGAAUUUUCUGAAGCAAGGAAAAUCAAAUAAAAUUAAUAAAGCAGAAACUGUACCCUUUAAUUAUAUAUGGACAUAUGUUUUUUUGUUUUUUUGCUCUCGACCCCUCUCAAAUUUAAGUGGUCCAUUAUUGUUAACCACAUAUUUUAUGGACCAUCCAGCUUCGGUACAUUUCAAAAAGCUUCGGUACAUUUCUCCCACAUGACACAAUUGUAUAUUCACAAUUACUUCUGGGUACCCCUCAUCAGUCGUCUAUAAAAUGGUGAAGCCAGUUGCUACUGUUACCAUAAGAGCCAGCUCCGACUUUCUUUAAUUUCUUGCUACAUCUGUUGCUAAGUUAAUUUCAGUCCUAAUGGGGUUUCAUCUCCCACUCAUCUUUGCUAUUCUCAGUGUAAGCUCUGCAAUUUGAUUAACUUUUCCAUUCUCUCUCAUUGUACUCUAUAUAUAUAAAUGAAAGUUUUGUGUUCCUAUAAUUCUCUCCGAUUUUAUUUAGUACGUACUUAAGUGUCGUCCACUAAUUAAUUACACUUUGUGAGAUUUGAUUUUAAUUAGAGUUCGAAUUAAUGUUGCAGCUAGCAGCGGUUGCACUGGCAAACAAUGCUGCUCAACCAGCACCUCAACUUUACUGGAACUCCGUCCUGCCAAACACACAGAUGCCAAGAUCUAUCAGUGAACUUCUGCAUCCUGGUUUGUGUUCAGCUCUUUAUAAUCUUAGAUAUCUCUUCUACCUGCCAUUUUACUAAAAUAUGUUCGACCACAUAUUUAUCAGCUAACUACUGUGAUUACAAGAAUGACACUUAUUUUCCAAUAUAAUUUGCAGACUCCACAAAUGAAGAAAAGAGCAAACCUGAAAUUUUCCCAUUGCAGGGCAAUAGAGUUUACACUCAAAGCCAUUAUAAAAAACGUCCUCCUCCUCCAUCUGACGAGGGCAAACCUGAAACUUUCCCAUUGGGCAAUAGCCAUUACACUCAAACCCGUUAUAAAAAACGUCCUCCUCCUCCAUCUGACGAGGGCAAACCUGAAAAUUUCCCAUUGGGCAAUAGCCAUUACACUCAAACCCGUUAUAAAAAACGUCCUCCUCCUCCAUCCGACGAGGGCAAACCUGAAAAUUUCCCAUUGGCCAAUAGCUUUUACACUCAAACCCGUUAUAAAAAACGUCCUCCUCCUCCAUCUGACGAGGGCAAACCUGAAAAUUUCCCAUUGGCCAAUAGCUUUUACACUCAAAGCCAUUAUAAAAAACGUCCUCCUCCUCCAUCUGACGAGGGCAAACCUGAAAAUUUCCCAUUGGCACGUUCUCCUCCAUCUGACAGUCAACUAAAGCAUUACAAAGACUUAGCUAUUUUCUUCUUCGAGAAGGACAUGCGCCCGGGCACAACUAUGAAGUUCCAAUUCCCUAGAAAUUCAAACACGGCUACUUUCCUGCCACGCGAAAGUGCUCAAUCGAUCCCCUUCUCCUCUAAGAAACUACCAGAAAUUUUCAACCAUUUUUCAGUGAAGCCAACAU